rnacentral:lncRNA from 1 species
CUGGAUUUAACAUUUGAGUUUCGGCUACUUCACGUUUCUAAUCCAAAAGGAAACAUCGAUCGUGUUAAUCCUCACUCUCCCCUCUUUUCGUUGUACACGUUUUAGUCGUCACAUAUCAAAUCCUCUCUUCAACAUAAAAAACAAAAAAAAAGAUUGAGAGAGACACUUCCAAGAACAAAUCAUGUGAAAACUUUGAGGUAGGGCUUUUAACUUAAAGAGGUACAAGAGAGGAGACAAAUUGGAUAAGAAAGGGUUGGAGCAUGUUAAAUCUCUGUCCACCAAAACCUUUGGAAUGGUUUAGAGACUCUCUAAGUGGACCAAUAGCAAAAUCAUUUUACUCUGACAACGAAUCUCUGAUUCUCUCUGACUUUAGGACAGAGACAAAUCGGAGACAAUGAAUUAGAUUCAUUUCAAUCUUAUUUCGUUUUUAUGGAAGCCGAGAGUUCCACGUAAGGCUUUUUUUUCUCUUACAAGAUUGUGUUAGGUGGAGUCUUUUGCAUGCAUGUACCCAAUUGUGAACACGUACGUGGCUACUCAUUUUAUCACGAGACUUUAUCUGUUGUCCCCCUUGCAUGACUCAAGUCUUUAUUUACUUCCGUGUUUGUGACAAUGAUAAUGAUAAUAUUGUUUCUAAUCGAACUAUUUAGUUUAUAUAUAACUAAACACUAAUGGCUUUGUAUAACUCAUGAAUAAUACUACGUACCAAACAAUUACGUCAACCUCAGAUUUGUAUGUCUGAACGGAAUCUUACACAAAGAUCCGAUACUGAACAAAGGUAAAAAAAAAAAGAACCAUGCAUAUUAUACGAUGUGAGUUUAGUUUCCUCUGAAAAUUUGUGUUUGCCUCAACUCGAUCGGAUCCAAACAUAAAAACACAAGUAUCUCAACGAAACUGUCACAGACAUGAAAGCAAUAAGCUAGUUGGAUGAUAUAGAUAAGUAAGCUAAUUGGAGACGUAUAAUAGAAUUCAAAGAUAUUUAAACUGAUUGGUCCAGCCAAUUAAAAUAAAACUCAUUUAAUUGCAUCUUUACAUUAAAUUUGGAGAAAACAAUAUAUUUACAAAAUAAAACAGGCCAAAAUUGUAGGCCAAUUCUUAAAUUUUAAAAGAGAAAGAAAAAAAAAUUCUACUUAUAGAGAAACUAAAACAUAAAUUAUUGGAUUAAAUACUUUUUUUAAAACUCCAAAUUAUGCCUUAGGCUUAAAUUGGAGUUACUCUUAUUGGUAAACCCUUCUUGGGCACAGGGAAAGGACCAUAUUGUAUUCCUUCCUCACCUCCUUCAACUUCCCAUCUACAAAUUAAAAUCCAAACAUCAUUAAUUUAUCAGUUUAUCAAUCAGUCAUUAGAAAGUAAUCUGAUGAAUAAGAACAUUAAGUUUUACAGACAAUCUCAGAUUAAAAGAGAUUCACAUAUUUUGUGUUGGACCAUAUAUGGAGCAUAGGUACUGAUUUUGACAGGUCGCCGAUUCACAUGUUUCUGACAAUUCUUUUGGGGUACUACAAAAUUAUUGUUAUCAACAUAUAUAUCUACUUUACCAAACACAGAGACUCACACAAAAAAAAAAAAAAAAAAAAAAAAAAAAAAAAAAAAUAUCUAAGUCAAUAGUUCUCAUGAAUAGAAAGAAAAUCAAAGAUUAAUCCUUAUAUUAGACCUCUUAUCAUCACUAGUUUUUUUUCACGUCAUGGGUCCAACAACUCUUUAUUAACACAAGUUCAAUCGAACAUCUUCAAUAAACCACGAUACUAGUAUAUAAAAAAAACAAAACAAUUUUAGUGUAUAUAUGACAUCAUAAAGUGAUGACGUUGUGGAGUCGAAUAUAUAUUAAAAGAAAAAUACUAUGCAAUUUACGUUUGAUUAAAAAAAAUAAACUCAGAAAAAUAGAGACUGAAAAUUCAAAACUUAUAUCUAUCUUGGUAAAUGAUUUUGGGCAUAUAAUAAGAUUGAGACACUCGAAACUAUUUUAAAAAAGAACUUGAAAAUACUUUUAUAUAUAUAAGAAAGAAAACAAUUUACAAUACCUGAGGGAAGUAGUGAGGUGGUGAAGGAGGAUAAGCAUCUCAAGUUUAGCCAGCUCACUUCCUGGACAUGAGUGCACUCCAUUCCCAAAUGGCAUGUACGUGUAAGGUUUUGGUGACACCUGUCAACAUUACAAGAUGUCAUCUACAUGCAAUGUAAAUCCAGUGAAGUCCCCACAAAGUUGACUAAACCCUAGACUUGACAUUGAGUUGGUUCAAUGUUUUUACUCUUUAUACAUCUUUCUAUCUUUCAACAACAAUAAUACUUAGUAGGUAAAAUGCAUCCGUAUACCAUAAAACUAGUAGUCCAAAGUCAUUGUUCCAUGUCUCAGUCACCUUAUCUACCCAUGCAUAUAUAUAUAUAUAUAUAUCUAUGCAGUGGAUAAUCUUACCUCGAAUCGAGAAGGAUCGAAUUUUUCGGGAUCCGGGAAGAAUUCGGGAGAGUGAUGGAUUCGUCGGAAAAGAGGAAGAACCUUCCAACCCUUUGGGAUCAAGUAGCCAUCGUACUCGACGUCUUGUACUGCUUCUCUGAACGUAAAGGACAAUACACUUGCUGCUCGUAGUGUCUCUUGUAUCACCUACCAAAAGUACGAAUAUAGUAAUAAUUAAAUUGAUUGCACGAUUGAACAUUAUAUAUGACAUUAUCAUUACAAAUGAUUUAUCAAAUAUAUUGAAUUUGGUAUCGUACCCUUGAAGUCAGUGGCAUUUUUCUUGUAUCUUCCCAUGAGAUUCUUCGGUUUUCUUCUUUUAUUUUUUGUUGAAUACCGAGUUGCUCCCUCUAUUAAAUUAAAAAAUGAUCAAACAUAAGAAUAUGUAUUUCAUAAAUUUAAAUGUAUCUAUCAUAAUAAAUAAAUAUAUUUUAAGGGAUGCGAUAAGUCGACAACACUAUAAUUUCUAGAUGAUAUUUUGCAAUAUGAACAUGCAAAAGAUAAACUUGAAAAAAAACAAAGUAUAAAUAAAAAAAAAACGAGAGUUGCUUACGGUGACUUCUUGAAGGAGAUUGGGGUGGUCGUGCAAGUACUUGAGAAGCCAAGUUAAGACAGAAGCUGUUGUGUCGGUGGCGGCGAAGAUCACCCCGAUGAUGUUGUCGGCGAUUUGUGAAUCACUUAGCCCGUUGCGUUUCUGAUCCUUUGCUCCGAGUAGUACUCCCAAUAGUCCUCCUCCUUCUUUCCCACUCCCCCUUCUCUUCUUUAUCAUUCUCCUUAAUUCUUCACUUAAUUCCCUUCUUGCCUUAAUUUUUCCAAUUACCAAAAAAUAAAAACAUAUUUAUUUAUGAGAUUAAACCUAAAAUAAAAAUAACAUGAAUGAAACUAUAUUAAUCACAUCAUACAUCUAUGUCUUGAAGAUGACUUUGUCUUUAUGUUUUUGUGAAAAGAAUCUAUAAACCUAUGUCAAAUAAUAUCGCACACAUGUGGUCCCUGAAGACCUAAACUGUACAAUCUUUGUUUCCUAAUUCUUUUGUGGUAUUUCACAAUUCUACAUGGAUUUGUCACGUUCAACGCACACAUGAUCACCAAAGAGAAUUUAAAGAAUCAUCUCUAUCUACACCGGUCAUGAGCUUCAUCUAUACUAAUACCAUUUAUAUGCAUAGCUCAUAAAUUAUAUUAUACCUUCAUGGAUUUGUGAAAAAGUGUGCCAGGUAGGUCUAAAGGCAUGGAGUUGUAACCCUUCUCUAGACGUUGAUAAAGAAGCUUUAUUGCUUCGAUUUCAGUGGGCUCUUCUUUGUCCCCAAACGCUGACAUGAUCGCCACAUCGAAUGCAUACUACACCCAUAGAUCCCAAUUACCUCUCAAAUCAAUACUUUCAUAAAAAGAUUCGAGUCAAAACAAAACCAUACCGCAUACUCAAACAAAUAUCUUACAACACAUUUUUUUCCACAACUACUUUUUAUUAAAAAAAAUAAACAUAUAUUCAAAUUGUAGUGUAAAAUACACAAAUAAGUAUAAAACAAAUUUGAAGUUUGUUUUCUUUCCUAAACAAUUUUUUUCUCUAUAAAAAAAAGUGAGGCCCGCAAAAUUUGGAAAAUCUUUUUUGUCAAUAGUUUCUUUUGGAAUGCCUCAAGGAACGUCCAUGCAUAUAAUCCAAAAAUAGACUAAAGAGACAUACUCGUUUCAUGUAUUCGAGGGUGUUGAUGGACUUUUGGGAUGUCCAAGAGGAAAGGGUUUGGAGGACAAGGAGCUCGAUGUGAGAAACGGUUGGUUUGAGAGCUGAAGGCAAGAAGGAUGACUGAACAAGCCGCUUUAGGGUAGAAUGGUACGGACCUUGGUGAAAGAAAAGAGCCUCUGGUCCAAUCAUACGUUCUUUGCUAGGAGGAUAAGUUGGCUUGAACAAGUGAGCUUUGCUCACUAAUACCAUUCUUGCUGCCUCUGGACUACUUAUCAUCACACAUGGACAUCCCAAUAUGUGCGUCUUGAAUAUCUCACCGUACCUACGGAUUCGGAUAUUUCACACUUAAGACUUGAGUGGAUUGGUAAUGUGAAUCUUUCAAGUUUCAACAGUCAAAUUUAAUGGUUAAAGAAUACAAUGAACAACACAUAUGUAAGAGAAUACAAAAGAGUACUUGUUUUGGCGAGUGGCGAAGAAGGAAUUAGGAUUCUCUGUGUAGAGGCGGAGUGUUUCUCCUAUGUAAGGUAAACCCAUGGAACCAGGUGGUAGCCGUCUUCUUUGCUCUUUCCGGUGCAACCGCCAUUGAAGCACUAAUAGUACUACUACUACUACUACACUUGUUAUUGUGAUUAGUGCCGAUUCAUCAGCAUAAAUAGAGGACAAGAAAAUAAAAGAAGAUGAUGAAGAUGACAUUUGCAUUAUUAGGUAAAGUAAUUAGUAUUAUGAAUAUAUAGUUAUAGUUAGGAUUUUAGUGUGUGUUCGUUCUUGUUAAUGACUUAUGCUUGAAGUGUAUUGAGGGGUUUAUAUAGCUAUAGUUGAGGUGGAAAGAUACUUCAUUCCUGGCCUUUCUUUUCUUUCUUAUUUUUUUUUGUUACAAAAUUUAUAUAUACGAAAUUUUUAUACAUAAUAAAACAAGUUUGCCGCCAAUGAAUAUAGCUUAUAAUAUGAAAAAAUAAAUAAAAUAGGGUAAAUCUUUUUUUUCUUUUUUGAGCCAUUUACUUCUGUAGUGUAGGAGUUCAAACAUUUGCCGACGGUUCUUUGGUCCAAUAAACACAAACUUGGAAACUGCAUACAGGCUAUAAAUAUAAUAUGCUAGAAGAUAUAUAUCAUUAUGUAAUUUUUUAACUGAUUUUUAGAUAAUUGGUUUAGGUAUUCUAUUUUUUUUUUUUUUUCACAAAUGUAGAUAUUUAUAGACAAAGUUUUCGGCGCUGAACUCUUUAUGUGGUUAUUGUUUGAUAUCCUUGAUUAUUGUUAAUUAUUUAGUGGAUGGAUUUUUAUUUUUUGCUGAUAAAAAAGCAUGUACGGAACAGAAAAAAUAAUAUGUGAAUCCAUAGGCAUUUGUGUAUUUGUGUAUUUGGACUGUAUUUGAGUUUAUUUAUUUAUUUUACUUGCCCUUUGGCUAACCCCACAAUACACUUUAGUGACCACAAAAAACAAAGACAUUUUUAGUUCAUCAAUUUCUUUUUUUCUUUUGAGAUAAAUGGGAUCCACUGAAAAUGUUGUAUGGUUGAGUUCUCUUGUAAGCAAGAAAAAAUCUAGCAAAGUUAAAACUCUUUUUUCUUCUUUUUUUAAUUUUUUUUGUUUUUCUUGCAGAAAUUAUUAGUACAUAUUUAUUCCAUUAGUUAUUGAUUUUCCCAUUUUUUGUUUUAUGAGGAUGAAUCUUUUUCCUUUUUUUUCUUGUAAUUAUUAAUACUUCCAUUAGUUAAACAAAAACUACGUUUGAUUUUUGCCAUUUUUGUUUUAUGUAUAAUGAUGAAUCUUUUUCUCUGUACGAUGUGAUAGUUAAUUAUUUUCUAAUGUAUUUUUGUAUACAUAAUGACAGUAGAAGAUAAUACAAAGAAGGAAGAAUCUUUGCACUAUACAACAAUUGACAAACAUCAUAAUUAAGAACAGUAUAAUAUAAGUUUCUUUGUCCAUCAAGUAAAAUGGAUAAAACCAAGUAUCAUAGUAAUGUAAGGUUUUACUCUUGUGACAUAAAACCUAACUAUGUUACGUUGGAAAAUUACGUAUGUACGUUAUCUUAAUAGUAAAUUUGAAUAACACUUAUUAAAAUUGAUGUAUAUGGUCGUUCGUUGUAGUGAAAGGGCUGCGUAGUGGAUAAGUUGGAAUAUCAAAGAUCUUUAAUAUAUAAUAUAAACAUUUGAAGAGGUUAGGAAACAAAUAAGGUACGUAUUACGUAACGUAGCCCGUGACCAUCCUGAGAAUAUCCACGUACGCAGGAGACGAGAACUCAGAGAUAUCACUGCAAAAUAUGCAGUAACCGCUUGGCUCAAACUACUCAGCUACUCACACUUCAUCUUUUCCUCCUCCUUAAGAAACUUCCCUUCGUAAUCUUUUUCUUUCUUUUUUUGGUAAGUCUUAGGUAUCAUAAAAAUUUAAAUCUUCUUGGCAAGCAAUGAAAGAUGAAUAUUGAAUCCUAUAUAAUAUACUUACCAUAGAUGAUAAAUCCAUACGAACUAUCUGGUAUAUAUAUACAUACUUCCUCUGUUCUAUUUUGUACAAAACAUUAAAACACACAAAGAUUUAGGAAUAACAAAUGUUUUCUCAUUUAUAAAAAUUUAGCAAAUAGAAAUUGCAUAGACAAAUGAGAAAACCAUCCAAAAUGAAACAAAUAAUUUUUUGAUCUUAUGACAUCUAACAAAAUAGAACAGUGGGAGUAAUUGAAUAGAUCUAUAACUUGUUAAUGGAGUUUUCUAAAAGAUCUUGUCUUCAACUACACAUUCAAUAUCAGAUUCUCCAUCUUCAUGAUAUAUCGGUUGCAUAGUGAACCAUUCUUCGCUCUGGGUAGAAGACAAUCUUCUUAGCUCAAACUCCCUAUUUAGUGAUAGACUUGGUGGCCUUGGUAUGAUUUGCACAGUUGAAGGACUCCUAAUGUAAUAAUCAGUCAGAGGUGAACUCACAUUAUGAACAGAAUUGUUCUUGAAAGUGUGAGACUUAAAGUCUUUCUCAUCGAAGAUUCUGGACAAGACCUUUAGCUUUCUCCACAAGGAACUUCCGGAUUCAUCACAUAGUGUAUGCCUAUGCUCUUUCAAGAAAAGGACAACGAAGACGAGUAGUGCCAAGAAUGAAGCAGUUCCUGCUAUAAGAAACAGACCCCAUAAGCUACUGAGGCUGAGACUGUUGGAUGUAAGAUCGGUCUUUGGAUCAGGACAAUCAUUCUUCUUCCCAAACCAUCUGUUCUCGAUUUCUUUCAUUUCAGCUCCUUGAGUCACAUUUAAGAUAGCCUUUGAGAUAUCUCCUGUCAAAGGUGAAUUCUUGGGGAAUGCCUACACAUUCAUAAUGUUAAAUUAACAUAACAUCCGAAUAAAUGAGUAUUUUGUAGAGUAAGUUGUAAAUGUUACUUACAAAGCCAAAACCAGCAGUCUUAAAAGUAGGUUCAACCAUGGCAUACUUGGAGCAAGAUUGAGAAAUAAUAGCAUUAAGGUAAGCCACUUCGUCGAACACUGCUGCGAUACCUUUUGACUUCCCCUUGGAAAAAAGUGUUAAGGCUUCGUCCGCAGCAUAAUAAGGCUUUAGCUGAUUUAUAUGAAAUCCCAAAUCUAAUAGAAUAUCUUUAACGAAUGUACCGCCUUGGUACCCUACAUAAUCCCCAUUUUUGAUCAGAUCGUUCACCGUUGUGGCCGCUGGAUGGAAACGUUGUACCGUCAAGAAAGAGGUAAGAUUAGCUGCGUAGCUCUGAGUGAGAACAAACAUCACAAAGCACCACACAACCAUCACAAACCUUGCUAAAUUGCUCACAACCUUUUCACCUAUAUAUAUACAACACACACAUGCACGCACAAGUUCAUUUUAUCAUUAGAAUCUUGUGGUAAAAUGAUUGGUGUGUAAGAACUUAAAUAUAAUUAUAUAAUUAUUUAGAUUCAAGAAUGGUGUAAGAACUUACGGUUGGCGAAAACCAUGGUGGAGAAGGAGAACCAACAACUAGUACCAAUCUGGUGGUCAGGUGGUCCACGAAAGUCCGUGUUGAUUCUAUGUUCGAACAACCAUACAACAAAACCAAUGAGGACGAGAAAACAACCAGUGGUGACCCAUAAGCCUAAGCUCCAAGGUUCAAGAAACACCCAUGUGUUCUUGUUAUCAUUGUCUCUCACAGGAACCAUCAUAGAUACUCCAGACUCUGUGUACGGUAACGUGAAGUCAACAUACAAAGACCUGUUUGCUGUGAUGGUUAGAUCUCCAACAACUGCAUCCCAUUUCUGUUCCAUAUCAUAAAUAGUAUGUUAAAAAAAUUACAUCUAAAAAGAUAUUAGGGAAUGGUUUAGCCAACUCAUUACUUGUAUUAAUUAUGUGAAUGUUUCGAAUUAUUUGUAAGAAGAAAAAAAAGAACUAACCUUGUUAUAUACUUGGUAGACCAAACUAGUGUACUCAUGUGGAGAAUCUAAACUGACGUAUUCAGGAAUGACCGAAUAUGACAACUUCUUAAGAGCAGCUUCAAAGAUGUCUAUGGCGUAACCCUUUGCAGUUGUUUUGUUAGUGAUAGGAUCUCUGAUAAUCUCCACAAAAUUAAGGAAGCCUCUCUUCACUGGAAGGCCCACUAUAAGUUUCUUCCCUGGAAUCUCCCAUCCCUUAGGAUCAAUAUUUGACUUCCCUGGCCAUAUCACCGGCCCUAACUUUGCUUUGUUUGAAUCGGCAUUCACAAGUCCAUUGCUCGGCGUCCAAAAUCCGAGUACCCUUUCUUCGUUUCCGACAAAGUUGAUGAUCUCAAACUUUGGUGACUCGAGCUGUCCGUUAGUGAGAUUAAAAUCUCCAGCUAAACCCUUGAAACUUACUUCCCAUAGAGCCUUUUGAAGACUUGGACCGUACGGAGAGACCCCUACGUUCCCCAAACCUGUCAUGUACUUUGACGUGGCGCUCCCAUUAUCAUAACAUGAGCUGUUAAGAUUGGUUCUCUCCACAGCCAUGGCCAAGGCCGUGAUUGAAUCAUACGCCCAUAAUGCAAAAAUGUUUAGUUCAUCCCUCGGGUUCUCCUUCUUGAACGAUCUUUUCCAUCUCAAACCGAAAUCUUCAAGCUCUUUUGAUUUGGGGACAUGGCUCUUCACACCUAACACGCCCUCUAUAGUCUUUAAGCUAUGACCAUGGUCGAUAUGUCUCAUCAUAUGUGUCAUUUCGUUGGUUAUUAACCAUACAUACCCUUCCUCCAUCAUCCCGAUCUCUCUAGCUUUUUUAAAAAUCCGGAAAGCUAGACUUGAUUCCAUGUGGACAACGAAUACUCUCGUUUGCCUCUUCAUGAGCUUUAAAAGUUCUUCUUGUAUCAGAUCAUCAGUAGCUUCCGGAGGAAUUGCACUUUUGUUGACUUCAACGUUUUGUAAAGCGUCAGACAAGAAGGGCAUGAAUGCUUCACCUAACUCGUUGUCCACAGUAAUGGCAACAACGCUUCUCCAGCCGAAGGAUUUGACAAUGUCGGCAAUGGCUUUGACCUGGGAUGAGUCAUUGACAGUGGCUCGGACGAAGUAAGGGCUUCUGAUGGAUGUCAAAAGAGGGCUUGUUGCUGAGAAUGUGAUGGUCGGUACUUGAGUUUUGUUGGCCAGUCUGAUCAUAAACUCUGCUUGCGUAGAACUUUUUGGUCCGAUGAUAGCGUUCACUUGCUCGUUCUUGAUUAGGUCCAAGGCUGCUUGCACCACAAGCAAACACAUAUAAACGAAGAAAGGUUAAUACAACUUUUACGAUGAUUGAAAUAUUUUCAUAGAUUACCGAUUCAGAAGAGAUAAUUAUUCUAACUUUCUAAUAACUAUCGAGGACAUUAAUUCACAUAAAGAGUUAAAAUAUUGAAUGUAGAGUAUAUGAUAUGUCACCAUCACCAAUGGUAUUUAACCAUUCAUCUAAAAUCUCAUGACUUAAAUAAAAUUAAUGAGACUAAUAGUAAUCGUCACCACGACUUUCUAGAAAUAAGGUAGUUGACUAUGUAUCAAGAGAUUGCUCUUACCAUAAAUAGACAUUAGACGAGAUUUCUCUUACCAUAAUCAUUACACCAGAUCAUAUGAAGCCAAUUUCACAUUCGGUAAAGAUAGUAACCAGCUAAAUCAUGUCUAGCCGUAACUCUAAAUUCCUACGUAAUAUGUUUCGUUCCUAACUAAUGAUUAAUGAAUCUGAAUGGUUUCUUACCUAUAUUGGAAAAGCAAGACAUAAAGAAGCAAUAAACUAAUAAUUCGUAUAAUGAUCCUUUACGUGCAUGCUUAAUGUAGUGAAGAUGCAAAAGACAGAAAAGUAACAAACCUGCAGCUGAAGCCUGAACCGUAUCUUCCAUGGAAUCUCUGACAUGAAGAGUAAUUCUUGUGCGGUAACUAGGAUGAUCCUCGUAAAAAUCGGACAAUGACAUGUUCAUUGAAGUGAGGCAGAUCUUGGAAAAUGUUGUAUUGAGAUCAAGAACUACUCCUACUUUGAUUAUUGUUUGGUUUUGUCCUAAACCAACUUCCAUCGACAAAAAAACCGAAACGAGCAGGAAAAAGUAAUUCAGAAAGGUGUUGUUAGUUUUUCUAGGGUUAAUCAUCAGUGUCGUCCAAAGAUUGAGGAGACAGACUUUAUGAUAUCGUUAACUUCCCUUUUUCCAAUUAUAUAUAUACAAAGGAAUUAGGAUCGGUAUGAAAGAGUCUUAAAAUCUAUGAAAAGACUUUGAAAUUAAGCUAUACCCAAAAUUUGGUUCCUCAAAGAAAGUGACAUAAUAUAAUAAUCAAACAGUGUUGACUGUGAAGACAAUAAGUGGUGUGUAAGUGUAGAUAUGAGUCUUUGCAGAUGACUUGUCUUUGCAAUACAAAACUACAAAAUUUCCGUAACUUCUCGACUACAAUAUAAGUUUUUUUAAUUUAUAUAGAGGUUAAAUAUAUAUAGAUAAGAUAAAAAUGAACAAAUAUAUAACUAUAAGGUUAAAAUGAAGCAGUAUUGCUCAGUUAGAAUUUAUUUUUUCUAGUUUUUUUUUUGUUUUGUUCUUGAAAAAUCUGGUUGCUGUCCAAAAUUUUAACUUACUUUUGUUUUGUUUGGAUUCAUGAUAAUUUAUUAAUAAAACGUAGAUUCUACAAAAUAAAAUAAAUAUAUGGCCUUCCCUUAUUUUAAGAUGGUUGAAAAUAUUUCAAAAGUGCUGACUCAUUCUUACAUUCUUAAUUAAUACUUGAGAUCUUGACCAUUUCCGUUAUGAAAACUCCGUCUUGACUCUUGAAGCUUCACAAAUUAUUUUUAUUACGACUAACCCGCGUAACGUUUAAACUGAUAUUGAUUUGACUCGAAUUUUAACCCGAUUUGCUUUGAACUAACCUUUGACCCGACCAGAAUUUUGUUUUUAGAAGAAAAUAAAAAAAAAAGAGUAAACAGAGAAAAGAGUCGAUGGCUUUUCCGGUAGCUUUCUCCGGACAUAAAGGAACAGCAUGUUAAAAUUGGGAAAAAAAAAAAAAAAAAAACACGAGACACCAAACAAGAGCUCAUGCCGGACAUACACGUGAAGUCGUGAACAACUAAUGCAUGGUUUGGAAUGGAUGCAAAUACAACUUCUUGUUAUUUGGAUUUAGUAACAUGCCACCUUGGAUUUAGUAAGCGAUAUCAUUUGGAUGUGAUGUGAUUAAUCAAAUUUAUGAAUAGUAAUGCGAUGCUAUAUAUGCGCCAUGCAGAUGCAGUGUCUCUUUACCAAUAAGGAAGUUUUUGUACGGACCGAACAUACACUAGCUAGGCUGAUGAUCAGUCAAUCCCACCAGUGGUCAUUUUUCUUUUAAAACAAAAUUUAGGGGACUUUAGGCUUUUACGUGCUUUGUUUAGUUUUUACAUGUUUAUAGCUCUUGAGUUUUUGAGGGUUUCAUACUCGAAAACCGACCUUGUGGUUCCAUAUUCUAGAACUCCAUGUUGUUUCAUUUAUACUUUUAGAAGUUUUUGCAGUGGUAAGGUUAAAAACCACAACUCUUGUAAUCAAGUAUAGAAGUAUAUCUGUUUUAUGAGAAAACAAAAGUCAAGUCUUUUCUUCAAAUAUUGAGUUGGCGCUGUCGAAAGAUCUAUUAUAUAUAUACUUACUAUAAACAUAAAUAACUUUUUUAUAAAUAAAAGAAUAGUAAUUAAGUUUCAUGGAAGAUUAUACAGCCAGCCUAGACUAUCUAAAACUUGUUAUGGAGUCUUCUAAGUUUCUCUCUAUUUUUCAACUCUACAUUCAAUACUAGUUGCCUCAUCUUCAUGAUGUAUAGUUUGCGUAAUGAAGCCUUCUUCGCUUGGGGUAAAAGACAUUCUUCUUAGCUCAAACUCCCUGUUUUGUGAUGAACUUUCUGGCCUCGGUGCGAUUUGCACAGCUGAUGGGCUCUGAGUGUAGUGUGUCGACAUAGGUGAGCUCACAUUAUGAACGGCACUGUUCUUGAAAGUAUGAGACUUAAAGUCUUUCUCAUUGAGGAUUCUGAAUAAAGACGUUAGCUUUCGACAAACCGAAUCUUCGGAAUCAUCAUAUAUUGUAUGCCUAUUUUCGUACAAGAAAAUGGCCACAAAAAUUAGUAGUGCCAAGAAUGAAGCAAUGCCUGCUAUUAGAAACAGACCCCAAAAGCUAUUGAGGCCGAGACUGUUUGACGAAAGUUCGGUCUUUGGAUCAAGACAAUCAUUAUGUUUCAUGAACCAUUUGUUCUCUAUGUGUUGCAUUUCAGCUCCUUGGGUCACGUUUAAGAUAGCCUUUGAGACAUCUCCUGUGAAAGGUGAGUUCUUGGGGAAUGCCUACACGUUGAUCAUGGAAACAAGCAAUGAAAACAUCAGGAAACUUGCACUAAUGUGUUUCUUUCUUCCUUCCUGUUUUCUAAAAGUAAAUUCAAAAGAGAAAAAACAGAACUUACAAAGCCAAAACCAGCAGUCUUAUAUGUAGGUUCAACCAUGACAUAUUUGGAGCAGUUUUGAGAAAGGAUAGCUCUCAGGUAUGGAAUUUCGUCGAAAACAGCUGCAAUACUGCGGUUGGACAAUAACGCGUUGCAGUCUUCGGAUGAACCAAAAGCCACAAGCCGAGAUUCAUCGAAUCCCUCCUUUAGUAGAAUAUCUUUAACGAAAGCCCCGUGUUGAUACCCUACAUAGUCCCCAUUCCUUUUGAGAUCGUUCACAUUUGUGACCGUUGGUUGGAAACGUUGUACCGUCAAGAAAGAGGUGAGAUUUGCUGUGUAGCUCUGAGUGAGCACAAGCACCACAAAGCACCACACAACCACCACAAACCUUGCUAAGUUGCUCACUACCUUCUCACCUAUAUACACAACCACAAAUAACCUUCAUCAUUAGAAUCCUUAAUUCUUGUUUUAAAAAAUUAAGAUAAAUAAGUUGAUACAUUUUGUUUUUGAUAAAUUAUAUAAACAAACGUAACAUAGACUAAUUUACCGAAAAUUAACAUUUAUCAUUAAUAAAAAAAACUUACGGUGGGCAAAAACCAUGGUGGAGAAGGAGAACCAAAAGCUAGUACCGAUCUGGUGGUGAGGCGGUCCACGGAAGUCUGUGUUGACUCUAUGUUCGAACAACCAGACAACAAAACCAAUGAGGACGAAGAAACAACCAGUGGUGAGCCAUAAGUCUAAGCUCCAAGGUUUGAGGAACACCCAUGUGUUCUUGUUCUUAUUGUCUCUCACAGGCACCAUCAUAGAUACUCCAGACUCUGUGUACGGUAACGUGAAGUCAACACGCGUGGAUCUAUGCGCUGUGAUGGUUACAUCUCCAACAAACGCAUCCAAAGUCUGCGUCAUUUCAUAUAAUAUGUUAGAGAAUUUUGUUAUUUAUUUAUUUAAAUAGCGCUUUUUCUAUUAGCAUGCAUGCAAAUUGCAUGAAAUUUUUUAUUUUUGUUGAAGUAAAGAAAUAUAGGAAGAAUAAAAAGGAACUAACCCCGUUGUAGACUUUGUCGACCAAGUCAUUGUAGUCAUCAUCUGUAGACUCGCAACGGUAGUAUUGUGGAAUGACUGAAUAUGGCAACUUCUUAAGAGCAGCUUCAAAGAUGUCUAUGGCGUAACCUUUUGCGGUUGUUAUGUUAGUGAUAGGAUCUUUGGUUACCUCCACAAAAUUAAAGAAGCCUUUCUUUACUGGAACGCCCACUUUAAUCUUCUUCUCGUUUGUUGGAAUCUCCCAUCCUCUAGGAACAACCGUCGACUUCCCUGGCCAUAUCACUGGCCCGAACGACCUUGUUUUGUCUGAAUUAGCAUUCACAAGUCCAUUGCUCGACGUCCAAAAUCCGAGUACCCUUUCUUCGUUUCCGACAAAGUUGAUGAUCUCAAACUUUGGUGACUCGAGCUGCCCGUUUAUGAGAUUAAACUCUCCUGCUAAACCCUUGAAACGUACUUCCGAGAGAGCCUUUAGAAGACUUGGACCGUAGGGAGAGACUCUUACGUUCCCCAAAUCUGUCAUGUUCUUUGACGAGACCCUCCCAUUAUCAUGCAACGAGAUAUCAAAUUUGGCUUUCUCUACGGCCAUGGCCAGUGCAGUGAUUGAAUCAUACGCCCACAAUGCAAAAGCGCUUGGAUCAUCUCUCAACGUUGGUUUCUCCUUCUCGAACCUUCUUUUCCAUCUCAAACGGAAAUCUUGAAGCUCUUUCGAUUUAGGGACAUGGCUCCUCACACCUAAAACGCCCUCUACAGUACUUAAGCUAUGGUCGAUGUGUUUCAUUCUAUGCGUGAUUCCAUUGGUCAUUAACCAUACAUACCCUUCUUGCAUCAUCCCGAUCUCUCUAGCUUUCUGAAAAAUCCGCAAAGCUAGACGUGAGUCCGUGUGGACAAGGAAAACCCUAGUUUGCCUCGUCAUGAGUUUAUAAAGUUCCACCAGAAUCUGGUCAUCGUUAGCCUCCGGGGAGAUGGCACUUCUGUGGACUUUCACGUCUUGUAAAGCGUCAGACAAGUAAGGCAUGAUUCCUUCACCUAACUCGUUGUCCACAGUAAUGGCAACGAGCCUUCUCCAUCCGAAGGAUUCAAAAAUGGAUGCAAUGGCUUUGACCUGGGAUGAGUCAUUGACAGUCGCUCGGACGAAGUAAGGGCUCUUGAUGGAUGUUAAAAGAGGGCUUGAUGCAGAGAAUGUGAUGGUCGGUACACGAGUUUUGUUGGCGAGUCUGAUCAUAAACUGUGCUUGCAUAGAGUUUCUUGGUCCGAUGAUGGCACUCACUUGCUCGUUCCGGAUUAGGUCCAAAGCUGCUUGUAGCACAAGCAAACACCAAGAAAAGAAGAAAAUAUUAUAAUACCAUUACUUAAGACUUUAUGAUCAUUACUGAGAUAAUAUAAAUUAAUUUACAUAUGUGUUAAAAAAAUCCAUGUCAAAAGGCAUGUUACCAAUAUUGUUUUAGUAGUCGAUCGUCUUAUUAUAUUUGAAUUCUUGAAUCAAAAUAUGCUAAAACUAGACUAAUAGUAAUAGGGAUUUGUGCGACCUUUACCGUUGUCACAAGACUUUCUAGAAAAUAAAGAAAAUGAUGAAGAGAUUGCUAGGAUCAGAAGUCAUUUGGAUUUUUAUUAGUCUAGAAUCUAGAAGAUAAAUAAUUGUCACCAAAGACUUUUAGCAAAUACCACAUAAUUAGAAGACACUUUUGCGUAUAAUACUGACCAAAAAAUAUUGUUCAAAUUUAUUUGAAAACAUGAACCAGCUGAUAUAUUUCAUUCGACUGCAACUAAAGAAUAAUAAAGCCUAAUGAUCCGUAACAUGUAGUGAAGAAGCAAGAGACAGAAAAGUAACAAACCUGCAGCUGAAGCCUGAACAGUAUCUCUCAUGGAAUCUCUGACGUGAAACACAAGUCUUGUUUGGUAAUUAGGAUGCUCUUUGUAGAAAUCGGACAAUGACAUGUUCAUAGAAGUGAGGCAGAUCUUGGAAAACGUUGUUUCGAGAUCAAGAACUACUCCUACUUUGAUCUCUCUUGUUUGUUUUUGCCCUAAACCAACCUCCAUCGACAAAAAAACCCAAAGGAACAAGAAAAGGUAUCUCAAAAAGGUGUUAUUAGGUUUUGUAGGGUUCAUCAUUAUUAUACAAAGAUAGAGGGAGAGAGACCAUUAAUGUGAUUCUCUAACUUCACUUUCUCUGUUAUAUAUAUACAGAUGAAUAAAAAAAAGAGUCGGUUUGAAGAAGUCUUGAAAGACUUUGAAAUGCUUACCAAAACUGGUUCUAAAAUCUCAAGGAAAGAGUCGUAAAAUAAGAAACAAUUAGUGUUGACUGCAAAAAAAAAAAAACAAUAUAAAAAUGGUUUGAAACAGUCAGAUGAGAAAAAUAGAUAAAAUAAGAAAUUUUAAAAUGGAAACGGAAUGAUGUUUCAAGAUUAUUCCAAGAUUUGAUUCCGUUUCACUUAAUGAUUUGUUCAAUUUAAAAAAUAUUUUUUUUAAAUGAUACAAUUAUAAAAUACUCUCUUAACCAUUUCCAUUAGUCAACGGUAAAACUCUGUCUAGAAUAUUCAAGUGUAAUUUUCAAUGUAGUUUUAUAAAAAAUGGUAACUUGUCACCAUAUUAGUGCAAGAACAUUUGUGUUAAAACUAGAUUUAGUUUGUUCAACGCGUUUUUGGGUAUAUGUUAGAUCUCAUAAAAAGCAAAUGUAUUGGUAAUUUGACGACCACAUUUUCUUACACGUCUCCAAGAAUAUGACAUGAAGACGUAUUCGUAUAUAUAGUGUAGACAAAACCAAAAACAAUUUUUGCUUUGUCAACAUUUUUUAUUUCCAAGACAAUGAAAAAAAGAAAAGAAAGGACAUUCAUCUUUAAAGAUAUAUUUCUUUGUGUCUUUUUGUAGAUUACAAAAUAUUGUAUUAUUUUCAUAUCUCUUAAUAACUCUACAAGGAAGAAGAUUAGAAUCCAAAUUCAUAAAUCUAGUUUUGACACUUAAGUUUGAAAAAAAUUCAUAGGAAAACAAGAUGUUAACCUUGGUUAGUUUAAACUCAACAUAGCGUCAACAAAAGUAAUACAUUAAUUAUUUCUACACACAAGAAAAGAGUAUGAGCCAGACUGGCUAAAUUGUUAUGCACUUUUGCAACUUCUUUCUAUCAUCCACCUUCACAUGAGUAGUAGCCUCAUCUUCAAAUUGUUCCAAUUGCACCGUGAAUAGUUCUCCGUUCAUGAUGGAAGGCACUCUUAUUGACUCAAACUCCCUAGUUUGUGUUGGACUUUGUGGAAAUGGAGUGCUCCGAUUCGUUGAAGGGUAUGAACUUCCUUGAGUAAUAGGUGAACUCACAUUAUGAAUGGCAUUCUCCUUGAACGUAUGAGACUUUAUGUCUUUCUCAUCAAAAACUCUAACCAAAGAUUUGAACUUUCUACGGAAGGAAUGUUCAGAAUCAUCGAAGAGUGUGUGCUUGUGUUCAUACAAGAAGGUGGCCAAGAAGAUGAGAAGUGCCAAGAAUGAAGUGAUGCCUGCUAUUAGAAACAGACCCCAUAAGCUACUGAGGCUGAGACUCUUGGACGAAAGAUCGGUGUUCGGAUCAGGACAAUUACUUUGUUUCUUGAACCAUUUAUUCUCGAUAUGUUGCAUUUCUUCGCUUUGAGUCACAUUCAAGAUCGCUCUUGAGAAAUCAUCCGUCAAAGGUGAAUUCUUGGGAAAUACCUACACAAAGCAAUGAAUAUACCCAAAUACUCAAAAUACAUAUAUCUUUUGUUAUUUUUAAAAUUUAAAGUGUAAAGUAAAAGAACUUACAAAGCCAAAACCAGCCGUCUUAAAGGUUGGUUCUACCAUGACAUAUUUAGAGCAGUUCUCAGAAAGGAUAAGUUUAAGAUAGGCCACUUCGUCGAAAGAUGCUGCAAUUGUCCCAUUGGAAAAAAGCUCAUCGCAUUCUUCGGCAGAACCAAAAGGUUUCAGCUGAGAUUCAUGAAACCCUUGACUUUCCAAAAGCUUAAGCACAAAAGUCCCACGUUGGUACCCUACAUUUUUGUUAUUACUUAUGAGAUCUUUCCAGUUCGUGACCUCUGGUUGGAGCCGCUGUACUGUAAGGAAAGAGGUGAGAUUCGCCGUAUAGCUCUGAAUCAGCACAAACACCACGAAACACCACACUAACACCACAAACCUCGCUAAAUUGCUCACCACCUUCUCACCUAUAUACACACAAAAAAGUUGCACUACAUCAUAAUAACAUUUUCCCAACGUUAUCCUACUACAAGAUGAAUCAUGCAGGACUCAAACAAUACUACUACACUACUUUAACUUAGUUCUUGAUUGGUGUAACUUACGGUGGGCAAAGUUCAUAGUGGAGAAAGCGAACCAGAAACUAGUCCCUAUCUGGUGGUGAGGCGGCCCACGGAAGUCGGUGUUGACUCUAUGUUCUAAAAUCCACACAAUAAACCCAAUGAAUACGAAAAAACAAGCGGUGGUGACCCAUAGGCCUAAGCUCCAAGGAUUGACGAACACCCAUGUAUUCUUGUUCUUCUUGUCCUUGAGCUGCACCAUCAUAGACACUCCAGACUCUGUGUAUGGUAGUGUGAAAUCAACAAACUGUGACCUAUUUGCUAUGAUGCUUACAUCUCCCACAAAUGCGUCGUACGUCUGAGUCAUUUUUUUAGUAAUUAAUAACAUGUUAGAAAUAACACAUUAAAGAGGAAAAAAAGACACAUAACACACGUAUUCUACAUUAUACUCACUUUACUAAGUAUUAAAAUUAAACAUCAAAGAACCUUAUUGUUACUUUGUAAAAAAAGGGGAAGAAAAAGAGAACUAACCCCAAUAUAGACUUGAUUUACCAUUUCGUCGUAGUUCUCAUCUGGAGACUCGAAAGCAAUAUAUUUAGGAAUGACUGAGUAAGGCAACUUUUUAAGAGUAGCUUCGAAGAUGUCAAUACUGUAACCCGUGGGAAUCAUCUUGUUACUGAUUGGAUCUGUCUUUGCAUCGACAAAACUUAAGAAGCCUUUCUUUGCCGGAACGCCCACUCUAAGAACCUUCACAUUUGUUGGAAUCUCCCAACCUUUCGGAACAACUCUCGACUUUCCGGGCCAUAUUACGGGCCCGAACCUCUCCCUUACAAGGGACAUGGUCUUUUUUGAAUGAGCAUUCAUAAGUCCAUUGCCUGGUCUCCAGAACCCGAUAAUAUUCUCUUCAUUUCCAACAAUAUUGAUGACCUCAUAUGUUGAUAAUUUGAACUGCCGGUUAAUGAGUUCAAACUCUCCAGCUAAACCCUUGAAUCUUACAUUCGAAAGUGCCUUUAGAAGACUUGGACCGUACUGAGAGACCCCUAAGGUCCCUAUAUCUGUUUUGUUAUUUGCUGAAGCGGUCGGAUUAUCAUACCACAAGCUCUUUAUACUGGCUUUCUCCACGGCCAUGGCUAAUGCAGUGAUCGAAUCAUAUGCUCUUAAUGCAAAAAUGUUCAGCUCUACAUCCUUCCCCUUCAGUGAGUUUUUCUUCCAACUCAAUCUGAAAUCUUCGAGGUCAUUUGAUUUAGGGAUAUGGCUCCUCACACCUAAAACCCCUUGCAUAUUCUCCAAGCAGCUACCACGUUCGUUAGAUUUCAGCAAAUUCAUCAUUCCAUCUGUCAAUAACCAUACAUAUCCUUCCUCCAUCAUCCCGAUCUCUCUGGCUUUCUGAAAAAACCGGAAACCGAGAGUUGAUGGCAUGUGGACGACGAAUACUCUCGUUUGCAUCGUCAUUAGCUUAUAAAGCUCCUUAAGAAUCUGAUCAUCAUUAGCAUCCUCAGGGAUCAAACAUCUAUUGACAACAAAAGCUUGCACGUCACUUAAAGCGUCAGACAAGUAAGGCAUUAUUCCUUUUCCGAAUUCGUUGUCCACAUAUAUGGCAACGAUGUUUCUCCAGCCGAAUGAUUUGACAAUGGCCGCAAUGGCUCUAACUUGGGAUGAGUCGUCGAGAGUGGCUCUGACAAAGUAAGGGCUAUGGAUGGAUGUCAGUGAAGGACAUGUUGCCGAAAAUGUGAUGGUUGGUACUUGUGAUAUGUUGGCUAGCCUGAUCAUAAACUCAGUUUGCAUGGAGCUUCUUGGUCCAAUGAUGGCGCUCACUUUCUCGUUCUUGAUUAGGUCCACGGCUGCUUGCACCACAAGCAAACAUAAAGAAUAAGAAAUAAAUGCUUCUUUACUUCUUCUUUAAGAUUAACAAUUAUUUAUUAACGCAGAGCUAAAAUACUAAAUGUAUAUUCUGACGAAUCGUAAAGGAAGACUUUGUCAAUCAAACUAUAAGAGUACACUUGGAUUUGAAUAAUUAACAAAAUAUCUCAUCUUCAUAUUCUUAUGAGAAGACUUAAUAGACCAAGUCCAUUGAAUAACGAUUGAUUAUAUACGUUACAGAUUACCAUAAUAAAUUAGUAGCUAAAACAAUUGCCAUUAAAAUAAUUGUUAAAGGGUUGAAUACUUGAAUAUACUUGUAGUUGUUUGAGUGUUAAUCCAAAAGUUUGCUUUCAUAUAUGGCUAUUAUAGAAAUAGCUUACAGUUUAAGUUAUGUAAUUGGUAAGAUUCAAAGAAAAUACCAUUAAUAUAAUUAAGUGAUGUGUAUAUGGUCAAUUGGUCCUAACCUUUAAUUCUUAAUAAGUGAAACUUAUGUAUACUUAAUGCAAAUAAUGUGGUGCAUGCAGUGGAGAAGCAAGAUACAGAGAAGACACUAACCUGCAGCUGAAGCCUGAACGACAUCUUCCAUGGAAUCUCUUACGUGGAUCUUAAGUCGUGUUGUGUAAUCAGCAUGUUUACUAUAGAAAUCAGACAACGACAUGUUCAUGGAUGUGAGGCAGAUCUUGGAAAAUGGAGUUUGGAGAUCAAGAACUACUCCUAAUUUGAUUUCAGUUGCUUGGUUUUGUCCUAAACCAACCUCCAUCAACACAAAACCCCAAACGAACGGGAGAAAGUAACCCAUAAAGAAAAUAUUAGAAGUUUUUGUAGAGUUCAUCAUCUUUAUCCAAAGAUUGAGAAACUUUAUGUCAUUCUUUUUUCUUUUUCUAUUGUAUAUAAUAUACCUUUUGUUUUGUCUCUCUUUUUUUAAGAAUUAAUAGAGACAAGGGAAAAAAUGUAUGGACGAGAUUCUAGCUAGUACGAGCUAGUUUUUGUCAUUAUCUACCAUAGUCACUUCUUUUUUGGGCUAUUGCGUUUACUUUGAAAAUUCGCCAACCACUGUCUUUGUUGGUGUUGAAGAGAAGACACUACUGAUUCGUCUUCUAGCUAGCAAGAUCGGUUCCAUAUACGGGAAAGAAUAUUAAAAUAUUGGAAAACAAAGAAAGAAAGAAACUUCUUGGAAAAUUACAAGAAUCCAACAUAUCGAAUUAAAAGUAUUCAUCUCGUUUAGUUAUUUAUUGUAAAAUCAUGUAUGAUUAGAUAGGUCAAUGAUUUAUAUAUAUAAAACUUACCAAUUUAUAUUACAUUAUAAGUUUCAUGAAAUCAUGUAUUGUAGUUUAAUAUUCUUAGUUAAAUCAAAACAUGAUAAAGACAUAAUUAUUCCCGCACAAGACACGGGUCAUCCAAUGUAACUAUUGUUCAUUUUAACCUAUUUUUGACACUAUAACAUCAUCAGUAGUUACCUCAUCAUCAUCUUGUUCCAAUGGGGGCAGUAUCAAACUCAUCUCUCUGGACAAGAGACACACAUCUUGACUCAAACUGUAUAUCUUGCGCCGCCGGACUUCCUUGCCAUGGAGUCAUCUGCACUGUCGAAGGUCUUGGACUGCAUUGCGUUAUAGGUGAACUCACAUUAUGCACGGCACUCUCCUUGAACAUGUGUGAUCUUUUGUCUUUUUCAUCAAAGUUUCUAAGCAAAAAAGUUAGCUUUUCAGAAAAGGAGUUUUCCGCGUCACCAAACAAUGUGUGCCUGUGCUCGUACAAGAACUUGGCUACGAAGAGGAUAAGAGCCAGGAAUGAAGCAAGUCCAGCUAUUAGAAACAGACCCCAGAAGCUACUAAAGGUGAGACGGUGAGACGACAGAUCAAUAGAAUCUGGAUCAGGACAAUUGCUCUGAUCGAACCAUUUCUUCUCGAUAUCAUUCAUUUCUUUGCCUUGAGUCACAUUCAGAAUCGCCCUUGAGACAUCUCCCCUCAGAGGUGAGUUCUUUGGGAAUACCUACACAAAGAUAUAUCAUUCCAAACAAAAUGUCAAACGAGUAAGAUAACUAGAUAUAUAAGUGCUGAUUUGUGAAAGGAAAAAGAAGGUUAACUUACAAAACCAAAACCAGCUGUCUUAAAAGAAGGUUCAACCAAAGCAUAUUUAGGGCAAUACUGAGAGAGGAUAACUUUAAGGUACGCCAAUUCGUCGAAAGCUGCUGCGAUACCGCCUUUCGUUGGCCCAUCAGAUAAAAGCUUGUUGCAGUGUUCGGAAGUAGUAUAAGCCUUGAGUUGAGUAUCACGAAACCCCUGAGUUUUUAGAAGUUCACGCACGAAGGAGCCUAAUUGGUACCCUACACUAGUCUCUCCAUUUCUGAUGAGAUCUUUCAUAGUUAUGACAUCUGGUUUGAACCGUUGUUCUGUAAGGAUAGAUGUAAGAUUCGCUGUGUAGCUCUGAGUGAGCACAAGCACCACAAAACACCACACAAUCACCACAAACCUCGCUAAAUUGCUCACCACCUUCUCGCCUAUACACACACACACACACACACGCACAAUCACAUUUUAACACACAAGAGAAAGCUACGACAAUAUAUGGAAUCUUUACUUGUGUAAGUAACUUACGAUGGGCAAAGUUCAUAGUGGAAAAGGAGAACCAGAAACUGGUGCCGAUCUGGUGGUGAGGCGGUCCACGGAAGUCAGUGUUGACUCUAUGUUCUAAAAUCCACACAAUAAACCCAAUGAAAACGAAAAAGCAAGCGGUGGUGACCCAGAGGUCUAAGCUCCAAGGUUUGAGGAACAUCCAAGUGUUCUUAUUAGUGUCUCUCAUCGGCACUAACAUAAACACUCCAGACUCCGUGUAUGGUAACGUGAAAUCAACAUACAGUGACCUGUUUGCUAUGAUGCUUACAUCUCCCACAAAUGCGUCGUACUUCUGACUCAUUUAUAAAUGACAUACAUAUAAAGACCUAACUUGUUAGACAAGUUAAGUGUUUUUUUAAUUUAUACGUUAGCAUGAAAAUAGGGAAGAAAGAGCGAACUAACCCUAUUAUAGACUUCGUGGACCAUAUUGUCGUAGCUUUGAUCUGGAUAAUCGAAUGGGACGUAUUCAUAAAUGACUUGGUAAGGCAGCUUUUUGAGAGCAGCUUCAAAUACGUCGAUGGAGUAACCGGUCGCGGUUACUUUGUUUCUGGUCGUAUCUACGUCCACAAAUUUUAAGAAGCCUCUCCUCACUGGAACACCUACUUUAAGCUUCUUCCCUGGAAUAUCCCAACCUUUAGGAAAAAUUGUGGACUUCCCUGGCCAUGUCACCUGCCCCAACGUUUUGUUGUUUGAAACUGCAUUCACCAGUCCACUGCUCAGUGUCCAAAAACCUAUAACAUUCUCUUUAUUUCCAACAAAAUUAAUGAUCUCAAACGUUGAUGACCCGAGUUGUGCGUCAAUGAGAUUGAAAUCUCCUGCUAAGCCCUUGAAUCUUACAUCUGAGAGAGCCUUUAGAAGACUUGGGCCGUAGCGAGACACCCCUAGAGUCCCCAAAUCUGUCUUGCUAUUUGCUGAAGUGUUUGGAGUAUCAUACCACAAGUUAUUUGUGUUGGCUUUCUCCACAGCCUUAGCCAAUGCAGUCAGAGAAUCAUACGCCCAUAGUGCGAAAACGUUCAGCUCUGGCUCAUUCUCCAUAAAUGGAUUCUCAUUUUUAAACGUUCUUUUCCAUCUCAAGUCGAAAUCUUCAAGCUGUUUUGAUUUAGGGACAUGGCUCCUUACACCUAGCACGCCCUCUAGAGUAUUCAAGCUACUACCGCGGUCGAUAUGUCUCAUCAUAUGCGUUAUUCCAUUAGUCAUUAACCAUGCAUACCCUGCCUCCAUCAUCUUCUUCUCUUUAGCUUUCUGAAAAACCCGUAAAGCAAGACUUGAACCCAUGUGAACGAUGAAUACCCUCGUUUGCAUUGCUAUGAGCUUAUCGAGUUCCUUUGAAAUCUGGUCAUCGUCAGCCUCCGCAGAGAUCACACUUCUUUCGACUUUCACGUCUUGUAAAGCGUCAGCCAAGUAAGGCAUGAUGCCUUCACCUAACUCGUUGUCCACAUAAAUGGCGACGACGCUUCUCCAACCGAAGUAUUUGACAAUGGCGGCAAUGGCUUUGACCUGGUAUGAGUCGUCGAUCGUGGCUCGGAUGAAGUAAGGGCUUCUAAUGGAUGUCAAGAGAGGGCUUGUUGCAGAGAAUGUGAUGGUCGGUACUUGAGCUUUGUCAGCCAGUCUGAUCAUAAACUCUGCUUGCAUAGAGUCUUUUGGUCCGAUGAUAGCGCUCACUUGUUCGUUCUUGAUUAGGUCCAAGGCUGCUUGCACCACAAGCAACACAACAACAACAACGGAAAAAGAUUAGUUUAUUAACAAUCGAAUAAGUUAGUGUAUUAAUUUGACACUUGAGUUUAAUAUUAAAUGUGUUGAAAACUAGAAACUUUCAAGCUGAGGUGACAUGAGCAAGGACUUCUUUUAAUGAAGAUAAAGAAAGAUAAGAAGAAAAUGAAGACUUUGUCUAUAUCAAUAGCUUCCUCAAAAUACAGACCACAUAAGACGUUACUUGGAUUCUGAAUAGUCAACAAAAUGUUUCAUCUCUCUUCCAACCAAGCAUGUUCAGAGAACUUACUCUCCUAAUUAUUUUCCCAUUCUAGCUACCAAGAAAACUUCUUUAAUAAUUAGCAAAAUUUAAUCGGCUAAUUGUAUUUUGCUCCUUUAAUUAAAAUACAUCGAUAUUUUGUGAUUCUAGGAUUGAAUUUCAUUUUAAGAUCAUACUUGAUGAUGGACGACAAAACCGAGAUACUUAAAUUAUGGUAACUCUUCAUAUAUGCAUGCUUUUUCAUUCAAGAACAACUGUUAAUAAAUGCUUAUAACCGAGAAGAAAGAGAGAAAGAGAAGAAUCAAACCUGCGGCUGAAGCUUGAACAGCAUCUUCCAUGGAAUCUCUAACAUGAAGCACAAGUCUCGUGCUGUAAUUAGAAUUAUCCUUAUAGAAAUCGGACAACGACAUCUUAAUGGCAGUGAGGCAGAUCUUGGAAAAAUUAGUUUGGAGAUCAAGAACUACUCCUACUUUGAUUUCACGUUCUUGGUUUUGUCCUAAACCAACAUCCAUCAACAAAAAACCCCAAACGAACAGGACAAAGUAAGUUAGAAAGGUAUGAUUAGCUUUUUUUGUAGGAAUCAUCAUCGAUCGUUCUCCAAAUAUUGAGGAACUUUAUGUAAUUCUUGAGUUUUCCCUUUCCUAUACAUGAAUAUAUAUAUAUACACACAAGAAGAAGGAAAGUGACGUAUAUAGUUUUGUUUCUUUGUGACUCAACUUAUUGAAAUUGAAAAUCAGGUUCAAAGAGGAAAGAUCUUGGAAAGCAACCAAAAACUUAAGUAAAACACACUUCAUGAGAUACUACUAUCCACGUUGACGUGGUAAUGGGCUAAUAAUGGUUCGCAAUUUUGAAAAUGUUUCACUAUAGGUUUUAGAUACGUAAAAUUAUCUAACUAAUUUAUUUGUUUAGUCGAAAUGUUGCCAUGCUUUACACGUAUUGGAAAAUUCGGUGUAUAGACUAUUUUAACGGUUACAAUCGAAGAUUAAAUUAAUCAGUUAGUCAAAAACCGUAUCAUUCGAUGCUUAACAACAAAAAACAAAAACAAAAAAAGAUUAUAAUUUUUUACGUUUUUUAUUACAAAUAACGAUAUUUAUCAAGAAUUACAAAAAACAAUACCACAAAGUUAUGUGUACGAAGGAUCUAUAAAUUAAUAUCAUUUUUAAUGCGCCCUUUCAAAUAUAAUGUUUUGUGUUAUUAUUGGAUUUUUAGUAUUUUUAACUUUGAAUAAGAAUUAAAAAAAGGUUAGUGUAGAAACUUGAUAAGGACAAUGGAGAUAGAAAAAAUGGUCCAAAUGGUAAGAUGAAGAACUUUGGUGUAAUCUAGUUGAAUUGCUGAAUCUGCUGAUUUUUUUUGUUUUUUUUUUGUUGAAUUUAGCUGAAUAUAUACAUUUUCUAAAUAGUAACCGAAUAGUUUUGCUGUUAUUUUUUGUUUUUUUGUAAUUUUUGGCCGGAUCUAAUAACAUAAUUAAGAUUUUAACUGUAAAUAUUGUCAAAUAAUUAUGAAUUUUAAUAAAACAACUUUUUUUUCCUACUUUUAAUAAAACAACUUAACGUAAUCUAAUCAUAACUUUUAUAAUAACAAAUAAAUACUAAAUGAUCUAAAAUUAAUAUUAAUAUAAAUAAAUAUUAGUUAGAAAAUUGAGUUAUUUUUCACUAUUAAUUUGUACAUGAUUAAAAUAUGUAAAUAAUUAUUAAAAAUCUUUUUCAAAGCAUUAUUGAACACUAUAAUUUUAAAAAUUAACAUGAUAAUAUAAUAUAAGAUUAUCUAAUUGAUUUUUCUACUGCUCUCUAGUAGUUUAAUCAGUUAUACGAUGAAGAUGAGUAAGCACAUUUUUAAAUUUUUGAUAUGUAAAUAAUUUUUUAGCAUGGUUAUGAGUUGUUUUUAUGAAAUUUUGAGGAAUCAUUUUAAACUAUCUAAAAAUUAUUAAAAUUAUUCCAAAUUAUUCACAUCUAUCUAAAUAUCCGAAUACGAAUCUAACUCUCGUCCAUUUUAUUUGUGUUUUUAUAUAUUAAAUUAUCCAUAUAUUGCAUCCGUAUUUUUUGUGGGCCCAAAAUAUUGAUCCAUAUUAUCAGACUUUUAAAAAAUAGAAAUAUAUGAUAUAAUAUAUUCUUUUUGAUAUCUAAAUUAUUUUAGCUCGAUUUAUACUUUUGUUAAUGAGAAAUGUAGCAAAUCCCAACUACUUUUCUCUGAAUUUUUGUUCAAGUUCUUCAUAUUGAUUUGAGCAUUUUGAUCAAUUUAUGUACCAACAUUAGAAAAUAUCAACAAUUUUGAAUUCUCAUAUGAAUUGAGUUAAAUUUGAAUAUAUUUAAACAGAUCAUUGAAAAAGAAAAUUUUGAGUUUAUUAUUUGGUAAUCCAAUGAUUAAAAAAUCGUUGUUUUCCUACUUGCUAUGAUACUACUGCUUCAAAUCUAUUUUACCGUAGAUCGAAAUACUAUAUUUUCGACGACAAAUAUAAAAAAAUUUCUCACUUCUAAAGCUAAUUUCUCAUCACUUUUAACAUUUUUUUUCGGAUUAACUUUUUUUUUACUGGCAUUUACUUUUUCGCCGCUGCCCACUUCCUCGCCACCUUAAAUAUAAACUUUAAUGAUGUGAAUGAAAAUCCCACAAAUAUACACUUAUAUGUUUCUAAAUCGAUUCUUUUUUGUAAAUUUCAAGUCAUGUUAAACAAAACAUAACGUGUAUUAUUGUAUAGAAUUUUUUAAUAUUCAGAAAAAACAUUAUACAUAAAUGAAGUGAAAAUGGUGGGGCUUUGCGUUAAGAUUUAAGACCCACCAGCCGACCUGACCAUGUCCUACUCAGCUUACACAUGUUUCCAUGUGACCUCACCACUUCUUCUAAUCCCAAUUUUACAAUUCCCUGUCUUAUAAAAUUACACUCUCCUACAAAAGAACGAGUUAAUUUAACUUUUAUAACAUCUAAGUUGUAAUUUUCUUUUUCUAUACCAAAGAUAGUACUAUGCUUUCAUCAUCUGAACACAAUCUCUCUCUUUUCGAUACUCAUGUUACAUUGUUUAUUAAUUGACACGUAAUAUAUUGUAAGUAAAAAAAAAUCCAUUGGCUAAACCAUUACCACUUACGUCAAGUCCCAUUCAACACUAUGAUUUUGUUUUUUUUUGCAAACACUUCAAACUAGAAAGCUUUGUCAUGUCGUGUUUCAAUAUGUUUUUGAAACUUGUAUUUCGUAUUUAAAGAAGUUUCUUCGACAUUGAAAGAUUACUAAUAAAACACAAAACAUUAUAACAGUGAUUGUAUAAUACUUUAGACAUAAAGAUGGAUUAGAAGGUAUCGUGCAACGGAUCUGAAGAUAACAUGUGAGGUUUAUUUUGACUUUUAACUGUGCACAAACGUUUGACCUAUCAUUAGAAUUUCACAUUGGUCAAAGAAUCUCUUUAUCUCUCAACUCUCAAAGUCUCUCUGCCAGUAAAUAUUAUCAAUAACAAAAAAAAAAAAUAGUUCUAAAGUAAAUUAUUUUCUGUGCCACUUUCUUUUUUAGUAAUUUAAGGACAAACUCACAUGACCUUUUUUCUAUGUAACACAAACUUAUUUAAGUAUUUGAUUCUAUUUUACUUUUGCGACAUGUCUAAUCAAACCGAUGAUACUAGUAAAAGGUGAUAAAAACCAAAAAUAUAUCGAACGAAUUAUAAAACUUUGAACGUUCCAUUGAUACUCCGUUAAACAAAAACAGCUAAAUGCACAUUUUUGUGGCUCUGUUUAAUAUUUAACUUAGACUUUGAUUAAUGAUUUGAUUAAAAUAACAUAUGGUGGUCAUUAUGUGGAUCCAAGAGGGAAUCUAAGUUCCAAGAUGGAAGUUGAGCUUUGCCUCACAGAGGAGAAACAAAUAUCUAAUAGAUAAAAUGAGGUAAACACAAAGUUCACAUUCUAAACUUAAUUAUAACAAUUUUUAAGAAAAGUGGCUGAAUUAAAUUGAUUAUUUUUGGUGAUACUUUAAAUUUCCAAUAUUAGAUUAUUACAUGAAAAAAUAGCAUAUAUCUUUUAUAGCCUUGUUUUGUUUGUGGCCUUAGAGUAUUUUAUAAUUAUUUUUGUAAUAAAAAUAGUAACUUUGGAUACUCGUUAUUAUUAACCAAAUUUCUAAAAAUUGUUUUUCAAAAUAAUAGAUUACAAAAUAUAAUUUAUUUAUAAUCAAUUUAUAAAAACUUAACAUUGAUUAAUUAGAAACAGAAAAAAUAAUCGUUAAAUGUUAAUAUUAAUAUGACCUGUAAUAAUAAUGGUCAAAGCAAAGGUAAAGUUCCUGACAAAAUUACAUUAAAAUUAAAUUAAUUGAGAAUGUGAAAUGUUUGACCAGUCAAAUUACAGAAAAACAUUAAGCUACAGUCUAACAUAAUGGAGACACAAGUGACCAGUGUGUGCGUAAUUAACGUACAUAUUUGUGCAUUGAUAUUGUUGUUUUUGUUUUGUUUUGACAACAAACUUACUUAACAACAAAUUUAUAAGCAUCCAACAAAUUAUUUCUAUAUUUGGGUUUACGGAAACCACAUGGCAUUGUGAAUCAGUGAGAUGCUGUUUCUGCCUCUCUUAACAUUGUACACUUGUUUUUUUUUUUCUUUUUAAAAAUCCAUUGCUUGUUUGAACAUGACUUAACAUAAAUCUCUUGUACUUCAUGACAUUUUAACUAAGUUAAUUAUAAACUAUGAGAAAAUGCACUUUUUACUGUUAUUGUUAAUAUAGCUAGGGCUUUAUGAAUUUCAAGUAUGUAAUGUAUAACAAACCUAAAUUUCCCGUUUGGGUUUAAGUUACUAUUAGCGAAGAAAAAAAAAAUUAAUUGUUGAGUUUUACUUUUGUUACUCUAAUGUUGUUGUUAUAUGUAAAGUGUCAGAUUUCGCAAAACGAUGUAUAUAUGUGUGUAGAGUAUUAAUUAUAGUUUUGUUUCGUUCACACGAGUUUGAACAUAAGUCAAAAUGAAUGAACAAGAGUUGAAGUGAUAAAUCAAAUUACAAUUAAAGAUAGAAAAUACAAAACAAGAACUAGGGACAAUGUAAUGUGGGUUCUUUCUUUGUUGCGUAAAUCCAGGCUGGUUUGAAGACAUAAGUGAAAAAAAACAGGUAGAAUAACUUUAGACCAAACCUGUCUACUCUUCCUAUCUUUUAAAAUGAUCAUUAUCAUAUUAAGCAACAACACCUAUCUUUCCAUCCCCCUUUGCCUCUUCUCUCCAACCUCCCACACACAAUAAUACCUUAUUUUGUUUCUUGCUGAAUAUAUAAGAAUGAGUACUUUCCAAUAUUUAAAAAUAAUGGUCUUACAAUUAUUGGUUCGAUAUGAAUGUACAUUUUUAAUUUCAAGAUUUCAAGUUUUUUGAAAUGUAAUACUACUUUUUCUCAAUUCACAACAAUUUCAGUUUUACAAAACCGAUUAGUUGUAUAUAAUGCAUGUUUAAAAAAUAUAACUAAUGUUUGCCCAAAAAAAUAUAUAUAACUAACGUAAAUUAUCUAAUAAAAAUGAAUUAUUUGAAAACAAUAAAUUAUCGUGCGCAAGAAAAAAAAAACUUAAUUUUUAGCAUUGCAUAAUUAUAGAAAUUUGUUUAUCUCAAGUGAAAUAUAAAUUUAGAGGAAACAAAGAUAUCACCAAAGUGUAAAGCUCAGUGAAAGAAAGAGUAAAGACACACAAAAUACAUCAAAACACACAUAAAAUGUAAGAAGACUUACUCGGACACUAAAUAUAACAAACAGAAAACCAUAUCAAUAAAAUAUGGUAAAAAGGAAUAUUAAAAACCUAAGCAUAGAUUUAUUUUCUUUCAAAAUGAAUUAGAGUAAUAGUUUUACUAGAAGGGCACUGUCAUGCCAAAGGGAAUAGCCAAAGCUCUACCCGGAAUAUUCUCUCCAUUGGGUCUUCUUCUAUACUCGUUUGUAUGAUUCUUCUUAUUCAUUUCGAUGACUUUUUUUUAACUCUACUACUACUAGACCAUUAAUUUUAUACAAAAUUAUUAUAUUCAUCCUCCACAUUAUUUUCUUGUGAUUCCUGUCCCACUAUGCCAAUAAUAUAUAGAGGAUCCCUAUUUAUAUUAUUAUUUUCAAUCAUAUAUAAAUUAAUAGAAAGAAACAUAUGCGUACAUAUACACACUCACUGAUACGAAAAAAAGCAAUACCGAUAAAUUUUCUCGUGCUCCAUGUUGAGAUCUCUCUCUCUUUCUCUCUCUCAUGUGACUGACUUUAAAUGAAGAUUAUGAUUGUGCAUAUAUAUCUAUACUAUUUAUAGAGAUAGAGAUGUGUAUGUCUUACUGACUAAUACUAUUUGUAAUGCAUGCAAUGCAUAUAUAAAACGUACGACAUUGGUUCCUCCAACAUUCAUUAAUGGCAGAUCUCAAGAAGUGGAUUUCGACAAUGUGUAGAUCUUGUGGUAAGAAUAAGACCUUGAGUUCUAAAAGAUCUAACCAAUCCGACUUUGCCACGUUAGAUAUGGAAUAAUUCACUUUAUAAUGUACAUAUAUAUACGUCGUAAUCUAAUGAUCUAAGUAAUACAAUUUCCAUUAAUCAAAGCAUUAACUAUAUCGUCAACGUUAAGUAAGAAAAGCCCACAUCCCCAAACCUUGUGGAUUCUGUUUCUUUAUACUCCCCAAAAACACUCAUUGCAAUUGGCCAUUUUUAAAAAGAAAAUGGUAUGGUAUUCAUAUUUUCAUUUUUAUAUAAACCAAUAUCUUUCCUAUUGUAACUGGGAUUUUUUUUUUUCACAGAAAAACUAUUUUUAGUAAAAUUUUACGAAUAUACCAUUUUAUUAAAAUAAUUUUAGAUUUAUCAUUUUAAAUUCUUAAAUUAUCUAUAUUUAUGAAUUUUAUUUACUUAAAAAAUACAUACUUUAUAAAAAUUAAACUUUAAAAACAAAUGAAACCGACUAAAUAACACAAAAAAUAAUAAAUCCAUAAAAUUUUAUUAAAAAUGAAAAAUCCACAAUCGCCACUCCGAAAAUUCCCUCUUUAGUUAAUUACUCGUUAAAAGAUGCUGCCACAACAAAAUAAAUGUAACAAAAUUAUUACUCCACCUUUUGUUACCGUAAAUAGUUUAAAAAGUUGUUAAGUACACCACCUUUUGAGAUUAAAUUUUCUAGGAUAGAGAUCUUUUUGGAAACCACUAAUUUUACUUUUUUGGAAACCACUUAAUUUGUACAACGUUUCAAUAUAUCUAUAGUAGACGUGGUAUACUAAUCUACAAGCUAUUACUAAUUCUACGUAUCUUUAUCAUAGCUAAAGCAAAUUAGUACUAAGUUAAUUUAUAGUAUACAUAAGAAACUUAGAUGAUUAAAUACAAGUUGACACUAAAUAGUUCCUAACUCGAUGGAAAAAAGUUCAUAAACCUCAUGACGAGCUAAUUAAAAUACUAAUACCAAAAUUUUAUUUUUCCAUUGAUUAUUUUAGCCAUUUGCCAUUGAUUAGAAGUAUUAUUACUAAAGAAGCACCAUAUAUAAUAAGCAAAGAGACACUCUCACUUCCUCUGCUUCUAUCUCUCUCUCUCUCUCUCUUUCUCUGAAUCACUAUCUCUUCUUCGAGUUCAAUCACCACAAACUUACAAUCAAAUACACAAAAGAAAACAGUUAAGACCCAUUCAUCUGAAUCUGAAUCCAAAAUCUCUUUCAGUCUUGUAGAAGCACACAUUAUAUUAUAUAUUGAUGGAGGAGAAGUGGAAGCUGUCGAAGAAAGAGACAACAGCUUCUUCUUCUUCUUCUUCCUCUAAGUCAAUGUUUUCUAGAAGCUUCUCAACAAGUGCUUCAUCCACAAAGUCACCAAUAUUCGUAAGGAGUUCAUCUACUAAAUGCUCUAUCCCUUCUUCCUCCUCUUCAUCUUCUUCUUCAAUCUCAAGAAGCUUCUCAAGAAAAGAGAGAAGAUCUUCUUCUUCAUCAUCUUCUUCCAUCACUCAGAAAUACAGCAGCUUGGCUAAAGAACAGAAGGCAAGGUUUUACAUCAUGAGAAGGUGUGUGGCUAUGCUUGUUUGUUGGCAUAAACAUGGAGAUUCUUAACUAGAUCUUCUUCUUCUUCUUCUUCUUCUUUCUUCUUUUUUUUUUUGUUUCCUUGUAAUUAGAUCAGUUUGGUUAUUAAGGUUAUUGUUCUAUACAAGUACAUUGUAAGAAGAGAUUUUGUUCAAGUAUUAGGGUUUCUAUAUAUGCUUUCAAUUAUAUGACUUGCAUAUGCUACAUAUAUAUUACACAAAUCAUAGACAUGUGUGUAUAUAUGUAUCAUUGAUGCAAGUAUUUAUAUGUAUUAAGAUAGGAAUUAUUGAUAUGUUUUUGUUUAGAUUCAAACUAUACAAUAUAUCAUGAAGUACAGUGUUUUUGUUAGGAUUUUACACUGAAUAGUCAUUUUCAAAGGUCUCUUAGCUUGAAACAAUUUAACAAAAACUCAAUCUCCAAAUCUAAUGUUUAUUUAUAAAACAAUAUUCAAAACUAUCUGAUGCCAUCCUUAAUCAUUUUAUAUAAUGGAUUCAUGAUUCAUAUCAUCUAGUCAAAGAUCUGAAACUUUUCUUUUAGUAACUUUUUUUAAUUUAUUGAUUACGAGACGAUAAUGGAGUCCAGAACUUAAUGUCAAAAAUGAUGAUAAGAAUAUAUCAAAAUAAUAAUAAUAAUAAUGGUAUAUGAUGCUGUAGAUCUUGCAAACACCAAUAAUGUCUGGAACUCUACUCGAAUUUUGUUUUUUCUUAGCUUUUUUAAUUUUUAUUUUUAUAUUCCUUUUUGCAUUUUUAUGGCAGUAUUUGGUGGCAGUAUUUUUUCUGUUUGCUUUCUGAGUUUUUGUCUCUUUGAUAGAAGAAAGAUUCCCUCUUGGCAAAUGAAAAAUUCGUUAAUUUCAAUAUACAUUAUAUUUUUGUACAAAACUUAGGAUAUAAAUUACUCUAGUUACGUACUUUACAAACUUAGUCGGCAUUAUUGAAUUAUGAAAUGAAAUCUAUCUUUUCACUUUAUUAAGGGGAAAAAAAAGUUUGGAAUAAUAUUAUAUUGAGAAUCCAAUGAAAAGUUUUUCAACGACUACUAUACAUCCAUCUUUUGUCAUUAUCAAUAGACAAAAACGUUUAUGUUUAGUGAUCACGAGCUUUGCAGAUUUGUUGUGCUAAUGUCUUUUAUUACAAAACUUUACAAUUCUUUUUCAUGCGUCAAAAUAUCAUUACAUAGAAAUUAUUACCAUAUAGCUCUUCAUGUCACUCUUCUUACAAGAAAAAAAGGAGGAAACAAAAAUAAAAUAAAACUCAGAACUCUCUCAGGUGAUAACAAUUGAAACACACAAAAAAUACUAAACGAGUGGAACAAAAUGAAAAAAAAGAGAAACACAAAUUGCUUUCUUUAAAGGGAAUAUAUAUCAUUAGAGAUAGGAGAGAAAAAUGUGACGUGGAGUUGGCAGAAGCAUUGGAUCGGUCAGAGUCAACAUUUAGGGAAAUCUGAGGGUGGAGGAAGGAUCUUCUGAUUUGGAAGGUCACCGUCCAAAACCACCCAAGCCAUGGUCAGACCCCAACUCAAAUGUAUCUCGAUGUGGCAAUGCAUCAGCCACACACCUGUCACCCACCAUCAAAACAAUUAUAGUAACAAACAUAUCAUUUGUGAAUACUAUUAGGGAACCAUCAACACUAGUCUUUUUGUUGUGUUACCAAUUAUAAUAUAUGUUGUUAUUGACAAAAAAUGAAUUCAUAAAUUCUUACCGGGAUUAUCAGCUAGGAAACGGAUGGCGACCCAACCACCGGAAGGAACAUUGAUGGUGUUCCGUUCGACCGGAUCGACUAGGUUAUACUGUUUUGGGUCAAUGGCCGGGUUAAAAUUGCCGAAGCCUUGACCCACCACAAAAAAGUUGAAGCCAUGAAGAUGAAUAGGGUGGGCCUCAAUACCCAAGAUGCUAGUGCCCUGUAACACCAAUUCAACAGUUGUAUUGUACUUCAACACCACAACUUUGGUCCCUCUUGAGACCAUUGUGUUGUUUGGUGGCGUACCCGUGUAAUUAAAUGGGAAAAUAGGGGCAGUUGGGAAAUCUGUCAUGAAAACAUUUUUGGACUUGCCAAGGAAGUAUGAUUGUAACAAAGAAGUCUUGUUUGGUAAGAUGAAAGACACAUUGUUGAUAGAUGCUGCAAACUUCGUUGUAUUCGUUGGUCCUUGGCAUGUUUGGUUUUUAGGACAAGGGUUGGUUCCUAAACCGACGGUAAAGAAAAAUUUCUUGUCCACAGUUUUUGGCACGUUAGCCGGAAAUGUAGAGCUUGCCAAACUUCUAAACAUUUUUGUGAAGUUCGCCGCGUAGCUUGUACUAUUGAUGGGAGGGAGAGAUGGUUUAAUGAUAGAAAGGUUCUUGGAAGAUUUGGAAUGAUGCUGGUACUGGAGAAUCCCCGCAACGGUUGUAUUAUCAAUUGUUCCUUGUCCCGUGAAGUAUGGUCUUGCCAACAUGUAGAAGGUUGCGUUUGGAUAACUAGGUUUCGUUUUGAGUAGGACGUUGGUGGUUUGGCCCGGGCCAAGAAGCACGAUGCUGGUUUGGAAUGGUUUAACGUAGCUAGCAUCAGCUUCAACAACCGUUAAUGUAUGAUUGGCUAUGGUAAAGAAGAGUUCAUCAUCGAGUGCAGCAUUGAUCAGUCGUAGUAGAUACGUCUUUCCAGGUUUCACCAUCAGUUUGUAUGUAUCUAAAAAGUAAAUAUUUGAAUUAAAAGUGUUACAAAACUUAAAUAGGUGUUCUUGGUUAUGGACACUGACAUAAAAAAGAAGAAGAUGAUCAUUACCUUUUGUCGAGCAAUUGUAUAAUGGGCCUGGGAGUCCAUUAAAAGUAUGAGCAUCAGAGGCAUUUGGACCUCCACCCGUCUGAAGAGCUUGUUGUACCACUGCUUGAGGAUCAGCAUUAAACCAUUCACCUAUACACAAAAGUUUUGAAAUUCAUGUGUUUUAGUCCUUUAAAUCUAUUAUAGAUUUUAUUUUCAAAAAUAUAUAUAUAUUUUUUUGGCAAGCAAAAACAUAUUAAACACGCAAAUAGAUAUAUUAAAAAAAGACAUUUUAAUUGUUGAGUUUUCUUUUAUAUGAUUUAUCUAGAACAUUGAGCAUUCUUUGGAACUCAUAUAUAUCAUGUAAGGUAAAAAAGAUAUGGUAAGAAAGAUAAUUACCAAAGAUUAUAGGGACUUGUUUGUAAGGUUUGGGAAAAGGGUAAGGCUGAUGGAGUUUAGGGAGAAUGAUCAAGGGACCGUACACGGUAGCUCUCAUCCAUUGGAUGUGUGCAUGCCACCAUAAGGUUCCUCUUUGUCCGGUCACUGUGAAGUUGUAAACAUAACUUUGUCCGGUCCGAAUUGGACAUUGUGUCACAUACGAUGGUCCAUCCGCCCAUCCGGUCCUCAGCUGCCGGAUUCCAUGCCUACAUAUAUAGUAUACAUUAAUUUAUUCAAUCACAAGGCUCAGUGAAAUAAAACAAGAGUUGAAAAUUUAAUAUCAUGAUAAGAAUAUUAGAAAAUAGUAAUUUACCAGUGGAUAGAGAUGUUAUUGGAUACAUGAUUAACAACUUUGAUUUGUAGAUUAUCUCCUUCUCUUGCAGUAACCUUAGGUCCUGGAAAUUUUCCAUUGACCGUCACGAUCGUUUUUGUCUUGCACAAUCUUGUAAUGUUUUUAAGUUGAAUCUGUCCGGAGGAAAAAAUUAGAAUAAACGAUCAAAAUAUAUAUUAAUUGUAUCAAAAUAGAGUACAUAUUUAUAAGACUCAUAUUGAGACUAAUUUAUAUAAUUAUACAUCGAACUGGUAGUGUCGCGUGAUUCCUGCAGAUGCUGCAUCGAUGUUGUAACUAAUGGUAAUCAGAAAUGCCACACUAAGAUAAUGCAAAACCCACGUAGCCAUGUUUAAGGAAAAAAAAUUGUACUUGUUUUUUGUAUAUUCAAUAGUUUUGUGGUCAAGCUCUUAAGUUGGUGUAUUUGAAAAUAGAUGGACAUGGUUGAGCAUAUAUAUAAGGGAGAUGGAGCAUAUGGUAGGGUUAAUGGUUGGUAACAAAAUUUAAUGAAGAGAAAAAAAUAAGAUUAUAGUAAAUAUGAAUAAGUGAUGAAGAAGAUCAUCAUUUGUAUUGAUGAUGUUAUAGUUGGUCCAAUUGUUGGACGAUCCGAGUGAAUUCAAAGUUAACUAAUUGUGUGACUUUAACUAUGAUGAUUAUAGCUCUACAUACAAGUUUUUUGUACCAAUAAAAUGAUUAAUUUACUUAAAAUAUUAGUUACGAACACUUAAUCGAAAAUUAUAUAUAUAAAAUUUUAAAUAAAAAUGUAGAGAAAAUUCCAAACUAAACAUUUUCACUUUUUGCUUUUCCGGAUAUCAAAACUUGAAAUGAUAUAUAUAUAUAAUUUUAUAUUACGUUUAUAUAUAUAAUUUUAUAUUACGUUUAUGUGUUGUAUAUGAUACCAUAAACAAAGAUAGAGUAAUUAUAGCGAGUACAGUAAACAAAGGAUUAUAUAUAUGGAGGAUGAUGAUGCGACGUGUACGUUGGUUGUCUGAAAACAUAUGUUCCAACAAAAAGAGAGUGUUGAGUGAAACUAAGCUUAAGGAUCUUCACAGUCUCUUGGAAGACUCUCUCUUUCUUUUUGACACUUCACCCAAUUCACCAAUUCCUUUCAAGCAACAUAAGACAACGAUCGUUGGAUUCAGCUUCACUUGGCAAAUCUACUGUUUAUCUGUCUAGCUCAUCUCACUUUUUCUAGAUAUUUGGUAACUUUAGAAUUAAGAUGGUGCAUCUCAUUUGGUGAGAUAACUCACUUCAUUUCCUUUUAUCCCAUUUGACUAUAUGAAAUCAUCGAACUUAUUUGGGAAUGUUUGAGAUGUAAGUUAUGGUUUGGUGUUUUGCACAUAGCAGGCAAACAAAAAAUAUUGAGGUAAAAAUGAUCUGCUAGCUAAAAUAUCUAAUUAGUAGAUGGCAAGAAUUUGUGAACUUAACCAAGUCGCCUAAGUUCUGUGGUAAAGGGAGGUAAGUUCCGCCACCUGGAUUCGAGUAGCAUAGGCCACGAGGAUUCGAAAUUUAACAUGGUUUUCCCCGGUCUCAAAAGAUUAGUCUUUGGGCCUAGAAAACCUUUAGGAACACUCAUGAGUUAUCAAAAAAAAAAAAUGAAUUUGUGAACUUAAUUUCGCGUAAAUCAUUAGACGAUGCUCAAAAUUAAUUAUUUGUACAUAGUUUAUGAUAGCUAAAAUGAUAGAAUAGAUUUUUGUAUUAGUAAUGAAAAAAAACAAUAGAAAAGCAAACACAAAUAUAAACGAGACACCAAAAUUUUCAUGAAUUUUGAUAUCCUCAAUUUAUACUUCGAGAUAAAUCUCUAUAAAAGCAUUAUUUUUGGAAUUUUUGUCAUGUCUAAUGAAUGUUUGCUAUUUUCAUAACUCAUCCAAAUUUAACAUACUAGCUAGUUUAGCACAAAGUAUCUAAAGAACGAGGAAAAAUAUUAUUUGAGGCUAAGUUGAUAUUGGUAAAUGAUGAGGAAUCAAAAUCAUGGUUUUACCAAAAGUAAGAAAGAACAUAAUAAUGUUGGUCGUUAGUUGUAGCCUUGUAGGUUUACCAACUUCAACCCUUCUUCUUUACUGUUACAUUCUUCAAAAUUUCUAUUUUUAUCCAAUAACAUUAUCUAGUUCUAACUACAUACCUUUUUGGUUUUGAAUGAAUGAAUUACUUUACUAUGCUUUCUGUAAAUCUUUUUAUUUUGAGUAUUUUCUUUUAUAAAGUAAAUUUAUAAUUACUUUAUUCGGAAACAUGAUUAAUAAUUGAAAAAAUACCAUUACAUAUGUAAAAAGAAUAUCGGUCUAUACUUUUAUUUUCUGCAUGAAUUAUUUUACGUUGUUAUCCAUAUGUUUGGAGAUUUAUUUGAAUUUCGGUUCGAUAUUUAAUAGUUCGAAAUUAUUUUAAUAUUUCAUAUUAUUCACCAAAAAUACUCUUCAUCCAUUUGCAUGCAAAUGUAUGUAUUGGAAUUAUAAAGGCCUAGCUCUUUUUUUUUUUUUUUACGUCAACUCAAGAGCUUAGUUCAUGUUCAUUGGGCUUUAAAUAUAUAUUCAAAACCACAAACAUAGAAUUAAAAAAUUCAAACUUUCUAAAAUCAAAGCCCAUAUAUGAAAGUGCAUGUAUGAUGAUGUUCUUCUAACAAAUAUUUCGUAUUACUCGUCUGAGACCAACACCGAUGACAGAGACGCAAUCAUGACCGAGCACGAUCGAAGACCCAAAAGAUACCUUUCUUAAUUUAAUCGCAUUACUCUCAUUUUAACCGUUACAGAAAGACAAUUUUUCUUUUAAUAAUCAAAGAGGUUAUGGUGGAAAAAUAUUAGAGAAGAAGAUAAUUAAUAAUGGGAUCAUUCAAGAUUAAUCCUUGAAACAUUUCAGUAUGUAGCAUGUACGUUAUAUAUAUAACUUAUAAGGGUAAAACUUAUAUAUAUAUAUAUAUAUAUAUAAUAUUUUUUUAUGAAUAUACAAAUCGACUACAUUACAGUUUUUCUACAUAUAUUACUAUUAUUAUUAUUGAAUGUUAAUAUUUCCUCUAUCUAAUAUCUUAUUUAUUACUUAAUCUCUAAUAUAGGUGACUAGAAAACAGAAAAUGGAAAACCAAAAAUAUUAAUUUGAUAAAGAAAAAAUAUCCAAUAUUUAUCAACAUAUAUCUUUUAAUUCAGUAGCUAAUUAUGACUGUAUAUGUUAAUGUUUUUAAUUAGGAGAAAUUUGGAAAGAAUGAAUUUUCAGAUGAGGUAUAGUUGAAUAGAUUUUUAAUAAAUUAGCUACAAAAAUUCAUUAUUCAACAUCUAAUAUAUUUAUUUCCUAAGAGCUUUUAUUGACUGAAGAUAUAUCUUAACAACCAUAAUUCAUCAUUCAUCCUAUAUAUCUCCAGUCAACAAAAGCUCUUAGGAAAUAAAUAAAAGCUGUUAGGAAAUAAAACUAUUAGAUGUUGAAUGAUGAACUUUGUGUGUGAAUGUGUGUGUAUGUGUUUGUGUGAUUUGAAAUAUAUAUAUAUAUAUGUGUGUGUGUGAUUUGAUAUUUCAAACUACAAUACGAUUAUUACACUACUCAUAUAUAAUUUAAAAGCUUCUGAUAUUGAAAAAUGACUAAAUUCAAUGUUUUCGCUGUCUUCAUUAUCCUUAUCAUAGGUUUGUUGUGUAUUAUUUUUCUAAAUCUAUAAAUAAACCAAUGUAUAUCAAAUAACAGUGUAUAUCUUAUAUGUUCUUAAAUGUAAUUUUUUGUAGGGGUGAUGGUAAUAGAGACUCAAGGAGUACGAAGAACAUCAUGUGAUAAUGUAAUUUUACAUGAAGUUGACUGUGGUGUUGGCAAUUGUUCUGCUAUGUGCAUGCAAAAAUUGAGAGGCACUGGCCAAUGCAUCCGAUCAGACGACAAAGACAAACUGGUUUGUCUUUGCGUUUAUAAUUGUAGGAGUUGAAUGUUCUUUAUGUUCUCUUCUGAUAGCUUAUAAGUUAUCAUCAAAUCCUUAAGAAAAUUGUAUGAGAUCUUUUUUUAUAUGCAAUACAUUUUUAAUGUUUGAGAAUAUGCAAAAUGUUAUAUGACAUGAUUAAUCCCAAUCGAUCCAAAUGAAAUGCUAUAAUGGAUGUUACAAGAAAACUUUGAUAAAUCAAUUCGAUCCAAUGGUAUAUUCUUCAAAUUAUUUGAAAUUCCCAAUUAAUCAUAAAUUUGUAAACACAUAGAACAAUAGAGGUUCUUCUUCACCAAAGUGGGAAACAUGAUACCUUAUAUUUGGGUAAUGCUGGUGAAUGAGUUUAUUAGCUCUAACACCAUUCCUUAACUUAUAAACACCAUCUUAGUCGACAACAUAUAAUAACAUCUUUGAACGCCAUCAUCAAAAUUAUUGGCAUAUUAGCUUUUGUAGCCGUGAUUUGUGGGUUGAGAGAGACACAUGAGCUAGAUGAAAAAAAAAUAUUAGAGAAGAAGAAGAUAAUUAAUAAUGGGAUCAUCCAAGAUCAAUCCUUGAAACAUAUCAGGAUAUGUAGGUUACACUUUCUACAUAUAUUAUUAUUGAAUGUUAUCAUUUUCCAUCUAAUAAUUUAUUUAUUACUUAAUCUCUAAUAAUAAGACACAUAAUUUAUCUUUAUUUUAUUUUUAUUCAGUUACUAAUUCUAACUGUAUAUGUUAAUGUUUUUAAUUAUUAUUUUUUUGGAAAGAGUUUAUAUUUAGAUGAGAUAUAGUUGAAUAGAUAUUUUAAAAUAAACUAGCUACCAAAAUUCAUCAUUCAAUAACUAAUAAUUUUAUAUCCUAAGAGCUUUUAUUGAAUAAGGAUCUAUAUAUAUGUGUGUGUGUGUGUGAUUUGAUAUCACUAUUCAUAUAAUUUAAAAGCUUCUGAUAUUGAAAAAAUGACUAAAUUCACUGUUUUUGCUGUCUUCAUCAUCCUUAUUACAGGUUUGUAUUGUAUUAUUAUUUCUCUAUAAUCUAUAAUUAAACAAAUGUAUGCCUUAUGUUCUUAAAUAUAAAUCUUUGUAGGAGUGAUGGUAAUAGAGACUCAAGGAGUACGAACAUCAUGUGAUAAUGAAAUUUUACAUGAAAUUGACUGUGGUAUUGGCAAUUGUGCUGCUAUGUGCCUGACAAAAUUGAAUGGAACUGGCCAAUGCAUCCGAACAGGCGAAGACAAAUUGGUUUGUCUUUGCGUUUAUAAUUGUAGUGUUUGAAUGUUAUCUUUGUUCUCUUUCUAUAUCUUAUAAAUUAUCAUCAAGCAAAAUCUUUUUUUAUGCAAUACAUUUUUAAUGUUUUGAGAAUAUGAAAAAUGUUAUCUGAUAUAAUUAAUCCCGAUCGAUUCAAAUGAAAUGCUAUAGAAGGUGUUACAAGCAACCUUGGUAAAUCGAUUUGAUCCAAUUAUAUAUUUUCAUAACAUUCAAAAUUCCCAAUUCAUCAUAAAUUUGUAAACACACAGAACAAUAGAGGUUCUUCUUCACCAUAAUGGUAAAUAAGACAUCAAAACAUAAACACAUGGAAAUGUUUAAUAAGACAUCAAAACAUAAACACAUGGAAAUGUUUAAAGGAUAUCAUUUAAAGUUUUUAUAUAUAGUCAAAAACAUUCAUAGAGAUUGACUUGACUAUUUGAAACUCUGAAUGAAAAAAAAAAAAAAAAACUAUAUAUCAAAACUUUAAAUAACACCAAAUGUAUCAUAAUCUUACAUAACUCAACUAUAGUUUGAUAUAUCGAAAGAACUGAUAAAGAAAAACUCAGAAAACUUUAGGAAUCAUCAAACGAAAACAAACGGUUUAGCCCUGAGGCUUGUAAGAGAAACCAUUAAUAGUGAAACCUCCAUCAACACAAAUGGUUUGACCAGUUAUAUAAGAAGCUGCCGGAAAACAAAGAAAUGCCACAAGCGAUGAGACUUCGUUUGCUUUACCAACUCGUCCCAUUGGUGUUUUCUUCUCCACUUCUUCUUUCAAGUCUUCAUCAUUGAGAAACUGAGUAAGAGAUUUUAACAUAACUUAUUAUUUUUCUUAUUUUCAUAUCAAUAGUAUAAAGAAAUAUCUGAUAUUUGCAUUUAUUUCUGAUUUGUUGCGUUACAUUGUCAGCUAAAGGAGUUGCUAUGAACCAUGGACAGACAGAGUUAACCCUAAUGUUGUCACUUGCCCACUCGCAUGCUAAGUUUCUUCCUAGCUGAUUCAUUGCUCCUAAUUUAAACAAUGUAGAUUUAUGAUGUUUUUGUUACUCUCAUAACGUAGAAGAUAAUUAAAAGUUUAAGUAUGUAUAUAUAUACCUUUAGUUGCUCCAUAGAUGGAACCAACAUUGAUAUGCACAACCCCUGAAGCAGAGGACAUGAGUACAAUGCUCCCUGAACCAGAGGCUUUCAACAAAGGAUGUGCAAGCUGUGAGAGAUGAAAAGUUGACUCGAGAUUUGUAGCCAUCUGAAAUGAGUAAUCAUGUGCUGUAUACUCUGUGGUCGGCUUUGUUAUACAAGUUCCCACGUUGCUUACCUAUAUAUAGACCAAACCAAGCACAAUAAUACACAACAAAAUCACUUGAUCUUGCUCAAAAUCUUAUUGAUCCUGCUGUAAAACAAAAACGUACAAGGAUGUUGAGUUUUCCUUGGAAGAGAGAGGAAACGGUUUCCAUGAGUUUCUCUCGUUGGUCAUGAGAUGAAACGUCGCAGACAGAAGUGGUGACAUGAAACCCUUUUGCUUGCCAUUCACGUAAGCGUUCUUCAAGCUGAGUUUCGUCUCUUGCACAUGUGUGAACCCUUGCUCCCAACAUGGCGAGUUCCUCCACCACAGCUUCCCUAUUUAUAUAAUACACAUGGGGAAUGAGUUUCACAUCAUCAAGAUUUACUCUUUUCAGGGUUUAAACAUUGAAAUAUAAUCAAAAACCAUAUUUAUAAUUCCACUUUAGAUAUUGGGAUAAUAGGAUACUAUGUGAAGAGUGAGGAAUUGGAACUGACCCGAGGCCUUUCGAGCCACCUGUGACGAGAGCGGUCAUGCCUCCAAGGCUCCAUCUAGUUUUGUCUCUCAAGUUUUCCUCUGUCUUAGCCAUUUUUGGUGGUAUCAGUUUCUUCAAUAAAGGCCACAUAUAUAACCAAGACGAGUUGUGAUUGUGAAGAUGGGCCAUGAGAAAUUACGUGAUUGUUUUGAGUUUUUGUGGUAUCAGUUUCUUCAUCUCUUUCCCCAUUGUGAUAAUGAAUUUUGUUUUUUGUUUUUUUUUUUUAAAUGAAACUUUCACAUUAUAAUCAUGCGAAUUUCCUGUCAUCAGUGCAAAAUCUUACACAAUUUUGACAAUUUGUAUUAGAAUGAUGACUUUGUUUCGUUAUUGACUAUCGUAUAAAAAGUUUCACACUUUUAUAAGACUUUUUAUGUGGAAAACUUUAAACGUUAAAAUGUAUGAACACUAUAUAACGUUAAAGAUUUUUUUUUUUUUCGAAAUUUUGGAUAAACACAUUUCAGAAUAUUUGGACCUUGGCUUACAACAACCAUAUGCAUAAUUAUUUUUAUUUUUUUUAAACUUCAAGAAUACCAAGAAGACAGACCCAUAAUAACCCGUACAUAGUUUUAUUUAUUGAAUAUGAUUUUAUAUAUGUGUUUUAAGGCACAGGCUUGAAGGAGAAACCAUUGAUAGUGACACCUCCAUCAACGCAGAUGGAUUGGCCUGUAAUGUAAGAAGAUGCAGGAAGACAAAGAAACGCCACAAGCGGUGAGACUUCAUUUGCCUCUCCAAUACGUCCUAUCGCUGUCCUCUUCGCGGCUUCUUUUUUAAACUCUUCGUCAUUGAGACACUAAGACAUUUUCACAGUUUAGUUAGUAUCAUAAAGUAAUAUUUUCAUUUUUACAUUGACCAAAGGAGAAAGUUUUAUUUUGGCCUUUACAUCAUAAGUUAAAGGAGUUGUGAUGAACCAUGGGCAAACAGCGUUAGUCCUUAUGUUGUCGCUCGCCCAUUCGCAAGCUAAGUUUCUAGCUAGUUGAUUCAUGGCUCCUGAAAUGAGUUUAUAUACACUUAUAUAUGUAAAAUGUCACAAUACAAAGGGAAUAUAUUAUUUUACGGAUGUUCUUGUAUAUAGCGUACCUUUGGUUGCUCCAUAAAUGGAUCCAACAUUAUUGAUAUGUACAACUCCAGCAGUGGACGACAUGAGCACGAUGCUCCCUGAACCAGAUGCUUUCAACAAAGGGUGCGCGAGCUGCGAGAGAUGGAAAGCUGACUCGAGAUUUGUGGCCAUUAUAAACGAAUAUUCUUCUGCUGUAUACUCUGUGGUCGGCUUGACUAUGAACGUACCAGCGUUGUUGACCUAUAUAUAUAUGUAUAGACACAAUAAACACAUUACAUGAUUUGGUUCUUGUAGAUCUCAAUAAGCAUAUAUAUAUGUAUACUUACAAUGAUAUUGAGUUUUCCUUGGAAGAGAGUGGAAACGGUCUCCAUGAGUUUCUCUCGUUGAUCACGUAAAGAAACGUUGCAGACAGAAGUGGUGACCUGAAACCCUUUUGCUUGCCACUCACGUAAGCGUUCUUGUAACUGAGUUUCGUCUCUGGCACAUGUGUGGACUCUUGCUCCCAUCAUAGACAGUUCCUCCACCACAGCUUCCCUAUUCAUGACACACAGAAACAUAUACAAUAGUAAAGUUCUUCGUAUUUAAAUAUCAUGAUAUGCAACCGAUUAUAGAAAUAUAUGAAAACGAGGACUGACCCAAUGCCUUUAGAGCCACCAGUGACAAGAGCUGUCAUGCCUCCAAGACUCCAUCUAGAUUUGCCACUCAUGUUUUGUUCUGUCUUAGCCAUUUUUGGAUAUCAUAUUUCUUCAAUGAAGGUCACGUAUAUAUAUAUAACCAAGACUAGUUUUGAAAUUAGAUCAUGAGAAAAUUACGUGAUUGUUUCUAACUUUGGAAACCUUUCAUCUCUUUCCACAUUUUUGAUAAUGAUAUUUUUUUUUUUUUUCUUUUAAAUGAAACUUCCACAGUAUAAUUGACAAUUUCCACAUUAGGAUAGUGACUUCUAUGUUAAGUGACAAUCAUACUAUUAUUAUAAGGACUUUUUAUGUUCAAUGAAAAACCAUAACCAUUUAAAACGAACAUUAUUAAGAUAUCUUUGUAACGUUUCACAAAAUACAAUAGUGAGCAUUGUUAAAGUCCGAUUGACAACGACUAUGAUUUUAGUAGCUGUAGAUAUUUUGGUUGUUUAAAAUUUUUGGCUGGAAAACGUUUUACUGUUGCUGCAGAGACUUUAAUUAAUAAACUAUUAUAGAGAGUUUAAUUAUUUAAUUUUCCUUCUUUAUAUAUAUUUUUUAUACUACUAUACAAAUUUGAUUAUCAAUAACUAAAAAGUAUUUUUUUAAUAACAUCCCACGAAUCAUUUUUUUUUGCAUCAAAAUCUUGUUUUAAAUUGAUUUCCAAAUCAGUUUUUUUCGUAGUACAUUUUUAUAAUGAGAUAAAAUAUUAAUUUAUAUAGCUAUGAAAAUAGUUGUAGAAAAGGACGUAGUUUAAUCAAACACUAUAUAGCACAGGUUUUAGGCUUCGAGACUGAUGGAAAGAUAAGACCCACGAAAUAGAUUAUUGGGCCUUACUCCGCCCAUUUAUAAUCUCACAAUCUCAAGAAGACAUGAACCGUUGGAUGUAAAGAAAACACUAAAACUGGGAUAUGUCCAGCCAGAAUCUGAAGAGAUAGAGAAUCUCGGAGUGGACGAACCAUGUCAGGGACAACAACACCAUCUCUAGCUCUUUCAAAUUUCAGACCAAGAUUUCAAAAUCCAGUUAAAACCCACCAUUUAAAUCCACUCUCUUGGUCUGUUUCAAGAAGAAAGAUCUUGCCUUCUAAGGUUCUUCGUCUUCACCAGGAAAAGAAAACACAACUAUGGAGAGUCUCUGCAACUCCAGAGGAAAUAUCUAAAGAGAUCGUUUCUUCUGAUUCUUCUUCUUCUGAAGCAAUUGUUUCAAGUGGUGAUCCAGAUGGUGUUGCUUUGAUUAUACAAGUACUUCUCUUUGUUGCAUUUCUUGUUCUCACUGUUCUCACCAUUGGUGUAAGUUUUAUCCACAAAAACCAAUCUUAUCUAUAACUUGUCGGAUCAAAAUUAGCAUCCGGUUUGCGAGUUUCUAAACCGGUUUUGAGAUCCUGUGGCAGGUUGUGUACAUUGGGGUGACUGAGUUUCUUGGGAAGAAGGAGAGCGAGAAGUUUGAGAAAGAGGAGGCAGCAAAGAGGUCUAAGAAAGGUGGGAAGAAGAAGGCUAUGAGAGCCAGAGCUGGACCAAGAGGUUUUGGUCAGAAGAUUGAAGAUGAUGACAUUGACAUUGACAUUGAUCUUUAAUGAUUUUGUUCCAUUGCUAUUAGAGAGACCAAUAUUGAUUUUGUUUGUGAGGUUGCUCUGUGAUUGUCGCAUUUAUGAUAUGUCUUGUGUACCAAGCAACAUGAUCGAUAUAAACAGCAAGUUUGCAAAAAUACAGAAACAAACGAGUUUAUCGUGAAAUAGGAAACAGGAGUUUUGAUGAAACAAAUUACAUAGAUGGAGAAAACUCUAAAAACUGGGAUUGUCCUAAAACAUGAACAUAUUCUCACUUCUACACAUUUGGCAAUGAAACGGCCAUUCUUUUGUGUGAAGGAAACUCUAAAAUCCUCAACCCAUCUUUACACCAUUCUCUGCAUUGCCUCUCUCUCUCUCUCUCUCUCACUCAUCAGCCUAAAGUGGGAUGUUUGGUUCUAUGUAUAGAAAACCGUAAGCAGCUACACAAUUUUACAGAUUUUGCAGAGAAAACAAAACUCUCCUUCACAAUUUUCCCGCAGAUUAUUUUCGGUUUAGAUCUUACCUAAUUCUUAAAACGCAAUGGCAGAGCCAUCCACCCUAGUUAAGCUGUACAACAUUAGCGGCCUCACACCAUCUGAGGCUGGGUUAGGGACUGCAAAGCCAUUCUCCUCUCUGCAUAUAAGAAAAGAAAAAAGCACAUAGAGACAGUUAAUAGCCCACAGAAAUGCUUGUUGUGUCUCACUUUCUCUUCAACAAGAAAGUAAAAAUAUAGAAAUUAAUGCAGUAACGACAAUUUGGUAGGCUUGUAGCAGAUAAAGGUCGAAACUUUGGACCCAAAGAACCUAUUAUACAUACCUCCAGCAGCAACGAGUUUUUCAACACGAGCAACAAUGUGCUUUCCAUAAGUGUAUUUCUUUAGAGCAUUGAGAUGCACUUUAAUACGAGUAAGUAUCAGCUCACGUUGUUGGUCAUCACAUGUCUCUAAAACUUUUUGCACUACAUAGUUGGCAAACUGAUCUUUCAUCAUCGCCUAUAUACAAAACAUGAAGAAGAUUAUGAGCUAAUACCUUUCUGUACACCAACAAUCAUCUGAAAGUAUGUGUUUGACAAACCUGAAGAGGCUCGUUUUCAUCAGUUGUGCCAAGCAUCUCAUUCACCAGCAAUUCCCGUUGCUCUGGACCUCCAAAAGUCAAACAUUUCUCAACGACAUUCGAAGCAAACUUCUGCUGGCUCAUCUGAACAAUCUUUCCCGCUAAUUCCUUGAUUAUUACAGUACGCUCAUCAGGCUUUCCGUGCUCCAAUACAUGCUGUAAACAAAACCAGUAUUAGUUUUGAGCAAACUGAAUAAAAUACCAAGUAAUUUAUAUUUUUCACAAACCUGAAUAACAUAGUUUCCAUACUGAUCUUGAGCCAGCAUACUAACAGUGGUCAUGAUUUCUUCCAUAACCUUACUCUGUGUAUCAGGUUCAUGACAGUGUUCCAAUACCCUCUGCAACAUAAGACGAGAAGAGUUUUACUUGGAAGCAUACAAUCAACAAAUGUGUAAUUUCUCUUUAUUACUAAGAGCAAGAACCUGAAUAACACGGCACCCAUAUGGGUGAGUGGAGAGGGUCACAACAUUGCCAAAGAAAGUGGAAAUAAUGAAUUCUAUGUUUUCUUCAGGCACACAUUCGAUGCACUUUUGAACAACAUGGUUCCCAUUCUGAUCCCGUACACAUCGCAUUACAUGUCCAUCUAGUUCUUUCACCAUUUUGAUUUUCUGGUCUAGAUCAACCACCUCAAUUGCCUAAAAAGGAAAAAAACAGAAAAACUUAUGAAACUCAUAACUGUUAUUGAAAAGCAAAUAUAGACUUAUAGAGAUCAGUAAAACCGGUGAGAACUAGACUUUACCUUCUGGAUAACACGACAACCAUACAUCUGUAAGCUAAGAGGCAAAACAUUGUCAAAGAGUUUAUCCGCCAAUUCUCUCCUCUGUGGCGGUAGUCCAUGCUCAAAGAACUGUAGGAAGAUAAUCAAAAGUCAGUACUAACUUAUGUUACAAUAUCUUAACUCCAAAUUAAACAAAAGAUGAAGACUAAAUAAAUCUACCUUCUGAAUCACAUAGUUUCCAAAAACAUCUGUCAUCAGGGCGAGAGCUUGUGGCAUGAUCUCCUCAUAAACCAUGUUUUUCUCAUCAGUUGUUGCUGUCUCGAGUUUCUGCUGAAUAAACCGGCUCCCAUAUUGAUCCGCACUGAUCGCCAAAUUGACAAAAAUCCCCCAAAUAAGUGUUAGAUUAGGACAAAUAUAGACGCAAAAAAAAGGGAAAAUACAGUCCAGGAAAUACCUGAACUCCACAACAUGUCCAGCUAUUUCAGAAAGUUCAAACCCUCUUGUUUUGUUACUUUUAAACUCUUCAAGCAAUGAAGAUCCAAAGCCUUCAUCCAAACUAGCAUCCAUGUGCCAAGAACCCAUAACCCCUCCAGAGUAGUUUCUUGUUGCAGAGGGAUAGCGCAUAUUAACUUCACCUCGUCUCAUAGGGCUACAAGGUGACAUAAGAGAAUUUUGCAUAGCAUGAUGAGCCAAUGGGCUACCAGGAUAUGACAUGUUAGACCCAAAUGUUGGACUCCCAUAAUAGCUAUGGCUGUUAGGGCUCCCAGAUUUGUAAGGAACACCAUAUUGUGAUUUCUGAGCUCCGAGAUAGGCCCUCUGGAGUUCAAGCAUAUUCAUGUAUGAAUUACCCAUAAAGCUCCUGUCCAUUGCAGGAUCAUUAAGAAGAUCAAGCGCAUCAACAUUCUCAGAGUACCUCCCGUACUGAUGAUACAUUGGAUCUGCCAUAUGUGACUGAAGACCUCCUCCUCCCAUCAUUCUAUUGGAUCUGCCAAGAUUACGUGAUUCAAAACCUCCUCCAUGAAGUCUGGAGUCCAUUCCAGAAAAUCCCAAAGCAGAUGCAGCAGAAUAAUUAUCAUACAUUGGAGAAAAGUUACUGUUCCCAAGUUGGUUAGCCAUCACAGAAGCUACAGCUGGAUUUAAUGCGUAAUUGUUCAGACAAUAGUUUGGGCUAUCAAGAUGCUGGUAAGGAUUAGCUAAUCCACCUCCAUUAUAGGCAGAUCCUUGCGACCCUCUCAUAUGUAAGUUCCUUAAAGAACCAGUUGCCUUCUGUGCUUGAUCAGAUUUGUUUGGGAAAACAUGUUGACUGACUUCGUUAUGCCCACCUUGAAAUCCAAACAUAUAGUUCCUGACCUUUUCAACAUCCUGCUCAGCCUGACCACGAUCAUCUAACCCGCCACUGCCUGACAGGUUCAUGCCAGAUAAAGCAUUGACAAGAUCAGAAGACUCAUUGAGACCGGAUGUAACACCGUUGAACGGGCUUUGGUUACUUGUGUUCCUCUUGUCAUUUGAACUCACUCUUCCACUCCCAAUAGGAGUAAGGCAGGGACUAGGCACUCUAGCAACAGCCUGUGGAUCUGGAGUUCCAUUUCUAGACAAAGAAGAACCCAGAACAGCUGCAUAACUGUAUGGAGGUGGCGCACCAAUGCCUUGUGAAGCAGAUGGAGACUGAUUAUUCGUGGAGUCCACAUUUUCAUCAAAGGCAUUACGACUAGCUGGACGUGAAGGCUGUUGUGAGACAGGAUGCCCCAUAUCAGGCUGCACAAAAGCAAUCUAAAUAAGCAGGGGAAAUAUACACAUACAAUAAUGAUUUUGAAUGAACACUAUACAUCCAUUAAGGGGGAAAGGGCAAACAUCAGACAAGAUGACAAGGAAAAAAGGGCAAGCAUCAAAGAUGAAGAGUAAAGUAUUACAAACCUGAAAGAUAUCAGCAAAACUCUUCUGCUUGCCUCCAAGCCCCAAACCCGGCAAACCAAUCAAUCCAUUAGCAUCCCACUCAGAAGAAGAAGCAUUAGUUUUCUCAGCCUCAAACUCAUUCAUCUGAUCAAAACCAGGUGGCAUAGAGAACAAAGAUCUACUCUCAUUCACAUUUCUCCUAUCCCCAACACCACCUAACACGUUGCUACUCCCUUUAAGCCUCUGAGCAACCCUCAAAUCCUCCCUAGACAUCAAAGGCGGUGGCAACCUCGGAUUCAACUUCAUAUUAGCAUAGUAAUAAGACAAGUAAGCCGGAUCUUUCCUUAACUCAUCAUCAUCACCACCAAACCCAUUACCCUUAUUACCUCCACCAAACUCCAUAAAAGGACCCCUACCUCCGCCGUUAAAAAGCCCUCCAGCAGCGUUAACAGAGCCAUCCACAGUCGGUGGUGCAGAGCCACUUCUAUACAAGUUAAGCUCUUUCUCAAUCUCAUCAGCUUCUUCUUGGCGUCUCUGCUGCUCACCAAGCAAUAAGCCAAUCUCUUUCUCAUAAUCAUCCCCAAAAGACAAAUCCUCGUUACCUCUAUGCAUCGGUCUUCUCCCCAGUUCCGGUAUCAUUAUCACCUAUAUAACAAAAAAAACCCAAAAUCAAUAUAUCAGAUUUUACUCAUAUAUACAAAACGCUUCCAAGAUUAAAAGAACAAAAAAAUACAUAAAGAUCAAACCUUUAUACCUCUCAAUAUAUACAAUCUCCAAAAUUCUCUGUUUUAGAAACUAAACGCAAAGAUCAAAACUUUAUCAAGCGAUACUCAAAUCCAUUCCAGAGAUUGUAUCAAUGAUUUGAUUUUUCAUGUUACUGUUUGUUUUAAAAUAAAGAACCCUAAUCACAAAGACUUUAGAUUUUGAGAGAGAAAAAAAAAUAGUAGCUGAAUUGGGGGAAAAAAAAGUGGUUUUUAUAGUGUUGACGGAAAAAUCCGGCGGCGAUGCAAGAACCUUAGGGUUUUUGUUCCUCUUUUAUGAUUUUUAACAAAGAAAUUAAAGUUACGGCGAAUUGAUAUUUAGGGUUGGUUUGACUUAGCGAAUGAAAAACGCAUUUAACUAAUUAAUUUAAAAAAAUGAGAAUUUGGAAGAUAACUACAAACCUUAUUUUUCUCGUUGAAACUGUUGUUUUAAGAUCCUUUUGAGUUUUGUCUUUAUGUUUCAGUUUGGGUCUUAGAGCAAAAGCCUUUACAAAGUACACAACACUUCAAAGUCUAGGUGACUAGAUUUUUAGGUUCAAAAUUAGUAAAAAAACUACCUUAAUUUUGUGUAACUCUGCUUUUUUCCCAAGAAUAUUGCAAGUUUUGGAAAUUUUCUUGAAGUGUCAUAAGUUUUAGGUUUAUGAAAAGUUUCUAAUUUUUUUAAGAAAUGUUCUUAAAUCAAAUAUGACGUGCCGUUUAAGUUUUGAGAUUUUCUGGUUAUCAAAAAGGAUAGAUUAGCUUAAAACACAAAAGUUUUUGUUAAUCCUCCCGUUAAUAAUUACGUGCCGUUUAAGUUUUGAUACGCAUAUAGAAAAUAAAUAAAUUUUAUGUUUCCUCUUUAUUUAAUUUUUCAUUAUAUUAUUGGCUUGUACAUUUAAUCAAAAAAAUAGUAAAGUAUAACGACACUUAUAUUGAUCUUAAUCCCUCCGUUGUUAAUUACGUGCCGUUUAAGUUUUGACACGCAUAUAGAAAACAAAUAAAUUAUAUAUAAAAAUAUAUUGAAAAUAUUGGUCAAUACAUUUAAUCAAAGAAAUGAAACCGUAACUUUUAUGCAUCAAACUCGAAUUAUAUUAGAUAAGGGGAGAAAUUCGAAUGAACAUCAUUUGUGAUUACAAGAGGAAUAAAAUCAUAAGAAAAAUAAAGAGCAUUAUUAGGAAUCAUAUGUUUGGGGAAGACAUCUGCAAGUUUGUUGCACUCUCUUUGAGCCCAAGCAAAACAAUAGUCUAUGAAUUUUCAUGAACCUCCUUAUCCAAUUGUAAGCAGCGAAGUUAAGCUUAUGACCAUUUAGAAUAUCCACUAUUUCUUUGUUGUCACCUUUAAAGCAAACAUUUGUAUAACCUUUAUUCCUACAAUAUUUCAUCGAGAAAAGAAGAGCAUGCCCUUCACUUUCUAAAGAACAACUUGUUUGCUUUCCUUGAGCUUGACCUGCCGCUAAGAAACUCCCUCUAUCAUUUCGAAUUAUCCAACCAACUUUUGAUGAUCGAUCCCAAACAAAAGUACCAUCAUAACUGCAUUUAACCCAUCCAGAAUAUGGUGUUUUCCAGUGAAGAGCUUCUUGAGGCAUAUUAGAGAUUAAAGUAUUCUGAAACAUUCCAGUGGGACUUCCCUCCUGAUCAUACCACUAUUUAGCAGUAGAAGGAGCUUUUCUUAUUACAUUUUCUCUACAUAAUAUUAUUUUGUUGAAAGACAAAUUUAUUAUGAGAUAUCCAAAAAGUCAAAGAAUCCAAAAGAGAAGAUUUUUUAAAUGAAGAAAAACCAGGUAGACAUAUUGCAUUUGAAAAUUUAUACAUCUUAGUUUCCAGAAACUGUUGAAUCGUAAAAAAUUGCAUUUGAAAUGCCUGAACUACACCAAACAACUUUAGCAUAAGUGCAUUCAAGGAAAAGAUGGCUUGUAAUUUCUUCAUGAGAGCAACAUAUUUUACAUCCCGAGAACCGACUUAUGUGUGUAUAACGAAGAUUUCCACUUGUAGCUAAAACCGUAGUUUUUAUUAAAAAUGUACAAUAUGAUAUUUAGUUUAAUAUGUAGGGAAUGUAAAUUAGGAGAUGACAUUGCAUCUAAAUCAUGAAUUUAUGAUAAUUAGUUACUUACAUUAGAACAUUUUCAUUUCAAUCCAUUGACGAAUCUGAUAAACCAAUGAGACAUCGCCUCAAUUUUUUAAUGUCAUAAUUCAAAUCUAUAUUAACAUUUUUUAAGUACCUUUUGUGUUCUACCCUUUUAUUUUGUAAUAUUUACAUAACUAAACCAUGGCCAUUUAAUUAAAUAACAAAAGUUUAGAGUAAAUUUUGUAAUUAAAUCAUAAUAAAAUUACAAAAUUGGAAAUUAGUAUUUAUUACAUUUAACAAAAUUUCCUAAAAUAUCUCCCUAAAAAACUGAAAAUUUCUUAAAUAUCUUUAAAUGAUCUAAAUUAUUUUUAAAUUUUAUAUUCUUACAUAUAACAUCUAUAUUAACAUUUUUGAAGUAUUUUUUGUGUUCUACCCUUUUAUUUUGUAAUAUUUACAUAAUUAAACCAUGGCCAUUUAAUUAAAUAACAAAAGUUUAGAGUAAAUUUUGUAAUUAAAUCAUAAUAAAAUUACAAAAUUGGAAAUUAUUAUUUAUUACAUUUAACAAAAUUUCCUAAAAUAUCUCCCUAAUAAACUGAAAAUUUCUUAAAUAUCUUUAAAUGAUCUAAUUUAUUUUUAAAUUUUAUAUUCUUACAUAUAACAUAUGUAUCAUAAUAAUACAAAUUUCUUUCCGCAGAUGUUGAAAUAUGAAUUUUUGAAAACAAACGUAUAUUAAUUGAUACAUUAAAUGUAUGUAUUAAAAUACUAUUGGUAAUUGUGUAGCACGAGUCAUAUGAUGGAACAAGUUAUAAAUUACAUAAUUAUGAUUAUAGAUGUUUUUACGGGUUGUAUACUAUAGUAUAACUAACAAAAUAUUUUUAUAUGAAACUAUAUUAUUUAAACGAAAAAUGUUAUGUCAACAUCAUUUCAUUAUUUUAAAUAUUAUACUUAUUUAAUUAAGAUGAUCAAAUUACGAUUAUAUAAAAGAUAAAUUAUCAUACAAUAUUUUACGGGUUAAAUCAAAAAAUUAAUAAUCAAAAUAUAGUAAUACACUCUUAUAUAUCAAACAAAAUUAAUAAAAAAAAUACUGUUUAUAAUAUCGGCUCCGGUGUACCGCGGGUUAAAAUCUAGUAUGUGUUGAUUUUUGUAGAAACCACUUGUUUAUGACUCUAAAAAAACAAAACAAACUCGAAAAAAACCUAGGACAAGAUUGAUUUUUUUUUUUCACUUUACUAACAAAGAUUUGGCAAAUGUCCCGUAUAAAAGUGCUACAAAACCUAUAAUUUUGAUGAUGGCGACGACAGUGAGAUCAAUCUUCGUCGAAGUCAUCACCAACACAUCUCUAGCCACUAUAAUAUUCUUGUUGUUUAACUCACCAAAUCAUCAAAGUCUCCUCCACCAAACUACAUAAACAACAUAUCAUCGUCUACCUCUCUACAAGAAACUCCAACCAUGGUACUUCACCUCAUUUCAAGAAAUCAUAAGCUUCUCUACUAAAGAUGAUGUUUUGGGCUAAAUGGUACUAAUAUGCCCAUUAAAAAAACCCAAUAGGUUAGUGUAUAAAUUAUGACGCUUAUGGCCCAUUAGUUACAUACUUGUGGUAAUAAAAGUGAUUUUCAUAAGAACUUGAGGGUACCAAUGGAAAAAUAAAAUUAAGUAUCUCUCAUUCUCAUCUCAUAUAGCUAGGGCUCGUAAAAUCUCUUCAAAAUCUUUUGUUUCACAUCUAACACAAAAAGCACAAAAUCUCUCUCAAGCUUCUUCGAUCUUGCUUCCCCCAAACCCUUAAACAUGUCCGGCGGAUUCUUCCGGGUUAGUUCUCCGAUCUUGUAUACUGUGAUUGAUAUAAUCAGCUUUUAGAUCCAGAUCUUAAGCUUACUUUUCCCAUGGCUUUGAUUUGAUUCUUCUCCAUGGUAUGUCUGAGAAGAUGGGUUUGGAUUACGUUUUCUGAUUUGGGUUUGUUUUUUUUAGGGUACUUCUGCGGAGCAGGAUACUCGGUUUUCUAACAAGCAAGCCAAAUUGAUGAAAAGUCAGAAAUUUGCUCCGGAGUUGGAGAAUCUGGUCAGUUUGUUUCCCAUGUUCUUUGUGUGCUCUUCCAAUUUUGAAGGAUUUGUGGAUUCUGUAAUCGAACUGUUUUGUGUGUGAAUUCGUAGCUUAUUGAAUCACUUUGUUGAGAUUCACAUUAUUGUGUUAUGUAGUUUUGGAGGGCUUUAAUAGUGUUAUCAUUUGAUUUAAUUGUGGCUACUGACUGUUCCUAUGCUUGGGUUGGUGUUUAGGUGGAUGUGACCAAAGUGAAGAUGGAUGUUAUGAAACCUUGGAUUGCGACUAGAGUCACUGAGCUUCUUGGUUUUGAAGAUGAAGUUCUGAUCAACUUUAUUUAUGGUCUUCUUGAUGGGAAGGUAGCUUAACUCUCGGCGUUUUCUUUUCCUAUUCAUUUGUCAUGUUGAAAAAUUGAUUGGAUAUGUCUUCAGUGUUGUUGGUUGAUGUUACAUGUGAUAAAAGAGGGGGUGAUCUACUGAUCUAGUUUUAUCAAGUGAGCUUUGUCGUUACUGUCGGAUUUUUUUGUUGGACUAUUAUGUAAAUUGAAUCGUGUUCCUAAUGUAGGUAGUGAACGGUAAGGAGAUUCAGAUAUCGCUAACUGGGUUCAUGGAGAAAAAUACUGGCAAGUUCAUGAAAGAACUCUGGACACUUCUUCUAAGUGCACAGGGUAAUUCAAGUGGUGUUCCACAGCAGUUUUUAGAUGCCCGAGAAGCUGAUACAAAGAAGAAACAGGUAUUCUUGGGAAGUCAUGUAGAAGUUAAGAUUGAUGAUGAAUGGCUUUUCUCUAUCCUAAUGUCUCAUGAUUAUUUUACUUUUGUGACAGGAAGCAGCAAUGCAAAAAGCAAAUAGCGAGCAUGAUACAAUGAGGAAAAUAGUAAGACUAACUUAUUCAUGCUAGAGUUUCAGUCUUUAUAGAUGCUCUUUGUUUUAACAUUCGCCUGUUCUUUUUAUGUUAUUCAGAUAGCUUCUGCAAUUAUUAGGGUUCAUGUGCUUUACCUCAAACUACUGUAGGACAGCAGCGUUGAACUCAAGGUGAAAAAUGGGAUGGAGAAAAAUCCUUCAAGAGAUCUUCCAGAGGAUGUGAGAAGGGCUGACGAGAAGAAUGGUGUAAAAGAAACGAGAAGGUAGAAUUCUCUUGAUACCUAUGUUUUCAUUAUCUCUCUUGUAAAUUAUUAAUGAAACUUGACUAGAUAGAGAACCUCUGACCUCUGGUAAUAACUGUAUGCUCUUGUGUUCUUUAUCAUGUUGUAUACAUGGAGUCUGAGAAUGUGUGAUAAUUCUUGAUCGAGUCCAUCCAUGUGUUGUACUUGGAUCAUUUCUGUUAAAUACUCGCCGUCACAGUUUUUUCAACUACUUCUAUCAAUGGCUGUUUUGUUAUGCUACUGGGGCAUUGCAUUGCCUUUGCAUAUGAUAUGCUGGUUCUCUAGAUAUCUUUUUACAACUAAGAUUAUGAUGUGAGGGGGUAUUGAUAUUGCCUCCUUGAUGCAGGGAUCUGUUUUCUCCACGUCACAGAGAAGCAUCCCGCUCACCCCUUAGGUAACUUCUCAAUAAUUUUGUUCUCUGAUACCAAUUUCUUAUAUAUGUGAGCAUAUAUUGAUUGGUUGCUUUGCUUUGCAGAGGGCCACGUUCUAGGUCUAUCAGCAAAACAAAUUCAGGCUCUAGAAGUUAUUCUGGGUAUGCUGCCUUCCAUAAUUGUUUUUCUUAAUCCAAAUAAAUUGUAGCCUGUGAUGUCUAACUUGUCAAUUCUGUAUCUACUAUUUCUUGCAAGUCAUAGUGAGGUUUUUGCUAAUGGCUGACUGCCUGAUCUACUUUUACAGCAGUGAACGAAAAUCCAGGAGCUUAUCUCGGUCAUCAGAUGCCUCUAUCUCACCCAGGAAGCGAAGAUUGUCGAAUUCAAGGCGUAGAUCCAGAUCACGUUCCUUGCGCAGGUCUCGGUCUCCUCGGCGACGUAGGAUACAUUCUCCUUACGGAAGCAGGUCUCGGUCACCUAUUAGACGUUACAGGCGACCUACCCCACCCCCUUUAAGGCGUCGUCGGUCGCCAUCACCCUUUAGGCGGCGCAGGUCACCAUCACCACCAGCUAGGCGUCGCAGGUCACCAUCACCACCCGCUAGGCGACGCAGAUCCCCGUCUCCGCCUGCUAGGUCACGCAGGUCCCCUUCGCCGCCUGCUAGAUCACGUAGGUCACCGUCACCGCCUGCUAGACGUCGUCGAUCUCCAGUUCCCUUUAGAAGGCGUAGGUCUCCUUCACCGCCAGCUAGAAGACACAGGUCUCCAUCUCCACUCUAUAGACGCAACAGGUCACGGUCACCACUGGCUAAGCGGGGAAGGUCCGACUCACAAGAGAGGUCUUUAUCACCGGUUGCUAGGCGCAGAGGGCCUACUGCGGCAAGAUUGCCUUCACCACCCGUUGGCCAAAGGUUGCCUUCACCACCUCCUAGGCGUGCAGGAUUACCUUCGCCAAUGAGGAUUGGAGGUUCUCAUCCAGCCAACCACCUGGAUUCACCAUCACCCAGUUCACUGUCCCCACCCGGUGGGAAAAAUAAGUUACCAUCUCCACCUGUUAGAAGACGUAGUUCACUGACUCCUGCCAAAGAGCGAGGCUCCCUGUCACCAGCUGGACGCGGUGAAGGAAAAUCCCCUUCAUAUGUCAAGCAGGGUGGAUCUAUAUCACCUGUUAGAGCCCAUGGUAGAUCUUCUCCUUCAUCUCAUCUGAAAGCGCGCUCUCCUCGGCGCAGGUCACCAACACCUGUCACCCGACGAAGUCGAAGAUUGCCGUCUGUUUCACGAUCACCUGAUGACAGACGUAGGAGACGGUCUCCAUCCUCAAGCAGAUCUCCUUCUAGGUCGCUCUCACCUCCUGCUCGCCGUAGAUCCCCUUCUCCAAGUGGAAGAAGACAACCGAGGGACAGAAGAUCUCCUAGACAUCCAUCUGAAGAGCGAGAUAGGUGUGCUCUUCAUGACUCCCAUUUAUCAUUUGAUUUGUGUCAAUGUCUUUGAAAAUAAGAUGUUUUAAGUUACUAUCAGUAGGUAUUAAAUCCUUGACCAUCUUCUGCUUUUGCAUUGUGUACAGAGAGGACAGGACUCAGAAUUCCAAGCUAUCAAAAAGAACUGCAGUGCAGUCGCCUGAUAUUGAUAAGAGGAAACCAUUACUCGAAAAGGUGCCAGAAGUUAGGCGUGUAGAACCUGUGAAGGAGCAAGAGAGAAAGAGGUGUGUUUUCUUUCUUUAUGAUUUUCUUUUGACUUUAGAUAUAAUUUUCUUUUGACUUUAGAUUUAAAGGUUGAUAAACGUUGGCCUAUUAAACUCCUUAACAGUGAUAAGUUACCAGAGAGGCGCUCCAGUAGACCCCAUGGUUCGCAGAUGUCCCCAGUUUCGCCUAAGGAAUCACUUAGAGUAGGAAAUUCUGAAGAAAAGAGUCAGGCUCAUUCUAAUAAAGUGAAAGACAGUGAGCAGGGUGAGAAAGAGGAUAACAGUGACUUGGAUGCAAAUCUUUCCUCUGACUCUAGGGAAAAUAGCAGACAUCGAACUAAGGAUAUAAAGAGAAGAAAGGAUAAAAGGUCUGCAAGAGAAGAAAGAUCCUCAGAUGAUAAGGGCAGUUCUGAUUCUGACCUGGAAGAUAGGAAGGAGGCCAAAAGAAGGAGGAAGGAAGAGAAGAAAACGAGAAAGGAGGAGAAGAAACGCAAGCGAGAGGAGAGACGUCGUAAAAGGGAAGAACGUCGUGGUGGGAAGCUAAAACAUAAGAAUCAAGAGCAUUCAGAUACUUCAGAGGGCGAUGAAGCUGAGACCUAUCGUAAGAAUAAAAAUCGGGAGGAGUCAGAUCCAAAGAGGCUUGAGAUUGAGUUGCGAAACAAAGCACUUGAGUCACUGAAAGCAAAGAAGGGCAUCAGCCACUAAAACCUUUAUCCAGCUUUAUUUCAACAGCUUUUUUAAGAUGCAAUGCCAUGCUAGAUUUAUCUUUAAUGUGGUGUUUUUCCUUACGUGUUCCAAACUUUCUUAUGUGAUCUGUUUGUUGGUGGCAGCAAAAUUGGACAAGUGACAAUUACUCUGCUAUUCUUGAGUGCAGACUUUAUGCAGACAUUCAUGGCUCAUUUUCUGGUAACAGUUUCUUGCAUUGAGUAGACAUUUAUGAAUCUGGUAUUGUAAUUGUCUGGGAAUCAUUGUAUUGAGAGUUGAUAGAAGAAUGCUCAUGAAUAUGAUCGGACCAACUUUUGCGGUUGCUUGUGGUACCUAUGUCUGAUAAAUGAAAUGUCAUUUUAUACUGAAACUUGGUUAUACUCUGGGAUUUGUUUAUAGAUGAGUAUAGUGUCAACUACAAGACUUGGUUAAGAAAGUGGCUAUAUAACGGAUCCUCUCAUAUGUGCCUAGACCCAGUCAGGUGAAGUGCCUUUCCUAAAAUCAGAUUCGUGGGACAGACUUUUGUGAACUCUAUUUUGCUGUUUGUAUAUACUGAUGGUUGCAUUUGGGUUAACAAUCUUCUGUGUUAUGCUUGAGAUAUCUGUAACUUGUGCAAUUGCAAUUUUUCUUCUUUCUUUCCUUUUUAAUCACAAUAACAUUUAUUGGAAGCAAAAUAUAUUACAGUAUGGUACAGUUUAAAGAUUAAUAUCAUGCUUAUCCAGUCUUGGUCCAAUCUUUAUUCACACUACGAAAAUGCAAACGCUUCAGUAACAACUGGGUUUCAUGACCACUUUAUGAGUCGUUUUGUAAGACUCCAUAGAAGAGGUAGUCAUCAUGAGGGAGCUGUUCUGUACCAUCGAGAAACCGAAACACCUGCUUCAUCAUCGGCCUAACCUGAGGAGAUUGGUUUGCACAGAGAAGUCCUGUUUUGAGAACCAGUAACACUUCCCGAGCCACCAAAUGUUCUCGAUUAAUUCUUGAGUCGCAUCUUUGUAACAGAUCUCCCUUCUUGAACCCUUGAAGUACCCAGUUCACUAAACUGAUCUCUUCAGGAGGUUUUGUGGGCUCUAUGGCUUUCCUUCCACAGACAAUCUCCAUCAUCAACACUCCAAACUCAAACACAUCUGUGUCCCGUGUAGCCUUUCCCGUGUUGACUAGUUCUGGUGCCAUGUGUCCCGUGGACCUGUCUCUGCUUCCUUGUCCAUAGUCUCCUAGUCGAGAGUUUAGCUCUUCGUCUAAGAGUACGUUGCUGGCCUUGACGUUUCCGUGGAUUAAGGGCUUUUGACCUUCGCCGUGAAGGUGUUGAAGCGCUGACGCAAUCCCCUUUAUGAUACAAAACCGAUCUGACCAGGUGAGAACUGGUCGGUCGUUGCUGAACAAGAACCGGUCUAGACUUCCAUUGGAGACAUACUCGUAAACAAGAUACAUCUCGUUUCCUUUGCUGCAGUAACCAUGUAGAUUUACAAGGUUUUUUUGUUUUAUCUUGGAGAAUGCCUCUAUCUCUGCUAUUAAGGUUGUCUUUUGAUGCCUUGUGGUACACUUAAUUCUUUUUACAGCGAUUAUCUCUGUGGGAGCAAGCUGCCCUUUGUAGAAACUCCCAGAGUUUCUUUCUCCCAAGAGCUUAGAACUAUCGAAACCUCCCGUUGCGCUUGAAAUCGUCUGGUGGGAGAAUUUACGCGCACCUCCAGUAAAGAAUAUUUGCUUUCUACGGAAUAACCAAAACCCUAGGAGAACCAGGAUCAUGAUUGCAACUGUUGCUGAUGCAACGCAGAUAACGAUCAGCUUCGUGUUGUUCGAAUCUUUUUUGACUGAAGCUGGAGGAUUUGCGGACGGAGACGAUGGAGGCGGUGGGUCUGGAAGAGAAGGAAGCUUUGUGAUAUCAAAGUCUAAUGCUUCCCCCUCGAUAUUGAAGCUCCAACCUAGAAUCAAAUGUGAGCUCGAUACAGUUCCUGUGGCCGCAGAGAAUCCAACGUGAUGGUCUUGGGAGAAAAUCCCUGAAAGAUUCAUUUUUCUCGAGAGAAGAGGUGAACUUGGUUUGGGACGAUCUUGAGGAGCCAAUGUGACAUUGAGCAUAAUCUCAGUUGCGUUGUAUUCGAUCCAGACUCUUAUCGGUUUCCCACUCGCCAACCUCAAGCUUAUAUUCUUGGCCUCUCGGUCAUCAAAAUAUGCAGCCGGUGCAGACUCAAUGGAGAUCACUCCAUUUAGAUCGAUACCAACAUGAUUAUCAUCAAUAUCGUUCAACUCAACGGCCUGCACGGUGUCAAAUUCAAUUGCGAGAAUGCGAUUCAAGGAGUUUCCGUUGUUAGAAGUGUUGAAGAGGCCCAGAUAAUUACUCGGGAAAGCCCCGCUGAAGUCCAUCGAGGGUGAAAUGACGAAAGCUAAUCCAUGGCCUGGUGCACCGGGUCCUUGAGUGAUGGCAAAGACGAAACUUGUAGAGAAAGAAACCGUAUUCGUAGAGUUAGAGUUUGACAAGGGUAUGGGAAAGCCAUGAAAAGCUUGACCUAUUUGCCUCAUCGAAGCGUUCGUCAACUCCAAGAGGCCGCUCGGGUAAACCUUAGAGGAGCCGAACUUGAGGAGAUUAGCCUCGAGGAAGCCAUGGUUAAGAAAGUUGCUUCCUCGCUGACUUGAAACACAAGAAACUAUAUAUAAUAGGAAGAUUGUUGUGAGAGCUAUAUAUUUGUGGGUAAUCAUCAUUAAUGGGGUUUUAGAGUUUGGUGUUACUUAUAUCAAUGCUAGCUAAUCCUUUUUAUAGCUUCAAAAAAUCUCUGACCGUUACAUAUUCCAACCAUUUUGUUUAUACUCAGAAGUUAUACAAACUUGAGUUGAGUAUUUGACUUUCUAUAAAUUGCUAAGCAUAUAUAUUUGAUUAAUAUACUUGAAAUUUUCACUGAAAUUUCCUCCAAUUUAUUUUUCUCUUGAUAAAGAAUUUUCUCCAAAAUUCCUCUAUUAAUUUAAAUAUUUCCAACACUAACAUGAUUUUUUUUACAUUUACAAUUUAAAAAUGUUUAAAAAAUCCUAUAAACAAUACGAAGGCGUUGGACUUGGUAUAAUAAAGGAUGAACAUUCCUUGAAGUGUUAUAUAAUGAACUUUAGAUAUUCAGAUUAGAAAUUAACCUAAUUCUAUAUAUUAUAUUUCUAUAUAUUAUACAGGAAUACGUUAUCAAAUUUGUUUUUAAAAAUUCAAUUUGUAAACGAAGAAAAAGAAGACUUGACUAUUCAAUUCUUAUGGAAAAGUUGAGGAGUUUGAUGCAAAAAUAAUUAUAAAUUGCAAAACUAAGAGAAGUUUUCAUGCAAUCUUUUGUUCCAUAGAUCGGUUAUAUAAACGAGAAAAUGUCAACUUUUUGUUAUUGUGUAUUCAGAAAACUCAUGAACAUUUUGCUAAUGUGUUGGGCAUAAAGUUUAAAUUAGUCAUGAUUUAGUCUCAAAACACACUAAAUCUGAAGAGUUACGAUUUAAGAAGAGUAUGGGAAAGCCAUAAAAUUAAAGCUUUACUCAUUUGCCUCAUCGAAGUAUUAGUCAGCUCCAAGAGCCCACUUAGGUAGAUCGUGGAUGAGCCGAACUUUAAGAGAUUAGCUCCGAAGAUGCCAUGGUUUAGAAACUUAUUAGUUUUCAGUUUUAAUACAAGAAACUAGGUCUAAUAGGGAAGAUUAUUGAUAAAGCUAUAGAUUUGGAGGUAAUCACCAUUGAAGUUACUUAUAUGUUCAUUGCUAAUAUGCUAUCUCUUUUUAUAGAGUUUCCUGAUAACUCGACUGUUUCCUCUUUAAACCUCUUCAAAACUCAUGUGAGUAUUUGACUUUUCUAAGUUUUCUUUAUACAUUUGCUAAACAAACCAUUUUAUUAAUAUACAUACAGCACAUUGAAAAUGUCAUUAGGAAUAAGGACUUUCCUCCAAUAAUAUUCUCUCUAAUAAAUAAUUGCAACAACACAACCAAUUUUUUUUUUUUUUAGUUAUGAUUACAAUUUCAAAUCAAAAGAACAAUUGUUUAUGUUAUAACUUAUACGAAUGUUAAUAUUUUAAAGUUCAUUGUUAAUUAACACUUUUUUCUUUGGGAGAUCAAGUUAUUUGUUCCAACAAUAUUUGUCAAAAUCAUAACUUAUUUUUUCCAAUUUUACAAGAUUGAUUUGUUCAAUUAACAUGCAAUUUGGUAAAUUCUUCAUCAAAUAAAAUAAAAUUAAUAUGCAAUUAUAAGUUUUAUUAUACACACUUGAGUUUUUGAAAAAUGUAAGUGUGAUUCCAUUUUUCAGUUUUAUAUAACAGUUAGAGGCAAUGCUAAUACAUAAAGGUCAACACUUUGAAAGCUGAAACAAUACCUCUGCUCUACUACAUCAAUGGCGUCUCAUUUGUACACGAAUCCACCUCAAAACCUUCACUUUCUAGCUUCUUCUUCUUCCUUUAAACCUCACUUGUACCUCUCUAUCAAACACAUAAAACUACAAACCCAACAAUCCUCAGCAUCUUCCGUCCACGUCCGUUGCGCAACGCAGAGCUCCGAGAGAUGGUCUCUACAAGGGAAGUCUGCUCUUGUCACCGGCGGGACUCGUGGAAUUGGGUUUGUCUCUCUUCACGUCUUUCCAAUCUCAAAAGUGCGAGCCUUUUAUUAAACGCAAUUCCUGAGACGAGUGUGUGUUACUGUUUAAGUACAGGCGUGCGAUUGUUGAGGAACUGGCUGGUCUUGGAGCAAAGGUUCACACUUGCGCUCGGAAUGAGAGUGAGCUAGAGAAUUGUUUGAGAGAUUGGAACAGUUCUGGUUUACGAAUUGCUGGCUCGGUCUGUGAUGUCUCUGAUCGAGGUCAGCGAGAGGCUUUAAUGGAGACUGUGUCAUCUGUCUUUGACGGGAAGCUUCAUAUCCUCGUAAGGCUCUUGUGUUGUUACUCGGUGAUUGUGCACAUAAAGUGUUCGUUGUAUUGUCUGUGAGAACAAUUCUAAAAAGAUUUUGUCUUCAAAUUUUGAUGCUUUUAGGUUAACAAUGUUGGGACAAACAUUAGAAAACCAAUGGUGGAGUUUACAGCUGGAGAAUUUUCGACUCUCAUGUCGACGAAUUUUGAGUCGGUUUUUAAUUUAUGUCAACUUGCUUAUCCGUUGCUUAGAGCAUCUGAGGCUGGAAGUGCUGUUUCCAUUUCCUCUGUUUCUGGAUUUGUCUCGCUCAAGAAUAUGUCGGUGCAAUCUGCAACCAAAGGUAUUUACUUUGUCUAGAACAAAGAAAGAUCUCAUCUUAUGCAUCAUUUGUUAAUUCAGGUUAUACCAAGAUGUUUUAUGAGGAUCAAUUAACCAAUAAGAGAAUUUGGUUCUUUUUGUUUCCCUUUGUGUUUUAGGAGCAAUUAAUCAACUUACGAGAAGCUUGGCUUGUGAGUGGGCCAAGGACAAUAUAAGGGUCAAUGCUGUUGCCCCGUGGUAUAUCAAAACAUCUAUGGUGGAGCAAGUAAUUUUCUGUGGACUCAUAAGCCGUAGCUAUAUUUUGCAACAUAAACACUUAGAGAUGAACUUCAAAAUGAUAAAGACUAAGUGAAUAUGUUUGCAACAUAUCUUAGGCUCGAUUGAUGAUUCACACCUUUUGGUCUCAGGUCCUUAGUAACAAAGACUACCUUGAAGAAGUCUACUCAAUAACUCCUCUUGGUCGGCUUGGUGAACCAAGAGAGGUGUCUUCUGCAGUUGCUUUUUUAUGCCUACCUGCAUCAUCAUAUAUUACAGGGCAGAUUAUUUGUGUUGAUGGAGGAAUGUCAAUAAAUGGUUUUUCCCCACAACAUGCCUAGGCCACUCUGUCGUUUUAUAGUUUCCUUGGGAUCCUUACUUUGAUCUUUAGUAUAUCUUGUUUCUCCUUAAAGAAAAUUCCUCAUAUGAGACUUAACAGCUUUCUGCCUUCUGCUUUACUGAUGGCAGGAUUAAGUUUCCGGUAUCUAUUAGUUAUUAUUUUGAUGUUGAUGUGGUGGAAAGCUGUUUGGAACUUUUCAUGUUAUUACUUUUAUGAUAAAAGAAACGUAUGUUUUGUCCAAGAGUGUUGUUCAGUUGCUUGUAUUCUGUGUCAUCCUUUCUUGGUGUUGACUUUCAUUAUGUGUAAAUGUAGUUUAGAUAAGUAUCUUUCUAAGUUCUCUUGCAGUGCCUGAUGGAUUGGAUCCGUCUUCUUCUUGCUAUCCUCAAUGGUUUGUUUCUUGAAGAUUCUUAAAACUGUAUGCUUGUAGUGAAUGAGAGUUCAGUAUCUACAUUAUCCACUUUGGCCAAAAAGAAUGUGGCGGGGAUAUAUAAUGGUUUAAGAGAGAAGCCUCGGCUCCGGCUGUGGAUACCUAAAGGUGUGUUUUAGUGUCUCAAUAUGUGAUGCAGUGUCUGGUUUGGUUUGAAAUUCUAGGACUUGAGGCAAUUAUUAGUUGCGUCAGCAGAUGUAUUGCAAGUAUGCAAUAUUCAUAUGCGUUAUACGAGUGGGCUUUAAUUAUUUAGAACUGUGGUCCAAUUCCUAAACAUAUACUGGAAGAUUUAGCUCUCAUGAUACUGUCAUAAUUGAUGAUGGGAGAUUUUUGUCCUCAGCAUUGGUGUCAAAGGAUGGUAUCUUCUGUUAUUUACGUGUCAGUCAAACUAUGCAGUUGUCACUAUAAUGAGUUGGCCAAUGUUUAUCACAUUUGAUAUUUCCUAUAUAUAUUAUCUGUAGAAUCUUUGGUUAGUGAUAAGUCAUAGAUAAUGAUGGAUAGCAGCAGAUGGAGUCUUCAAGGUAUGACUGCUCUUGUGACCGGCGGAGCAGGAGGAAUCGGGUUUGCUUUUCGCUUCUCUUUAUCAUAUUCUUACCGUAUUUUCCUGCAGCUAUUUUGCAUCCAAAAUGAUCAAGAUUUCAUGGAAUUUAUGUUUGUGGAAUGGUUUAGGCAUGCCAUAGUAGAGGAGCUAGCCAGUUUUGGGGCCAAAAUCCAUGUCUGCGACAUAUCUGAAACGCUGCUCAAAGCAAAUUUAAGCAAAUGGGAAAAGAGAGGGUUUCAAGUGAGUGGUUCAAAAUGUGAUGUAUCCUCUCGUCCGGAGAGGGAAACACUCAUGCAAACCAUCUCCUCACUAUUUGAUGGCAAGCUUAACAUUCUUGUAAGUAAAUUUUUAAUUUCAAGAAGCUAAGUUAUAUGCAGUGAACAUGAUAGUUGUUUAACUCUUUUGAUUCAACAUAGGUGAACAACGCUGGCGCGAUUGUCACAAAGCCAACAACAGAAUAUGUGGAAGAUGAUUUCUCCUUCCUUAUGUCAACAAACGUGGAGUCUGCUUUUCAUCUUAGCCAGCUUUCGCAUCCUCUCCUAAAGGCUUCAGACUCUGGAAACAUUGUUUUCAUUUCCUCUAUGGCAGGGGUGGUAUCAAUUGACUGUGGUUCCAUCUAUGGUUUAACCAAAGGUACAUAGACUGCUCCAAGUAUUAUUAGCAAUACUGGAUCUAUGUAUGUGUUUCACUAUUACAAAUAUACAUAUCUUUUUGUAUGUGUAUGUCUAGGAGCUCUGAAUCAGCUAGCAAGAAACUUGGCAUGUGAAUGGGCGAGAGAUGGAAUAAGAGCCAACGCUGUUGCCCCUAAUUUUAUCAACACUGCUCUCGCUCAAGCUGUAAGGAAAAAAAAAAACAAAACAUAAUCUUUAAUAAAGUUAACAACAUCAAUCCCUUUAAUCAUCUCUUAAUUUUGUUUCUUGAAGUAUCUUGGUGACACCAAUUACAAAGAGGCAUUGUUUAGUAGAACUCCACUUGGUCGAGCAGGAGAACCAAGAGAGGUUGCAUCACUUGUGGCUUUUUUGUGUCUACCUGCAGCUUCAUAUAUAACUGGUCAGACCGUUUGUAUUGACGGAGGUCUCACUGUAAAUGGCUUCUCCUACCAGCCACAUGCUUGAGCCAAGUAUUGUAUGUUGUCAGUCCAAUGAAACACAGUAAAACAAAUAAAACGCAGUAUAGUGCAUAAAUAUACGAGUGUCUUAAAACAUCAUACAUCUUAUAAUUGUACACCCAAAAUAUGUUACAUCUUCUACCAAACUACAAUGAGUGAUAGAUUUAUUCUCUGUUCGACAAAAGAUGACAUUACAAAGUCAAGAUCCAUUAUCUGUCUCGCCAAUGGUAUGAGAGCCACUUUUUACUUUUCUACUCCAAUCGAGAAGAAAAGUCUUACCAACUUUGAAGCUUAUCUUAAGUGUGGAAAAUACUACGGAUGAAAUAUAAAAAAAAAAAUUAAAAGUUGUUAGAAAGUUUUACAAAAGAAACUAAGGCCAUUUAAAAUUGCAAUCAACGAAAAAGACAUUAAGGCCAUGUUUUGCUCCGGACCACUAAUAUUUCUUAGAUGUUGUUUUCAGAUUCUCUCUUAAUAUUUCCACCACACAAAAUAGCACUUUGGCCACUACAACAUAAAAGAAAAAUGGAUAAAAGAUGGAGUCUUCAAGGUAUGACUGCUCUUGUGACCGGUGGCACUAAAGGAAUCGGGUCAGUCCCUAUUUGUAUAUGCUCUUUUAUUGUAUUGUGAUAUUUAGUAGAUAUGGAAGAAGAAACCAAGUCACUAACUAUGUUUGUUUGUGUCGUGAAUAGGAAAGCUGUGGUGGAGGAACUAUCUAUGUUUGGAGCAAGAGUCCACACAUGUGCCAGAGACGAAACUCAGCUUCAAGAAUGCUUACGUGAAUGGCAAGAAAAAGGGUUUCAGGUCACCACUUCUGUCUGCGACGUUUCUUCUCGUGACCAACGAGAGAAUCUCAUGGAAAAAGUUUCCUCUCUCUUCCAAGGGAAACUCAACAUCCUCGUACGUCUAUAUAUGCUUUUCCUCAUCAGGCUUGUGUUCUACAAGAACCAAACAUAUAUCUCCAAGGAGAGCUUUAACAUAGUUAUUAUGGAAACUCCAUAUUUAGGUUAAUAACGUAGGGGUACUUCGUGGGAAGCCAACAACAGAAUAUGUCGAAUAUGAUUGGACUUUACAUAUCUCAACAAAUGUGGAAGCUGCUUUUCAUUUUAGCCAGCUUUCACAUCCUCUCUUAAAGGCUUCAGGCAAUGGAAGUAUCGUCUUUAUUUCCUCUAUUACAGGGAUUGUAUCACUUGAUUGUGGAUCCAUUUAUAGUCUAACGAAAGGUAAUAACCACAGUUUCUAAGUACAAGAGAUGGUUAAUUGCAACACUGACUCAUCAAGGAGUUUAUAUUACAGGAGCUCUGAAUCAGCUAGCAAGAAAUUUGGCAUGUGAAUGGGCAAAAGACAGAAUAAGAGCCAAUGCUGUUGCGCCGAAUAUCAUCAAGACUCCUAUGGCUCAAUCUGUAUAUAACAAAGACAAUUUUUAUACAUGUUUUUUUUUUUGUUGAUAUAACAACAUCAAACCCUCUAAUAAUUUCUCAAUUUGUGUAUUCUUAAAGUAUCUUGAAGACCUAAGUUUCAUAGAGGGAUUGCUCAGUAGAACUCCACUUGGUCGCGCUGGUGAGCCGAAUGAAGUUGCAUCACUAGUGGUCUUCUUGUGUCUACCUGCAGCUUCUUACAUAACUGGUCAAACUAUUUGUGUUGAUGGAGGGCUCACUGUUAAUGGCUUAUCCUAUAAGCCACAUGCUUGAGAAUGGUCUAGUUCAAGUCUUUACCAGUUGUGUCUUUUCUGUGUUUACCUGCAGCGUCUUAUCUAACGGGUCAAACCAUUUGUAUUGAUGGACGUUUCACUGUUAUUAGUGGCUUCUCUUAUCAGCAAGAGGCUUGGGGAUGGCCUUUUUUACGUUAUUUCUAAAUAUCUUAAGCUCUCUAAUGGCCUUGUAAGUUGUAACCUAUCUAAAACUUUGAUCUAUCACAUUUUAUAGGGAAGGUUUUAAUGGUUUAAUAUGUGAUGCAUACUCUUUGUCACGAGAGAGAGAAAAAGCACUUGAUGCGAAUCGCCACAACGAUGUUGGAUGGCAAGCUCAACAUUCGUUUUAGUUACUCUAACGAAACAAAGGAUACUUAUUUUAUGAAGUCAUACAAUGGGUCAGUGCUUUGAGUAUUGAUAAAACAAGAAGAUUCGAUUACGAAGAGUAAGCUUUGUAAAAAGAAAAAAGUAGGAACAAGUAGAGCAAAACUUAGACUUAAAUAAAAAUAAAAACCUAACUAGUAAGAAAAUCGUCUCAUUCUAAUUCGAGAAUACUAAUUCGAGAAUAUGAUAUUAUAAAGUAAAGUUGCUCCUGACUCGGAGUUUUUUGGAUCGCUCUGAACCUUCACUUGAGAAGAGGUGUUGGCCUAGUGGAUAUGAAAACCUAAAGAUUGGAAACCCUAGAUAUCAUCUCGCCAAUUAUAAAGUAAAGUUGCUCCUGGUUCGGCAACAAAAUCAAAGUUGUUUGGAUCUCUCUUAAUCUUCACCUCAACAGAGCAGUUGGUGCAGGGGAUGUGAUACCUAUAAAGAAUCCCUAGGUACGUCUCGUCAGUAACUUCUUCUGCACGAAUAUUGGUGAAUCUGGUGCCCGUAUACAUUUUAUUACCACAAGCGUCGCAUCGAACACCCUUCGGAAGCAUGAAGGUUAUUAAUAUGCGUUCUCCCAUAGCUUUUGGAUAUUAAUUGAUUAGGAAAAAAAUAACUCUGUCUUCUCUCGUUCCCUUAGACUUAUUUAUUUAUAAGUAGUUGUUUUCUUUUCUUUUUCUUUUGGGCCAGACGAAAAGCCCAAUAAAUCAAACCAUCACACUAAUACAGUAUAACCUUUAUAAAUUAAUACUCGAUAAAUUAAUACUCUCUAUAAAUUAAUAAAUUUCUCUGGACCAGUGUAAUUUUAGACAUAUUUUGAUAAAAUAAUAAGAUAAUAACUUUUUUGAAAAUCUUUUGUAAAUAUAUAGUCCCAUCAAUAUUAUAAAUUAAUAAUUAGGUAAAAGUUUCAAAAUAUAUAUAUAUAUAUAUAUAGCCACAUUAGUUUUUGUUAGAGUUUAUUUUUGAAUAUUUUUUUGAAAAAUUUUCCAAAUUAAGAAAAUCUCUCUAUAAAUUAAUAAUUAUUAAUUUAUCGAUAAAUUAAAACCUUUAUAAAUUAAUAGAUUUUCAUGGUCCCAACAUUAUUAAUUUAUAGAAGUUUUACUGUACUUGCCUUAUCUCAAAUUUGUAUGAUUUUACUAACCCUGCGAGAUUUCAAAGUUUUCUUUAGUGAAUUUUAAAAUAAUCUAAAGAAAACUUUAGGGUUGGUGGAUAUUGUGGCGACGUUGGUGGCGUUUUGGAUUAUAAGGACGGAGGAUCUCCUCGGUGUUAAGGUUGUUCCGGUGGAGAAGUUCCCGGAGAUUCAUAGAUGGGUUAAGAAAUUGUCGGGGAAUGAUGUUAUCAAGAAAUGUAUCCCUCCUGAAGAUGAGCAUCUCGCGUACAUCAGAGCUCGCAUGGAUAAGCUCAAUAUCAAAUCGGCUUGAUAACGAUUAUAGAGAGUUCUAACAAUCAAAGUUUGUAUCUUUGUUCUUGUCUCAAUUGCUAAGUCCUAUGAAGUCCAUAUUUUAGACAAAUUGUUAACUCUUAUUUUAUGAAGUCAUACAAUGGGUCAGUGCUUUGAGUAUUGGUAAAACAAGAAGAUUCGAUUACGAAGAGUAAGCUUUGUAAAAAUAAAAAAAAGUAGGAACAAGCAGAGCAAAACUUAGACUUAAAUCAUAAAGAUAAGCUUCCACACUCAUCAACUUACGAAUCUUAGUCGAUCAAGGCCAAGACUUAAUUAUAUAUGUGACAUCACAAUCCCUAUGCAAUGAUGGAGAGAGGUCUCUAUUGUAAAAGAGCCAUCACAAAUCAAAAGUGAAAGUUAUUUCCUUUAAUUUCUUCUCUUUUACAAAAGAUAUCUUAGAAAAGUCAAGAUCCAACAUCUUCCCAAAAAAAAAAAAAAUCCUUACAAACUUUGAACCCUAUCCAUGUGCUGUAAUAGAAGUUAUUUUGAAAAAGCAUAUCCAUUUUGAAAAAGACAAAGGAGUAAGUAUUGGUCGGACCACUUAUCUUACAUAUAUUUAAGUCAUUGUUCUCUCACACGACUACAUAAUAUUUCCACCACACAUACACAUACACACUUAUCUUAUACAAAUUCAUUGUAUACAUAAAAUCAGUGGCAUGUCUGGUCAGUGCAAGUAAGAUUACAAGAAAAAAUGGAUAAAAGAUGGAGUCUUCAAGGUAUGACUGCUCUUGUGACCGGUGGCACUAAAGGCAUCGGGUCAGUACAUUUACAUGCUCUUUUAUUGUGUUGUUAUAUUUAUUCAUGGAAGAACUAGUUAACAAGGUUUGUGUGUGUGUCUUGAACAGGGAAGCUGUGGUGGAGGAACUAUCAAUGCUGGGAGCAAGAGUCCACACAUGUGCAAGAGAUGAAACUCAGCUUCAAGAACGAUUACGUGAAUGGCAAGCAAAAGGGUUUCAGGUUUCCACUUCUACCUGCGAUGUAACUUCUCGUGAGCAACGAGAGAAGCUCAUGGAAACUGUUUCCUCUCUCUUCCAAGGCAAACUCAACAUUUUGGUAAGUAUACAUAUAUAAGCUUCUCCUUAUUGGGCUUGGGAUGUACAAGAACCAAAUUUAAUGUUUGUGUUGUAUCUAUCCAUAUAUAUGAUAUGUAGGUAAACAAUGUAGGAACCUUUAUAGUCAAGCCGACUACAGAGUAUACAGGAGAAGAAUAUUCGCUUAUAAUGGCUACAAAUCUCGAGUCAGCUUUUCAUCUCUCACAACUCUCACACCCUUUGUUGAAAGCAUCAGGCUCAGGGAGCAUCGUGCUCAUGUCCUCAAUAGCCGGACUAGUGCAUGCCAAUGUUGGAUCCAUCUAUGGAAUAACGAAAGGUAUUGUAUAUAUAUACUCUUUUGAAACAACGUUUCCUUGCGUUAUAAUUCUUUAUGCAAGUGUAUACAAACACAUUUCAGGAGCCAUGAAUCAGCUAGCUAGAAACUUAGCUUGCGAAUGGGCGAGAGACAGCAUUAGGACUAACGCUGUAUGUCCAUGGUAUAUCGCAACUCCUUUGGUUAACGAUGUAAGGCCAACUUGCUCCUUAAUUAGUACUAUUGAUUUUAAUAUUAACUUUGUCCAUUGUUACAUUUGAUUUUAAGUUUCAAGUAUUGUGAAAAUAUGUUAGCUUCUUAAAGAAGGAGAGAUUAUAAAAGAAGUGGUGAGUAGGACUCCUCUUGGUCGUGUUGGAGAGCCCAAUGAAGUUGCAUCACUUGUGGCUUUCUUGUGUCUACCUGCCGCUUCAUAUAUUACUGGUCAGAGCAUUUGUAUUGAUGGAGGUCUCACUGUUAAUGGCUUCUCCUAUCAGCCAAAAGACAUUUGAAUCUCUUUAUUUAAGGGUACUUUUCUCAUUUCCUAAUAUGCCAAAAGACAUCAAAGUGGCAUUUCUAGAAAGGAAUAAUCAAAAGUGGCAGUUUGGUUGAGUUUAAUUUCAAAAGUGGCACUUCCAAUAAAAUUUGUCUAAAGAAACUAAGCAUUACCUUAUAAAGUCAUACAAUGGGUGGUUAGCUUUGAGGGUAUUGGUAAAACAAGAAACCUUGCAAGAAGAUGUUUCCUAUAACACAGAGUAAGCCUUGCAAAAAACAAAGUAUGAAAAAGCAUGUCACAGCUUAGACUCAAACAAAAAAGAUGGGGCUUCGACACUCAUCAACUUAUGAAUCUUAGUCGAUCAAGUCCAAAAGACUUUUGGAAAACACAAAAAAUGUGUUUAUAAAAUUUGUGAACCAUAUUGACUACUUAUCUUACACAUACUUAAGUCAUUGUUCUCUCACACGACUACAUAAUAUUUCCACCACACAUACAAAUUCACACUUAUCUUAUAGAAAUUCAUUGUAUACAUAAGAUCAGUGGCAUUUCUAGUCACUGCAAGUAAAAAUUAAAAGAAAAAAUGGAUAAAAGAUGGAGUCUUCAAGGUAUGACUGCUCUUGUGACCGGUGGCACUAAAGGAAUCGGGUCAGUCCCUAUUUGUAUAUGCUCUUUUAUUGUAUUGUGAUAUGUCUAGUAGGUAUGGAAGAAGAAACCAAGUCACUUACUAUGUUUGUUUGUGUCGUGAAUAGGAAAGCUGUGGUGGAGGAACUAUCAAUGCUGGGAGCAAGAGUCCACACAUGUGCAAGAGAUGAAACUCAGCUUCAAGAACGAUUACGUGAAUGGCAAGCAAAAGGGUUUCAGGUUUCCACUUCUAUCUGCGAUGUUUCUUCCCGUGAGCAACGAGAGAAACUCAUGGAAACCGUUUCCUCUCUCUUCCAAGGAAAACUCAACAUUUUGGUAAGUAUACAUAUAUAAGCUUCUCCUUAUUAGGCUUGGGAUGUACAAGAACCAAAUUUAAUGUUUUGUUUUGUUUUGUAUCUAUCUAUCUAUCUAUACAUAUAUAGGUAAACAAUGUAGGAAACUUUAUAGUCAAGCCGACUACAGAGUUUACAGGAGAAGAGUAUUCGUUCAUAAUGGCUACAAAUCUCGAGUCAGCUUUUCAUCUCUCACAACUCUCACACCCUUUGUUGAAAGCAUCAACCUCAGGGAGCAUCGUGCUCAUGUCCUCCAUUACUGGAUUAGUGCAUGCCAAUGUUGGAUCCAUCCAAGGAGUAACCAAAGGUACUGUAUAUACUCUUUUGAAACAAUGUUUCCUUGCGUUAUGAUUCUUAUGCAAGUAUAUACAAACACAUUUCAGGAGCCAUGAAUCAGCUGGCUAGAAACUUAGCUUGCGAAUGGGCGGAAGAUAGCAUUAGGACUAAUGCUGUUUGCCCAUGGUAUAUAGCAACUCCUUUAGCUAAAGAUGUAAGGCCUAUUUUCUUCUUAAUUAGUAGUUUAGUACUACUGACUUUAAUAUUACUUUUGUCCAUUUGUUACUUUUGAUUUUAAGUUUCAAGUAUUGUGAAAAUAUGAUAGCUUCUUGAAGAAGGAGAGAUUAAAAAAGAAGUGAUAAGUAGAACUCCACUUGGUCGUGUUGGAGAGCCGAAUGAAGUUGCAUCACUUGUGGCUUUCUUGUGUCUACCUGCAGCUUCAUAUAUUACUGGUCAGAGCAUUUGCGUUGAUGGUGGUCUCACUGUUAAUGGCUUCUCCUAUCAGCCAAAAGACUUUUGAUUCUCUUUAUUUAAGGGUACUUUUCUCAUUUCCUGAUAUGCCAAAAGACGUAAAAGUGGCAGUUUUGUUGAGUUUUAUUUCAAAAGUGGCACUUCCAACAAAAUUCUCUCUAAAGAAACUAAGCAUUACCUUAUAAAGUCAUACAAUGAAUGUAUGUAAAACAAGAAACCUUGCAAGAAGAUGUUUCCUAUAACACAGAGUAAGCCUUGUAAAAUAAAGUAGCAAAAAAGCAGAACAUAACUUAGACUCAAAUAAGAUAGAUGGAACACACAAGAAUGGUUUUAUAAAAUUUGUGAACCAUAUAUUGACUACUAGUUGCAGCUUCUUGGUGAGAGCACUUAAUAAGUUUAGUUUGGGACCACUAUCUUGGAUAUGUUUUUUCAUGUUCUCUCUUAUAUGGCUACAAAAUAUUUCGACCACACAUACAAACAUAAUCAUUGAAUUCACACUUAUCUGAUCCAGAUUCAUUGUAUACAUAAAUAUAAAUUCUAUGGGAUUUCUGGUCACUUCAAGUAGGAGAUACAAGAAAAAUGGAUAAAAGAUGGAGUCUUCAAGGUAUGACUGCUCUUGUCACCGGUGGCUCUAAAGGCAUCGGGUAAGUACCUUUAUAUGCUCUUUUAUUGUGUUGUGAAUGAAUAUUCAAUUAUCGAAGAACUAACCAUUUUUGUGUGUGUCUUGAAUAGGGAAGCUGUGGUGGAGGAACUAUCCAUGUUAGGAGCAAGAGUCCACACAUGUGCCAGAGACGAAACUCAACUUCAAGAACGCUUACGUGAAUGGCAAGCAAAAGGGUUUCAUGUCACCACUUCUGUCUGCGACGUUUCGUCUCGUGACCAACGAGAGAAGCUCAUGGAAACUGUUUCCUCUGUCUUCCAAGGAAAACUCAACAUCCUCGUAAGUAUAAUAUCUAAUCAAGCUUCUCCUUCUUGGGCUAUGGAUGUACAAGAACCAAAAUUUAGUGUUUUUUUUGUUGUUGUAUCUAUACAUACACAUACGUAGGUAAACAAUGCGGGAACGUUAAUGGUCAAGCCAAAUACAGAGGUUACAGCAGAAGACUAUUCGUUUAUGAUGGCUACAAAUCUCGAGUCGGGUUUUCAUAUCUCACAGCUGGCUCAUCCUUUGUUAAAAGCUUCAAGUUUAGGGAGCAUCGUGUUCAUGUCCUCUGUUGCUGGAGUUGUGCAUAUCGGUUCAUCCAUCUAUGGAGCAACUAAAGGUAUAUAUAUGUAUAUAUUUAUCAUAGAAAUAUAUACAUAUUUCUAUAUACUAUGAUAAUAUUCAAACAGUGAAUGAUGCAACACAUUAUGGUUUAGGAGCUAUGAAUCAGUUAGGAAGAAACUUAGCAUGCGAGUGGGCAAGUGACAACAUAAGGGUUAACUCUGUGUGUCCAUGGGUCAUAGCAACUCCAUUGGUUAAGGAAGUGAGGCAAUUAAUCUAUUAUUAUUUUUUAAGUAUAUUUUUGAUUAAGUGAUAUUACGUGAUACUUUUAAUAUAAGUGAAACAUAAUUAUCAGAUUCUCGGUGAUAAAGUGAUUAUGAAACAAGUGGAGAGUAGGCCACCGAUGGGGCGUGUUGGAGAGCCAAAUGAAGUAUCAUCACUUGUGGCAUUUCUUUGUCUUCCUGCAGCUUCUUAUAUCACAGGUCAAACCAUUUGUGUUGAUGGAGGUUUCACUAUUAACGGUUUCUCUUACAAACCAAAGGCUUGAACUAGGUCGUGUCUUGUGUGUGUUGUGAUUUAUAUUCUUUGAAUUUAAUGAGCAUCUUUAUUAGUUGCCUUAACCCCAUGCAUGUACAACUUUCUCUAUGUGUUGCGCUUCCGUUUCUUGGUGAACUUAACUCGGAUUGGUUUAGGAUUGUGGAGCUACGCAAUCUUUUAGUCUUUACCUACCAAACUUAGGAAUAAUAUACAAUAUACCAAAAUUAACUAAAACCUUGAUGAUGAUCAGUUAGCAAAUCUUCAAGUUGAAAGUCAAUAAAAUGGAUGACUUUGAUUCGUUUGGUUUAGCCUUAAUACUACAUACAGUAAAAUCAAAGCAUGCCUUAAAUAAGAAAGAUGGGCUUCGAGAGUACUCAUCAACUUGGGAGCUUAUUCGAUCAAGCCCAAAGACAUAAUCAAGUGAUAUCACACUAUGCUUUACAAUCCCUAUGCAAAAUGAUGACUCAAUGGACAGAUGGUGUCGCUAUCGAAGAUUUUGACUAUAGAAACCCAUUUUUGCUUGGUACACUGCUUAAUUUAAAUUAUCUUUAUAUAACAACUACAUAACUUAUCAACCACACGUACAAACAUACAUAGUAGUUUAGACUUAUCUGAUCCACAGUCAUUGUAUUUUUGGUCGUUGCUAGUAACAUACAAGAAAGAUGGAUAGAAGAUGGAGUCUUCAAGGCAUGACUGCUCUUGUAACCGGUGCAGCCACUGGAAUCGGGUUCGUUUUCUUCUUCUACUCAACAUCCUAAAUGGUCAAGAUUCCUAGGAGUUUAAGUUUAUGGAAUGUUUAGGUAUGCCGUAGUAGAGGAGUUAGCUGGUUUUGGAGCUAGAAUCCAUGUAUGUGACAUAUCUGAAGCUAAGCUUAAUCAAAGUUUAAGAGAAUGGGAAAAGAAAGGGUUUCAAGUGAGUGGUUCCUUAUGUGAUGUAUCAUCUCGUCCAGAGAGAGAAAAGCUGAUUCAAACUGUCUCCUCACUUUUCCAAGGCAAACUCAACAUUUUUGUUAGUAAAUGAGCUUAUUUACUAACACAACUAAGCAUAUUUUUCUUUUUCUUAAAGAAAUGUUGUAAAAGGAAAUGUUAUUUUUGUUCAACAUAGGUUAAUAACGUUGGUGUACUUCGUGGAAAGCAAACAACAGAGUAUACGGGAGACGAUUUCGAUUUCCAUAUCUCAACAAACUUGGAAGCUGCUUACCAUUUUUGUCAACUUUCACAUCCUCUCUUAAAGAGUUCAGGCUAUGGAAGUAUCAUCUUUGUUUCCUCAGUUGCAGGGGUUUUAUCUUUUGCCGUUGGAUCCAUUUAUGGUCUAACAAAAGGUAAGAACAACAUUAGUAACUACUAGAUGCAAGAUUAAGUAAUCAACAAGGAUUUUUGUUUUUCUUUUGAGCUGAUUCCUCAUACAAGUAUUUUACAGGAGCUCUGAAUCAGUUAGCAAGAAACUUGGCAUGUGAAUGGGCAAAAGAUGGCAUAAGAGCUAAUGCUGUUGCGCCUAAUAUCAUCAAGACUCCUUCAGCUGAACCUGUAAUAAAAAGAGGACUUUUACAUUCUUAUUCUUGAAAUGUAACAGCCUCAGUUCUUCUAAAUCAUAUUCCAAUUUUGUUUUCUUGAAGUAUCUUGAAGACAUCGGUUUCAAGGAGGGAUUGUUCAGUAGAACUCCACUCGGUCGGGCUGGAGAACCAAGAGAGGUUGCAUCAUUAGUGGUCUUCUUGUGUCUACCAGCUGCUUCUUAUAUUACCGGCCAAACAAUUUGUGUUGAUGGUGGUCUCACUGUUAAUGGUUUCUCCUAUCAGCCACAAGUUUGAUAAUGAUCUUUUCAAGUUUUGUCUGUUUAAGAGUUCUCUCUAAUAAAAACUCUCACAUUAUAAGAGCCUAUGUUGAGUUUAUCUCCCUUGUAGAGAGUUUACUUAAGUUAUUGUUAUAAGAGACUAAAUCUAUAUCAAAGAGUAAUCAAACCAUGACAACUAAACAAUCCAUCAUUUGUCACAUCAAUAAUAUGAAGGUAACAGUUGCAUUUUUGUUAUUUUAUAUAAAGACAUGGAAACUUUUAAUGUACUUUAUUCACGAGUCUAUCUUGUAGUAUCAGUUGUCUUUUUGGACCACUAACUUGUAUAUUAUAAUUUAGCCUCCACACACUGAUUGAUCAACAUUCAUUAUAUAACAUAUAAACUCUCUAGCAUUCCUGGUCACUUUAAUUCAAGUAAGAAACAAGAAAGAUGGAUAAAAGAUGGAGUCUUCAAAGUAUGACUGCUCUUGUCACCGGUGGAGCCAGCGGAAUCGGGUUCGUCUUUCUUCUCUGUUCUACCCUUUGCUCUGUACUUCUGUUUGCUGUUUAGCUUCCUGAUGGGUCAAGAGUGUUUAGGUAUACCAUAGUGGAGGAGUUAGCUAGUUUUGGAGCUAGAAUCCAUGUAUGUGACAUAUCUGAAACUCUUCUUAACCAAAGUUUAAGCGAAUGGGAAAAGAAAGGGUUUCAAGUGAGUGGCUCAGUCUGUGAUGUAAGCUCUCGUCCCGAGAGAGAAAAUCUGAUGCAAACCGUCUCCUCGCUUUUCGAUGGCAAGCUCAACAUUCUAGUAAGUAAAAAUGAUCUUUAGUAUAGUACUACUCCUUAAUAUAAAUCUAAUGAAAAUGCCUACGCAUGUAUGUUAUAGGUUAAUAAUGUUGGUGUACUUCGUGGGAAGCCAACAACAGAAUGUGUGGAAGAAGACUUCUCUUUUCACAUGUCAAUAAAUGUGGAAGCUGCUUUUCAUUUUAGCCAGCUUUCACAUCCUCUCUUGAAGGCUUCAGGCAAUGGAAGUAUUGUCUUUAUUUCCUCUGUUGCAGGGAUUGUAUCACUUGAUGGUGCAUCCAUUUAUAGUUUAACUAAAGGUAAACAUGGUUUGUACUAGAGACAGUUCAUUGCAAGACUGACUAACCAAGAAGGGCUGUUUUUAUUGUUUUAUAGGAGCUUUGAUUCAGCUAGCUAAGAAUUUGGCAUGUGAAUGGGCAAAAGACGGCAUAAGAGCUAAUGCGGUCGCGCCAAAUGCUAUCACGACUCCUAUGUGUCAAUCUGUAAUAAAUCAAAGACAACUUUGUAAAUGUUUUUUUUGUGUGAAUAUAACAGCCUCAGUUUUUCUAAUAGUUUCUUAAUUGUGUAUUCUUGAAGUAUCUUGAGGAUGUUAGUGUCAAGGAGGCAUUGUUGAGUAGAAUUCCACUUGGCCGUUGUGGAGAGCCGAAUGAAGUUGCAUCACUAGUGGUCUUCUUGUGCCUACCUGCAGCUUCUUAUAUCACUGGUCAAACCAUUUGUGUUGAUGGAGGUUUCACUGUUAAUGGCUUCUCUUAUCAGCAGCAGGCUUGAGAAUGAUCAUGUUACCAUUUUGUUGUAAUAUCUUAAACUCCUUAUUGGCUUUGUAAUACUUAUGUGGAUUCUUUCCACAAGUGAGAAACACCUAUGCAAAUCGCUUGAAUAAUGGUAGAUCAUUUGGGAAGCUCAACAUUCUUAUUUAAAAGAAACUAAGCGUACUCUUUUCUAGAGUUAUACAAUGAUUAAGAUAUGAAUAUUUAUAAAACGGGAUGAACAAGAUAAGAAGAAAAAAAAGAUGAAGCAUAGCAGAAACAGAGUAGUCGAAAGCAGAGUAAAACUUGGACUCAAAUGAAAAGAUGGUCUUGGACACUAAUCAACUUACAAACUUUAGUCGAUCAAGCCGAAAUAUCUAAUCAUGUGACAUCUCUGUGGCACAAAAAAUUAUUGUAAUUAUCCAAAACUGAAUGCAAAAGCUUGAAAGUUAUUUCACUUAUUAUAUGUUAUACAAAAUAUAUAAUUGUGAAGUCAAAAAAUCAUAUGGAGAACUGAUUCAAGAUCAAGAUCAAGAUGGAAACCCUAUAUCUAUGCACCUGCCGAUGAACAACUAGAAGCUAUCAAUGUAUUAAGAAUUUUGUAACACACUAGAAUGUUGUUAUCUAAACCAAAUUAUGUUCUCUAAUCUGAUCUAUUUUCUUUUGUGAGAAAACUUAAGUGAAACUGAGUAAAAUUUUGGACGAAGAUUUUGAAUAAUAUUUUCCAUCUUUGAUUAGUAGUUAGGACCACUAAUCAACUUAGAUAUUUAGCCAUUUUCUCUCUAACUACCAUAUGCAAGCUUAAGUGAUUAAGUAAUCAACCAGGAGUCUUUUUUUUUCUGUUUUGUUGAUUCCUCAUACAAACAAGAAACCUAACCAGGAGAUAAGCAUGGUGCAUGGAAUAUGUUUCCCAUAGUAAACCAUGACAACUAAACAUCCAUCAUUACUUAGAUCAUUUAUCACAUUCAAAACUCAAAAAGUCAAAAGUAUGAAAGUAACGUUCACCUCUUUGUUGCUUAUAGUUUCAGUUGUAUUUUAUGAGUGAAGCUAUUGAAAAGAAAAAAUGGAGUGAGUAUUGGUCGAAGAUUUGCGAGGGACCACUAACUUAGAUAUUGUAGUCAUGUUCUCUCUUGUCUUAAGGCUACAUAAUAUUUCCACCACACACUUAUCUGAUCCACAUUCAUUUUAUACACAUAUUUUGUGGCAUUUCUGAUACAAGAAAGAUGGAUAAAAGAUGGAGUCUUCAAAGUAUGACUGCUCUUGUCACUGGUGGAGCCAGUGGAAUCGGGUUCGUCUUUCUUCUCUGUUGUAUCUAUAUUACUUCUUCUACCCAUUCUUCUGUUUGCUAUUUAGCUUCAUGAUGGGUCAAGAGUGUUUAGGUAUGCCAUAGUGGAGGAGUUAGCUGGUUUUGGAGCAAGAAUCCAUGUAUGCGACAUAUCUGAAGCUAAGCUCAAUCAAAGUUUAAGCGAAUGGGAAAAGAAAGGGUUUCAAGUGAGUGGCUCAGUCUGUGAUGUAAGCUCUCGUCCUGAGAGAGAGAAACUGAUACAAACCGUCUCCUCGCUGUUCGAUGGCAAACUCAACAUUCUAGUAAGUAAAAUGAUUUUCAUAUAGAAAUGCAUAAGCAUAUUUGUUUAAUGAGAACUCCUUGACAGAAUUAUAAUGCAAAGGCCUAAGCAUAUAUGUUCAAAAUAUAUAUAGGUAAACAAUGUUGGGGUAGUUCGUGGGAAGCCAGCAACAGAAUAUGUGGAAGAAGACUUCUCUUUUCACAUGUCAAUAAAUGUGGAAGCUGGUUUCCAUUUUAGCCAGCUUUCACAUCCUCUCUUGAAGGCUUCAGGCAAUGGAAGCAUCGUCUUUGUUUCCUCUGCUUUAGGGAUUGUAUCACUUAAUUCUCAAUCCAUUUAUAGUCUGACUAAAGGUAACCAUGGUUUGUACUAGAGGCAGUUCAUUGCAAAGACUGACUAACCAAGAAAGAGUGUUUUUUGUUGUUGUUGUUGUUGAUUUGUUUUACAGGAGCUUUGAUUCAGCUAGCUAAAAAUUUGGCAUGUGAAUGGGCAAAAGACGGCAUAAGAGCCAAUGCUGUUGCGCCGAAUAUCAUCAAGACUCCUAUGGCUCAACCUGUAAUAUAACAAAGACCAUUUUUAUACAUGUUUUUUUUUUUUUUUGAUAUAACAACAUCAAUCCCUCUAAUAAUUUCUCAAUUUGUGUGUUCUUAAAGUAUCUUGAGGACUUAAGUUUCAAGGAAGGAUUGCUCAAAAGAACUCCACUUGGUCGCGCUGGAGAGCCGAAUGAAGUUGCAUCACUAGUGGUCUUCUUGUGUCUACCUGCAGCAUCAUACAUAACUGGUCAAACCAUUUGUGUUGAUGGAGGUCUCACUGUUAAUGGCUUCUCUUAUCAGCAAGAGGCUUGAGAAUGGUCAUGUUUCGUUUUUGUCUUGAUUUCAUAAACUCCCUAUUGGCCUUGUAACCUGUGAAACGAUGUUUGAUGCAUGGCAAGCUCAACAUUCUUAUAAGUUAAUCUUUAUUUAAAGAACCUACACGUGCCCUUUCAUAAUGUCAUACAACGAGAUGAACAAGAAACCUAGCAAGAAGAUGUUUCCGAUUAAAGGAGUAAGCCUUUUGCAGAAACAGAGCAAAAGCAAGCAGAGUAAAACUUGGACUCAAGUGAGAAGAUGGUCUUCAACACUCAUCCAAAUACAGAAUCAUGUGACUUAUAUACUAUGCUUUAAAAUCUCUAUUCAAAUAUGCAAUGAUGAAUCAGUGGAGAGAUGACUGAAUACUAAAUCUUGAAAAGUUAUAUCCCCUAUUCUCUGUUUUACAAAAGAUAUAAUUGUGAAGUCAAAUAUCAUAUAGAAGCUAUCAAUGUAUUAUGAAUUUAUGAGUUUAGGGACACACUAGAAUGUUGCUUUCUAAACACUUAAAACUAAGUUAUGUUCUCCAAUGUGACCUCUUGGACGAAGAUUUUGACUAAAACUGUUUCAUUUUUGUUUAGGACCACUUACUUAGAUAUUUUAGCAAUGUUCUCUCUGACUACUACAUAAUUUCUCAACCACACAUACAAACAUACUCAAUAAUUGAGACUUUAUCUGAUCCACAUUUCAUUUGUAUUUAUAUUAUGUGACAUUUUUGUUCAUUGCUAGUAACAAGCAAGAAACAUGGAUAAAAGAUGGAGUCUUCAAGGUAUGACUGCUCUUGUAACCGGUGGAGCCAGCGGAAUCGGGUUAGUCGUCUUUCUUCUCUGUUCUCUCUCUAUAUAACCUCUUUUACCCAUUGUUCUACUUCUAAAUGGUCAACAUUUGAAGGAAACUAAGUUUGUGGAAUGCUUAGGUAUGCCAUAGUAGAAGAGUUAGCUGGUUUUGGAGCUAGAGUCUAUGUAUGUGAUAUAUCCGAAACUCUACUCAAUCAAAGUUUAGUCGAAUGGGAAAAGAAAGGGUUUCAAGUGAGUGGUUCAAUCUGUGAUGUAUCCUCUCGUCCUGAGAGAGAACAACUGAUGCAAACCGUCUCAUCGUUGUUUGAUGGCAAACUUAACAUUCUUGUAAGUAAUAAGCAUACUCUAUAUAGACAAGUAAGCAUAAUCUAUAAAAAAAAAUACUAAGCUUACUCUAUAUAGAAACAACUUAGCAUACUCUUUAAAAUAACAAAACUGAUCUUUUAUAUAAAACAAAGUAAGCAUACUCUAUAUACAAGAAACUAUAUGAGAGUGACUUGUUAUUUACAACAUAGGUUAAUAACGUGGGAGUACUUCGUGGGAAGCCAACAACAGAAUAUGUGAAAGAAGAUUUCUCUUUUCACAUGUCAAUAAAUGUGGAAGCUGGUUUCCAUUUUAGCCAGCUUUCACAUCCUCUCUUAAAGGCCUCAGGCUAUGGAAGCAUCAUCUUCCUUUCCUCUGUUGCAGGGGUUGUAUCAUUUGAUUGUGGAUCUAUUUAUAGUCUUACAAAAGGUAACUUAAGUCUAUCUGAACUUCAUUGCAAAUCAAUAUUUUACAUUUGUUUUUUUUAUAAAUGUUUUGUUAAUAUCUUUGGCAGGAGCUCUAACUCAGCUAGCUAGAAAUUUAGCAUGUGAAUGGGCAAAAGAUGGCAUAAGAGCUAAUGCUGUUGCACCUAAUGCUGUCAAGACUGCUCAGUCUCAAUCUGUAAGAGAUAAAUAAAAACUCAUAACAUUUUUUAGUUUAGUUGUGAAUUUUAAAAACCUCAAUUUCUCUAAUCAUCUCUGAAAUUUUUGUUUCUUAUAGUUUCUUGAGGACGUGAGUUACAAGGAAGCACUAUUUAGUAGAACUCCACUUGGCCGUUGUGGAGAGCCUAAUGAAGUUGCAUCACUAGUGGUCUUCUUGUGUUUACCUGCAGCUUCCUACAUCACUGGUCAAACCAUUUGUGUUGAUGGAGGCCUCACAGUUAACGGUUUCUCCUAUCAACCAUAGGCUUGAUGAGAAUAGCCUUGUCACGUUUGGUUUAUAAUUUGCUUAAACUCACAAAGUUCUUUAUAUAUAUCUAAUACAAAUUAUCACACUAUGAGUUCAUACAUGAAAACAUAAAUGAAUUCAUAAUUUCAUGAUUAUCUUCUACUUAAUUUUUGUUGUCGUUGUUCCAUCUAUAUCAAUGAUUUUUAAAAGAUCGUAGCACAACAUUGAUUACGCUUAUUUUAUUUUGUCGUUGUUACGUUACGUCUAUGUCACUGAUUUUUACAUGUUAAUUGUGAUACAACAUGAUUAUACUUUAAUUUUUUUUUCUUGUUGUUAUGUCUUUGUCGCAUUUUUCGUUUGUCUUAAACUCUCACGACGAGAACGGGAUUUGUCAUGUUUUAUCUCGUGAUUUCUUGAUUCUUUCACCAGCUGCAAAUACAAUAAUUUAAGAGUAAGGCACGAUUACCCUAACAAAUAAUUAGUAAUAGAAACACAUUUGACGACCGAAGAAAAUUGUAAAAUACUACCGAGGAACAUCUUACUUUGUCAUGUUUAAUUUGUUUUUAAGGAAUAUUUGCACUCGCUAGCAAAACAAAUUGAGAAGUAUUUAAGAAAAAUUAUUGGAAGCAAGCAAAUUAUCUAUUAACCAUACCAAACUUAGACGAUUUUAAUUAUUAAAAAAAAAAUAUUUACAUAUCUAUUCAAAAUAGAUUAUGAUAUUUUGGAACGGAAGGGAUUCAUUCUACAACAAUAGUAAACCGAUGUUUUGUUUUGAUAUCCAUCCAAACAUAAUGAUAUGUACGGAUACCGUUAAAAAUAAAAAAUAAUAAAGUACUAGAAAUCUAAAGAUAUUAUAAACUAAGUUUGCAAAUUGUCUUUUUAGAAAAUAAAAUAUAUUAUCAAGAAACUUUUUUUUGUUUCAUUAUAUGAAAAUCGUAUAAUAAUAUAUGUAAACUACAGAUUUUCGUUAUAUUAUUUUAUAUUUAUUGAGUCUAUAUAUACUAUGUAGCAUCUCUGGUCAUUGCUAGUCACAUGCAAACAUAAAAUGGAUAAAAGAUGGAGUCUUCAAGGUAUGACUGCCCUUGUAACUGGUGGAGCCAGUGGAAUCGGGUUCGUCCUUCUUCUAGCUCUCUGUGUCAUAUUCUUGACCUAUUUUUUGCUUUUAUUUAAGAUGUUGCUAAAUUUUGUUUCGUAUGGAAUGUUUUAGCCAUGCAAUAGUAGAGGAAUUAGCCAGUUUUGGGGCCAAAAUCCAUGUAUGUGACAUAUCCAAAACUCUUCUCAAUCAAAGUUUAUCCGAAUGGGAGAGUAAAGGGUUUCAAGUGAGUGGUUCGGUCUGUGAUGCAUCCAUUGGUACCGAGAGAGAAACACUUAUGCAAACGGUUGCUACGAUAUUCGACGGCAAGCUUAACAUUCUUGUAAGUUACUCUUAAUAUACAGAAACAAAGAUCAUAUUAUAACUCUUUUAGACCAUUAAACAUAUUUUCAUUUCUGUUCAACAUAUAUAGGUAAACAACGUUGGCACAGUUCGCACAAAGCCAACAAUAGAAUAUGUGGCAGAAGAUUUCUCGUUCCAUAUUUCAACAAAUUUGGAAUCUGCUUAUCAUCUAAGCCAACUCUCACAUCCUCUUCUAAAGGCUUCAGGCUGUGGAAGUAUCGUCUUUAUAUCUUCUAUUGCAGGGAUAGUAUCAUUUGAUGCUGCAUCCCUUUAUGGUCUCACGAAAGGUAACUAGGGUUUCAUUACAAAACUUACUAAUCAAUGGAGAGAUUUAUAAAGGUACUGAACAAUUAUCAAAAAAAAUUAACCGAUAUGGGAUGUACGUAUGCUAAAAAUUUUGUAAUAUACGUACGUUAAAAAAAAAAUCAAAUUGCAAUAUAUGCGGAAAAUAAUUUUUGUUUUUAUCAUACAUAUGAUUUAGGUGGAAUUUCAAAAAUACCCCUUUUCAUAUACAUCUUUUUAAAAAUACCCCAUUUUCAAACUUUAUCAAAAAACCCACUAAAAAUAUUUAAAUUUAUCCAAAUAUGUGUGUAAGCUUAUAAAUAUAUACACAAAUUACCUUUAUAUGUGUAUAAAACUUUAUAUACCUUUCAUAAAUAGUGUAAAAAUAAAUUAUAAAAACCUUAUAAAAACCUUAUAAAACCGUAUAAACCCUUUUAAAAACCUUUUAAAAACCUUAUAAAACUUAUAAAACGAUUUAAAACUAUUUAAAACAUUUUAAAAUAUUUGUAUCGAAUCUCUCAGUAGUAGUUAUUAUAUAGAAGUACCUUAUAAACUAUAUAAAACUUUAUAAUUUUUUAUAUUUAAAAAGGGGUAUUUUUGAAAAUGGAUAGAUAAAAGGGGUAUUUUUAAAAAGGGGUACACCAAAAGAGGUAUUUCUCAAAAGUUCUCUAUGUUUUAUGUAAUAAAAUAAAUUAAACACAAAUAAGAUCGAUUUUGAAGGUUUAAGAAAAGGUGAAAAAUAAGUAAUGUUAAAAAUGAUUAUUAUUAGUUUUUAAUAUUUUAACUAAAUAAUUAAUGUCAAUGGCAUAACUUUGUAAAUAACUUCCAACUUCAAGGUCUUUUUUCAAAAAAAUGUUAAUAUAGAUUAUGUAUACACGACCUUUAUAUAUUUGACUAAAAUUAAAUUAAAUACUUUUCAAAUGAUGUAGUUCUCUUUGAUGGAUCACAAAUCUUUAUCCAUUAAUGUAUAUGGUUCAUGAUCUUUCUCCAAAGCUAUUCCAACGGCUAUAUUAGGUCUAAUUUUCUUUGUAGUUUAUGUGUUUUUUUUCCUUGUGUGUGUAUAUUUUCUUGUUUACAGGGGCUUUGAAUCAACUAGCAAGAAAUUUGGCUUGUGAAUGGGCAAAAGAUGGCAUAACGGCAAACGCUGUUGCUCCUAACUUUAUCCGCACUUCAUUGACUCAAUCUGUAAUACACGCAUGCACACCCUCACACCUUUUUUCAUUUUUUGGUCUUUUACAAAUAACAUCAUCCACAUCUUAUACUUGUUUCUUACAACAAUCAGUUUCUCGAAGAUGCCGGUUUCAACGAGAGUUUGUCCAGUAAAACUCCACUUGGUCGUGCGGGAGAACCAAGAGAGGUUGCAUCACUUGUGGCUUUUCUGUGUCUACCUGCAGCUUCAUAUAUUACUGGUCAGACCAUUUGUGUUGAUGGAGGUCUUACAGUUAGUGGCUUCUCCUAUCAGCCACCACAGGCUUGAGAGCAGUUGAGCCGAGUCUUGUCCUUUGGUUUGGUCUCAUCAAGAACGUCCAACGAUAUAUUCUCAUGUAUCAUAUUUUAUCGAAGUAAGAACUUGUCUUUUUGACUCGAGAGGAAAAAGUAUUUUGCUCUAGAAAUAAUUACAUGAGAUCAAAAAUAUGAACACAAAGAUAGUUACUAUUAUAUUCUUAACCUGUUAGUAUCCUUAAAUUUCAACUAUAUUGUAAAGAUGACUCAUCAUCAUCACUUACAUCACCAACUCUCCCAUACUAAUUUAAAGGAAACGGUGCCUAUCAAAAAUAUACGUCAUUAUCUUUAGCCCCAUUAAAUAUUUUAAACUAAAUUCAGUCAUUCUUAUGACUACUUUGAUCUUUAAUUUGUCACGUACUGUUGGUUGGUGAGAACCUAAAUUGAUGAAAUUGAGAUACAUUGAAUAUCUAGGUUGCCUAGCUAGCUUACAUAGUACCACUAGUCUCUCAGAUUUUUUGAUAAUAGUAUUGAAUUGUUUUCCAAUCAUAUGAAUUUUUUUGAGAAUACUUGAACACCUGAUCAGAUAUUGUUUUUAUAUGAAAACAUAUAGAAAUAGUAAUGUAAUUGAGUGGAAUUAAUUGUCAAUAAAAAUGUGAAAAAACCAUCAGAAUGAAUUAUUAUGAAAGGAACAAUAGAUUUAGAUAAACUUGGCAAAAUAAUAUGACUCAAUGAUUUUAUUAUAUAUAUGAUUUUACAAUUCUGAGGAUUGAGAUCAUUGAGCUGAGUCUUCUUCCUUUGCAAUAACCAAACAAUUUCAAUUAUAUAUAUCCUUGAAAUUUAUUCAACCAUAUAUGAAAUAUUUUACGUAAGCUCUACUUCUUCGAUCGAUAGAUAUCAAAAGAGCAUAAUUACACUUUCCCAAAUGUAGCAAAUGAUCAACAAAAACUCCCUCAGUUAAAGAGAGAAAUGGACAAAUGAGAUUUUUAUCAUACUAUGGGUUAAACUUCUGAAUAUAUUGGUAAAUUGUGGCAUGAUCAUGAAACCAAACAAAGAAGAUAAGCACCAAAAGUAUGAAAGAAUCAUUUAUCGUUUUGUUUUUGACUAUUAAUAGCCCCUUCAUUUUGACUUAUAGACUUUUGGCAUGUUCUUUAUUUUGGAAUGAUUUUGACUAUUAAUAGUUCAUUUUUCCUCUGUUACAAAAAAAAAUAGUUCAUUUUUCUCUAGACCAUUAACUUUUUUUACUUUGGCAUGUUCUUUAGUGGUUAUCACAGAUUUUGCCAUUUUUGCCUCCCCAUUUUUCAUUUUCGCCAUUUUCCAUUUGUCUUUCAAAUAUGCCCUUUUUUUACAACUUAAAAAAAAAACUAAAUAUUUGAGAAAUUCUUUUCAUAAAACAUAUACUUAGUAAAAUAUACUAUACCCUACAAAAAAAGAUAUAACCAAAUCAACCCAAAAAUCAUAUAUCAAAUUGUGUUUUGUAUAAAACAAAAUAGCAAAUUUAAAAGUUUUUACUGGCAAAAUUUGUAAACACUCUCCACAAAGGAUGAUGCUUGUAAUUGAUCCAUGUUCUUUAUUAUGGCUAAUUUCUUCACCUAACAUAUAAAACAAAAUCAUUAAUUGACAAUUAUGUCAUUAACUGUAUAUAUGUAAUAUGUAGCAUUUCUGGUCAUUGCAAGUAACAUACAUAGGAAAAUGGAUAAAAGAUGGAGUCUUCAAGGUAUGACUGCUCUUGUAACCGGUGCAGCCAGCGGAAUCGGGUUAGUCUUUCUUCUCUCUUUAUCAUUCUUAUUACACAUUGUUAUGCUUCUCUUUUAACAUCUUAAAUGGUCAAGAUUUCAAGGAAAUUAAGUUUGUGUAAUGCUCAGGUAUGCCAUAGUAGAGGAGUUGGCUGGUUUUGGAGCUAGAAUCCAUGUAUGCGACAUUUCUGAAGCUAAGCUCAAUCAAAGUUUAAGGGAAUGGGAAAAGAAAGGGUUUCAAGUGAGUGGCUCAGUCUGUGAUGUAACCUCUCGCCCUGAGAGAGAGAAACUAACGCAAAUCGUCUCCUCGCUGUUCGAUGGCAAACUCAAUAUUCUAGUAAGUAAAAUGAUCUUAAUGAUGAUACUAAUGAACUUAAGCAUAUUCAUGAGGGGACAACUCUUAAAAGACUCAUUGUUUUCAACAUGUAUAGGUAAACAAUGUAGGCAGAGUCCGCACAAAGCCUACGACAGAGUAUACAGAAGAAGAUUUCGCUUUCCAUAUCUCAUCAAAUGUGGAAGCUGCUUACCAUUUUGGCCAACUCGCACAUCCACUUCUAAAGGCUUCAGGCUAUGGAAGCAUCAUCUUUGUUUCCUCUGUUGCAGGGGUUAUAUCUUUUGAUGCUGGAUCCAUUUAUGGUCUAACGAAAGGUAAGUAGAGAAUGAGUUACUACUAGAAGCAUAUAUAGAUCCAUGCAGUUCAUAUUGCAAGACUGACUAAACAACACCAAGUUUUGUCUUUUUAUUUUUCUGUGUUUUGUUGAUUUGUUUUACAGGAGCUUUGAUUCAGCUAGCUAGAAAUUUGGCAUGUGAAUGGGCAAAAGACGGCAUACGAGCCAAUGCUGUUGCACCUAGUGUCAUCAAUACUCCUCUGUCUCAAUCUGUAAUCAAAACAGUUUUUACAUUUUCUUGUGAUUGUAAAAACCAUAUACAGGUCUCUAGUCCUAACCACUCUUAAUUGUUUUUUUUUUUUUUUCAAAAGUAUCUUGAGGACGUCAGUUUCAAGAAUGGAUUGUUGAGUAGGACUCCACUUGGUCGUGUCGGAGAGCCAAAUGAGGUUGCAUCACUAGUGGUCUUCUUGUGUCUACCUGCAGCUUCAUAUAUCACUGGUCAAACCAUUUGUGUUGAUGGAGGUCUCGCUGUUAAUGGUUUCUCCUAUCAACCACAGGCUUGAGCAUGGCAUUGUGGUGUUUUGUUUGUUUGUCUUAAGAUUCUCAAUAUUUUCUCUCUAAUAAAAACUCACAAACCAUGAGUUCAUUAAUGAUAUCACAAUACCAUUGUGGAGAUUACACUUGCAAUGCCAACAACUUCACACUUUGCUUCACAACCUUAUGUCUUGAUGACUCAAUGGAGAUAAUGGGGCGUCUCUGUGGCACACACCAUCGUUGUGAUUAUCCAAAAGUGCGUGCAAAAUCUUGAAAGUUAUUACCUUUAUUCUCUGUUUUACAAAAGAUAUCAUUAAAAUAUCAAGAUCCAUCAUUACUUACAUAAUCAUUUUGUCACACCAAAAGGUAUAAGAAAUAUUCUCCUUUUUUGCUCCAAUCGAAAAAAAAUAUAUAACCAACUUUGAAGAUUUGAUUAAUUAUAAAAAGGGCUCAAAAAUACUAAUAAAAAUCAAAAAUAUUUCCAAAGUAAAAGUUGUAAGAACCCAAAGUUAAUUUUACGGUAAACACUUUUUACCUAAGAAACAAAGGAGGAAGUUUGUCCACGUCAAAUAUAAUAAUUUUCUGUCACGUCAAAAAAAGGAGGAACUCUAUCCACUUCAAGUUGUUGUUGUCACAGUCUAAACAAAAAUCUCGACUUCUAGUUUCAGUUGUCUUUUGUGAGUGAAGUUAUUGAAUUAGACAAAUGAACAAGUUUUGGACAAUGAUUUGACAACAGGUCAAUUAUUAGGCAGGGCUAUGUUGGACGUUCUUGAGAAAAACGUUGCAAUAUAUCCCAAAGAGAGAAAGAAAGAAGCCUAUUGAUGUGUGUUGUUAUCAGUGAUGUUAUUAAAAAGACACAAAUAAGUAAGUUUGGUUGAAGAUUUUGACUAUAAAUAGUCAUGUUUGCUUGGAACCACUAGUUUAAGUACUUUUGUCAUGUAACAUUUCCAUCACACAUGCCAAUAUACUCAUCAAGUUUGCACUUGAUAGUCCACAUUCAUUUAGGGGGUGUUAUUGGAUGGAGAAUUUUAAGGGAUUUUAAUUACGGGUAGAUUUUAAAGUUCAAUAGCCUUUAAAUACAAUUAAGAUGGAUUUGGUAUGAAAGAGAUGAAAUCCUUUGAAAAGUGUUAGGAUUGUGUUUGUACGUGUUUUAGAUGUAAAAUACAUUAAAAUCUUAAAUGAAACAAAAUCCAUUGAAAAUUGAAUAACGCUUGUUUUAAAAUACUUUAAAAUACAUCCAACAAAUGUUAAAUUCAAUAACAGCAGAUUUUAUUGUGGUUUUUAAAAUAUAUCGUUAAAUAACGCUAGAUUUUGAAAUACAUCCAAAUCAAUUAAAAUACAAGGUUGAAUAACACCCCCUUAUUGUCAUUGCCAAUCAAACUUGGUAGAUAUCACUAUUAGGACUUGGCCAAUGUUUAUCACGUUUUAUGUUUCCUAUGUAUGCUUAACUAAUAUAUCCACCUCAUAUUCAAAGGCUUAGUGAUCUAUCUUCAUACUAUUUAUAAUAUGUGGAACGUCUAGUUAGUGACAGACAAGUCAUAGAAAGUAUCAAUGGAUAACAACAGAUGGAGUCUUCAAAGUAUGACUGCUCUUGUGACCGGUGGAGCCAGCGGAAUUGGGUUUGUAUUUCUUCUAAAUUCUCUCUGUAUCUAUUGUUCUGUUUCUAUAUAAAAUCAUAAAAGAUCGUUUCUCGAAUAUUUAGCUAUGCCAUAGUAGAGGAGUUAGCUGGUUUUGGAGCUAGAGUCCAUGUAUGUGAUAUAUCUGAAACUAAGCUUAACCAAAGUUUAAGCGAAUGGGAAAAGAAAGGGUUUCAAGUGAGUGGCUCAGUCUGUGAUGUAACCUCUCGUCCCAAAAGAGAAAAAUUGAUGCAAACUGUAUCCUCAUUGUUUGGUGGCAAACUCAACAUUUUAGUAAGUAACUUGUUGUUGAAGAAACUGGUUGAGUUUAGCAUUUUCUUGGGGGAAAAGUUUUAGAGACUCAUUUGUGCAACACAGGUAAACAAUGUAGGUGGAAUUCGCAACAAACCAACGAUAGAGACCGUGGCAGAAGAUUUCUCGUUCCAUAUCUCAACAAACUUGGAAUCUGCUUAUCAUCUAAGCCAGAUUUCACAUCCUUUGAUGAAGGCUUCAGGAUUUGGAAGUAUCGUCUUCAUUUCCUCUAUCGGAGGCGUUGUUUCGAUGGCCUGCGGAUCUCUUUUUUCUCUAGCAAAAGGUAAAUAGAGUUGCUACUAGAGGCAAGACACAAGUCCCAAAAAGGAAUUUUAAAAUGUGUUUUUACAUCUUUUACAGGAGCUCUGCAUCAGCUAGCUAAAAAUUUGGCAUGUGAAUGGGCAAAAGAUGGCAUAAGAGCCAAUGUUGUUGCACCAAAUGCUAUCACGACUCCUAUGUCUCAACCUGUAACUAAAAAAACAAAAUUGUACAUUUGUUAUUUUGUGUGAAUGUAUCAAACUCAGUUCCUCUAAUAAUUUCUUAAUUGUUUUUUCUUGAAGUUUCUUGACGACAUCAGUUUCAAGGAGGCAUUGUUGAGUAGAACUCCACUUGGCCGUGUUGGAGAGCCUAAUGAAGUUGCAUCUCUAGUGGUCUUCUUGUGUCUACCUGCAGCUUCUUAUAUCACUGGCCAAACCAUUUGUAUUGAUGGUGGUCUCACUGUUAAUGGCUUCUCGUAUCAGCCCCAUUCUUGAAAGUCGCCUUGUAGCGUUCUGUUUGGUUAUCCUAAACCUCAAUGUUCGUUGUAUAAUAAAAACUCAGCCACGCUGUGAGAUUAGUAUUUGCAUGAAAACAGAAACGAGAGUUCACUUUUCUACUGUGGAGAGGUUAAUCUCGCUAAGAUAUACAAUAUUUUGAUGUAUGUGCUUAAAGAAUCUAUAUUAUUUAAAAUUCAUAUGGUUUUCAAAAUUAAUAAAAUUUUCCAAAUAUUAUAUGAAUUUACAAAUAAAUGAUCGAAUAAACUCCCCUAAAAUUAAGAGAAAUAUAUAAAAGCGGAUAUUUCACUGGAAUAUUCUCGUGAAUUCAUAUUUCGAAGAGGAAAUUUAACUGUUCGACUGGAAAAUUUAGGGGAAAGUGAUUAUGCCUGUUAAGAUGUUUAAUUCGUCAAUCAAACAUCAUUAUCUCUAAAUGUUUGUGUAAAGCUUCCAACAUUAGAAUAAAAAACCAUAUCUAACCAAGGCCUUAAGCUUUGUUUCGUUCAUCAUCCAAACUUUAAAUUCAUCUUUUACAAAGAUAUUUAAACAAGGGAAGAAAUAAUAAUACAAUAAACCAGGUCAUUUGUGAGUAACUGAUUAUACUAUAUAAGCUUUGUUCGUUACAGUGUCACCGACAACACCUUUCAGCGACUUAAAUAUAACUAAGUACAAGAAAAUAUUUGAUACUUCAGUUUCAUUUUAUAUAUGUGUUGAUUAAUACGCAUGCAUAUACAAAUGCACGGGAAGAUACGUAUAUGGGAUAACAACUAUAGUAGAGAAGCUCAAGCUUUACAAGUGUACGUUGACAACAUAAUAGAGCUAGUACACCUUACACUUGAAUAUAUAUGGAUGUUAUGUAAUUAUGUUAGAGAUAUGAUUCAAUACACAUUUACUUCUCAAUAUUUGAUUUCUCUAAAUUAUGUAUUUGCAUAACCCUAGAGGCUCAUAUAUAUCCUCCUUCUAUGUACAUCAUCUAUAUAUAUAAAGUUAGCUUUUUCUCUCUUCUCAUGAUGCCACCUAAGCAUCCACCUAAGCCACAUUAUUUUUUACACUAAAAUAAAUUUAAAACAUUCAUUUAGUGCAUAUUUAUGCUACUUAUUUAAUUAAUAAAAAAUUUAUAUAAAUAAAAUAAAUUAUGUAAAUAAAUGAAAUGUUAAAUAAGAAAUACUUUCAUUUUUUAUUAGUUAGUAGUAAUAAUAUAAUUCAACUUUCAUUUUAAAUUGAUCAUAGUUUAAAAUUUUAAAUGUGUUACUGAGUUUAAGAAUGUAAGUAAAUUUUAAAUUUAUGGUAGAAUAAAAACAAAAUUUAUGUAAUUGUAUAUAUAAAAUUUUAAAGGGGAAAAGUAAAAUUGAAAGUGAAAUAUUAGUUUAGAACAUGAUCAAAAAAAAAUGCUUUUAAUCCAAAUUUAAAUAUUGAAAGAUAAUAAUUCAAGAGAAAAUAACUAUAAUAUGUUUUGAAAAUCAAUUAAAAUAACUAAAAGAUCACAAUAUAAAUAAAAAAAUUAACAAAAAAAUUAUAAACCUUCCGCGCGCAGCGCGGAUCCACUGCUAGUUUUGAAUAUAUAGAAAAUACAGCUUCUAUAUAUAUGUUACUCUCAUGAUUGAUGUUGAUGUAACUAACCCGUCUCCAUCGGCAUUGUGGCAAUGGAUGGUCCCUCAUCCACGGGUUUGUUGAUGUAACUCUUCAUCGUUGGCAUCGAUGUCAAUAGAUAUUGGUCCCUCAUUCACAUGGUUGGAAAUUUUAGCACGUUUAGUUGUUUGGUUUGUUUUUUUCCUUAUGGAAUCUUAAUCUCUCAACCAUAUAUGUUUGGUAGUACAUUAUAAAUAUGUGAUCUACUUUUAUUCAAUGUAUAAGCUAUAUAUAUGAUCAUUGAUUAGUAGUUGAUACAUAGUUUACUGUUUACGGCCGGGCUUGAUUAGUAGUUGAUACAGCGUUCAUGGAUGUGAUUUGUGAAUGAGUUUGAAUAGAAAAAAUUAUGAAAUAUUUUUGGGGUUAUAUUUGAUUUUUAGUUAAUAUUAAUUAACUAAAUAAUAAACUUUUAGAAUACUGGUUUUGAGAAAACUCAUCUUUUAAAACAUGUUUAUUGGGACAAUGCACAUCCUUUAGCCCGACAUACAUAUGUAUUUGGAAAGCUACCACUUGAAAGAACAUAACUUUAGCAUAUUAUACUAAAGAAUAAUAAUGGGUGCAAAAUUGAUAUAAAAAUUAAUUAUUACGUUUUAUGUCUGUUUAUUUUUUAUUUUUUUUUAAAAUUUCUUACCAUAGCUUAGUUUUAUAUUUCAAUAAAUAAUUGUAACAGAUUAAUAAAGUUUAACUCCUUAGCUAUGUGUUAUAUCACUAGCUCUUCGUUGAAUAUUAUAGCCUAUUCUUCGGAGUUACCAAAGCUUUACUCCACACGAUGAAAAAUUGUAGCUAGUCUGUUGCGAAGUUUAACCCUUUGUCAAUUGUUGUUUAACCCAAAGAAAUUUCCAUAGCCACUUUAAGGUUUGUGACGGAAAAAUCGAAGGACUAAAUUGAUACAUGUUAAUCUAAACUUUUAAGCUAAUAUAAAUUAGCGUUACGUAAAUAAAUUUAAACUAAAUGGUGUAUAUAUAUGUGGUGUUCUAAUACUAUAGGGGUCUCCAUUAUGAAUUGAUAAAAACUUUCUUUACCACACAAGGAUUGUCAAAAUGAAAAACAUUAUGUGGACGUCUGAAUCAAUUCUUUAUAAGAUCCAUUGAAGAAAAGAAUCGUCGCAGGAUGAUAACGAAGAUCCCAAUGGCAAAGAUAGGGGAAAGGUUGGGAGAGAACUCUAGAUGGAGUCUUGGAGGCAUGACCGCUCUUGUCACUGGUGGCACUCAAGGCAUCGGGUUAGUCGUCAAACUUAGUUUCCCAUUUUCGUAGAUUUGUAUGCUCUUUCAUUGCAUUGUUAUUAUAAUAAAUAUAGGUGUGUGUCAUGAAUAUAUAGGAAAGCUAUAGUGGAGGAACUAGCUAUGUUGGGAGCAAGGGUUCACACAUGUGCAAGGGACGAAACUCAGCUUCAAGAACGUUUAGGUGAAUGGCAAGUAAAAGGGUUUCAGGUCACCACUUCUGUUUGCGACGUUUCUUCUCGUGAUCACCAACGAGAGAAACUCAUGGAAACCGUUUCCUCUCUCUUCCAAGGAAAACUUAACAUCCUCGUAAGUAUACAUUUAUAAGCCCGGGGUGGGAUCUAGAAGAAACAAUUCAUGUUGUGUUUUAUGCUUUAUAUAUAUAGGUCAACAAUGUAGGAACGUUUAUAGUUAAGCCGACCACAGAGUAUACAGCUGAAGAAUUCUCUUUUCUAAUGGCUACAAAUCUGGAGUCAGCUUUUCAUCUCUCACAACUCGCGCAUCCUUUGUUAAAAGCUUCUGGCUCAGGGAGCAUCGUGCUCAUGUCUUCUGUUUCUGGAGUUGUGCAUGUCAGUCUUGGAUCCAUAUAUGGAGCAACCAAAGGUAUGGGAUAUAGAUGUACAUCCUUAACACACAAUAUUUUUCCCUUGGGUUAUGAUGCUUACGCAUAUAUUGAGUAAUUUCAGGAGCAAUGAAUCAGCUGGCUAGAAACUUAGCUUGCGAAUGGGCGAGUGAUAACAUAAGGACUAACUCUGUUUGUCCUUGGUAUAUCACAACUCCUUUAACUAAAAACGUAAGGCCAAAACUAAACGCUCUCCUUAGCAAUAUGUAAAUAAAAAAUAUUAUCUAUAUAUAUGUUUUUAACUAAUACGAAAAAUCUCUUAGCAUCUCAAUGACAAAGAGGUUAUAAAAGAAUGUGAGCGUAGGACAGCCCUAGGACGUACCGGAGAGGCAAAUGAAGUCUCACCACUUGUGGCAUUUCUUUGUCUUCCUUCAGCUUCUUAUAUCACUGGCCAGACCAUUUGCGUUGAUGGAGGUGCCACUGUCAACGGUUUCUCCUUCAAGCCUCUGCCUUAAACACACACAUAUUUGCAUGUGUUCGCAUCAUAUUUUCCAAUAAUAAAACCUACGGGUUAUAUAAAAUAUCCCAAUUUGUAAUAUGUAAUAACUAAUAAAUGUAAUUUUUUUUUUUUUAAUAAAUGUAAUUUAGAUAUGUCAUAUGUCGAUUCUUUUCAGCUAAUCUGUUCGUAGUGUCAUAUUAGUUUUUCUCUAUAAAGCCACUUUAUAUAUAUACUAAAAGGUAAAAAUACGUCGUAACCGUAUUAAAUUAUUUGUAAGCAUUUUCUUAACUAAAAAUAAUAUGAUUGUGGUAAAAUAUAUAGUUUUCUUAUAAAUAUAGGCAAUAUGUGAUCGUCCAUGUAUCAUUACUUAUUUAUUAGCAUUUGAUUAACAAAGUAAGACUCAUCAUCACUUAGAUCAUCAAUUCUCUCCCCAUCAUAGCUAAAACCCUUUUUGUUUUUAAAUUGGAAAACACUUUAUUAGUUACGUAAUCACAAUGCCCAACUUAAUAUAUAAUACUAAACUUAAUUUAGUCGUAUGGAUUUUACUUUGAUCUCUAAUUUGUCUCCCAACCGCACCAGUCACAACGUCACUAGAUACGAUGGCUCUCCUCAAUUACUUUGAACAUUCUCAUAACCUCGUAACAUUAUUUAUUGUAUAUUGCCAUUAAUCUCAUUAUCCUUUCUCAUCAAACGAUAACAUAAAUCAUCACACAAUAAGUCAACAAUGGCUAGAGCAGCACAGAGCAACAAAUGGAGUCUUCAAGGCAUGACCGCUCUUGUCACCGGUGGAACCAAAGGCAUAGGGUUUGUCUUCCACCAUCCUUUUUUCCAAGUCACAUUUCUUGCGUUACAAGAGACAACAAAAAAAAAACCUUAUUUUGCUUAUAGAUUUAUUGUUGUUGAUGAAUCGUCUCUAGGCAUGCUAUAUUAAAGGAACUCGCAGGACUUGGAGCUACAAUACAUACUUGUGCAAGAGACGAAACUCAGCUUAACCAAUGUUUAAAAGAAUGGGAAACGAAAGGCUUCAACGUCACAGGAUCGGUUUGUGACAUAUCUUCCCAUACCGAUAGAGAGAAACUGAUGCAAACUGUCUCCUCUCUGUUUGAAGGCAAACUCAACAUCCUCGUCUGUCUUCUCUUCUCUAUUUCACCACAAAGUUGGUGAAAAAUCUCAUGAGAUACUAAUUAUAGGAAUUAUAUAGAUAAACAAUGUAGGAACAUGUGUGACAAAGCCAACAACAGAAUCCACAACAGAGGAUUUCUUGUAUCAAAUCUCAACAAAUUUGGAGUCUGCAUACCAUUUGUGCCAGCUUGAUCAUCCUCUACUCAAAUCCUCUGGUUACGGAAGCAUCGUCUUCAUUUCCUCUGCUGCUGGAGUUGUCUCAUGUAGCGUUGGAUCCAUCUAUGGUGCAACUAAAGGAGCUAUUUGCCAACUGGCGAGGAGCUUAGCUUGCGAAUGAGCUAGCGACAACAUGAGGGCUAACUCUGUUGCUCCUGGAGUCAUUUCAACUCCUCCAGCUAAAACUGUAAACUCUUCAAAAACACUCUUUUAACAAAAUGUUACACGAUCAUGUAAAUUAAUUGGUUUCUCUUGUUUAAGUUUAUACAAGGAGAGGAGUUUGCAAAGAAUAUUGCGCCAAAUAUACCAAUGCGCGCUGGAUAGCCAGAAGAAGUGGCUGCAAUGACUGUGUCUCUGUGUCUUCCUGCUGCUUCUUACGUUACAGGCCAAACCAUGUGUUGAUGGAGCUCUCUCUGUUCAUGCCUUCUAAAGUCUUCCAUAUGCUUUUGUAGCGGAAGCAAAACUAGAACAAAUGGAUCUAACAUUCUCGUGACUAGAAGCAGUGACGCCACAUACCCACGAUGCUGAUCGUCUGAUGCUCUGAUACCAUGAAGGAAAUCUCAAAACAAGAAAGAUUCAAUCUUUAUUAAGAUAACUAAGAAAUAAGAUAGCUCAUUUAUGAGCUUUAUUGUGUAGAGAAACUAAGAUAAAAGAGACUUUAGAUUGUCACCAAGAUCCAAAUGAUUUUUGAUUGAUCUCUUACAAAGAUUAAGAAGAGAGUUACCACAUGAGGCAACUCCCAAAGAUACUUAUCUUCUUCACACUACACAAAUUUAUAUAUGAAUCUUUCUUGAUGAAAACCCUAAAGCCAUGCAUGGCUUCAUGGGCUGUUUCUUAAUUAUGAUACUAAUUAGGCCUUUAAUGUGUGCUCUAAUAAUUUGUUCUUUCCAAUUUUAUGUAAUCCAGUUUGAUACAUUCUAUGUUUUGUUUCCAACCAUCUGAGUGAGUUUAAUGAAUAAAAGCAAGUUAUCAAUAACCUUACGAGUUACGUAACGUCUGUAUUAAACAAUGUUCUUAUUAAAACGACGUACGUAAAGAAAAGAAUCAACACAAUCCCAUGUAGUUGGGCCUAAACCCUCAACAAAGGCCCGUGACAUCGUUCCCAUGGGUAUGGCCUAGUGUAAUUAUGAAAGGUCGUUAUCUUCAGUCAUUAUGAAUUUUUCUCAACCAUUCAGAUCUGCAGGGAAAGAUCUUUGGUUCUGUGAUUCAAUACUCAGAAUGGCAAAAACAGGGGAAAGCUUGAGAGAGAAUCCUAGAUGGAGUCUUCGAGGCAUGACCGCUCUUGUAACCGGUGGCUCCAAAGGCAUCGGGUCAGUCCCAAAUCUCUACCUUACCUAUUUUUCUAACUAGUCCAAUAUCAAAUCUGAAAUCUCAUUUCUAUUUUAGAUUUAUAUAUGGAUCUUUUGAUUGUACAUCCAAUAAAAAAAAGAAUAGCUUCAUGAAAUGAUUAUGUUAAACCCCAAAUGUAUAUGUGUGCCAUUAAUAGAGAAGCUAUAGUAGAGGAACUAGCUAUGUUGGGAGCAAGAGUCCACACAUGUGCCAGAGACGAAACUGAACUUCAAGAAAGCUUACGUAAAUGGCAAGAAAAGGGGUUUCAGGUUACUACUUCUGUUUGUGAUGUUUCUUCUCGUGACCAACGAGAGAAACUCAUGGAAACCGUUUCUUCUGUCUUCCAAGGAAAACUCAACAUAUUAGUGAGUAAUCUAUAUGUAUAUAUAUAAGCUUUUAUGCAUAUAAGAAAGUGACUUUUUGUUGUGUGGCUUCUUAUGUUUUUGGUUUUAAUCAAUAUAUAAAGGUAAACAAUGUGGGAGCUAUUAUAGUCAAGCCGACAGUAAUGCAUACAUCAGAAGAUUUCUCAUUUACGAUAGCUACAAAUCUCGAGUCAGCUUUUCAUCUCUCACAGCUCGCACACCCUUUGUUAAAAGCCUCUGGUUCAGGGAACAUCGUGCUCAUCUCCUCCGUAUCUGGAGUUGUGCAUGUCACUGGUGCGUCCAUGUACGGAGCUAGUAAAGGUAUAUAUCUAUAAUCUAUAUGAAAGCAUAAAUAUUCAAACAAUUAAUGAUGCAUCACGUUCCAAGAGUUAUGAAAAUGUAAGUGUUUUCUUUUCUAGGAGCAUUGAAUCAGCUAGGAAGAAACUUAGCAUGCGAGUGGGCAAGUGACAACAUUAGGGUUAACUCUGUGUGUCCAUGGUUCAUAGCAACUCCUUUCGUUAACGAAGUAAGACAAUAUAUAUGAAAGUUAAGAAUUAAUUUAUAUAAAUCGAAUUCUUCUCAAUUGUAAUAUAAGUGACAAAUCUAUUUAGGUUCUUAGUGAUAAAGAGUUCAGAAAUGAAGUGGAGAGUAGGCCACCGAUGGGACGUGUUGGAGAGCCAAAUGAAGUAUCAUCACUUGUGGCAUUUCUUUGUCUUCCUGCAGCUUCUUAUAUAACAGGUCAAACCAUUUGCGUUGAUGGAGGUUUUACUAUUAAUGGUUUCUCUUACAAACCUCUGCCUUAAGGCCAAAUUAGAUUGUUUCCGUUUAUAUUUACGUUUAUUAUCAUUUCUAUAACCAUUUUAGUGUCUUUUUAUAUCUUAACUCAGAGUUGUAAAAUAUUUGUGAAUUACCCAAAAAAAAAAAAUGGGAGUUCGAAAUAAGACAGCUCUAAAAUAUAUUCCAUGCUUGUGUUUUAUGCGAUUCUAGUGGUUUAAUUGCAAAACUGUAACAAAUGUUUUGAUAAUAUUUUCAGUUUAUAUAUUAUAUAAAGACUUUUUUCUACUAAGUUCAAAAAAAAAAGGAAUUUUCUAGUUGUGAAUACUAUAGGGAAGGAGACAGGUUAGGAAUAUCUGUGUAGAUGUAGAUGGAGCUCUCUCCUACAGUCCUACUGAUCCGUUCAUCAUGCCUUCUAAGCCCUCCAGCAAGGCAAAUCUUUUAUCAGCCAAAACAAAUUGUUUUUUUUCGAAAACUAUAUAUCAUUUCUAAAAUUUUAUUGUAUUUAAACUUUUUAUUUAAUUUAAUAUUUAUAGUUAGAAUGGUAGCACAGAAACGCCUAGAUAACAAUAUGUAUGAAAAUAAAUAUACUAAAAUUACAUAUAUUUCCACAAUUUUAUUGUAUCUAAAGUUUGAUGUGUAUUAAUUGGUUAAAUGUAGAGAUAUUAGUUUAUAUGGUACUGUAAAUGGUAUUAAAGAAAAUAUAUCUUAUUAAAUAUCAUAGUAAUAAAUUUUUUUAGAAGCUACACGUUAAAGUAUAGAUACUGUAUAUGUGUCACAUGUCAUAACAUGAAAGUACAAAUGUGAAUUAUAAUAGAGAUAUAUUCCUUCCAAAAAAAACCUUGUCAUAUUAUAUAAGAUUUUCCAAAAUUUUAUUGUAAUUAAAGUUUUUAUGUAUAUUAAUUGGUUAAAUAUAGGAUUAGUGUGUAUUUAUUUAAUUUAGUUAAAUAAAUAUGUAAAGUGAAGAUAAUAUAAUAUGUCUAAAAGUAGAUAUACUAUCAUUUCCAUAAUUGUAUUGUAUCUAAUUAUUUAUGUGUCUUAAUUGGUGAAUCUAGUGGUAUCAAAGAAAACUUAUCUUAUUAUAAUAAAAUAUAAAGAAAAGUUAAACUUUGAAGUAUUAUAUAUAUAUAUAUAUAUGCCAAAUGUGAAGUGUCAUAAUUAUAGGGCGUUUUACAAAACUACUCAUCUUUGGACGGAUCCACCCAAUAAUUUAGCCGAUCUUUGGCCCCCUUUUCAAAUUAUCGUGAAAAAUAGUUUUUUCCUACAAGCCUUGCAUCGUUACGUGUGGUCUACAAAAGACGAACGGUUAUUGUCAUUAGCUUCUCGACAGAGAGAUACUAAUCUUCACGAAAAGACAUCUUCCUUUGUGAUUGAAUUACUCAAAAUCAUUUUAGAAAUGGCUAAGACAGAAGAAAAUAUGAGUAACAAAUCUAGAUGGAGUCUUGGAGGCAUGACCGCUCUUGUCACUGGUGGUACUAAAGGCAUCGGGUCAGUCCCAAUAACUUCUACCUUACCUACUUUACUACUAGUUCAGUAUUGAAUCUGUGCUCUCAUUCUAGUAUUCGAUUUAUGUGAAUGUUUUGAUCUAUUCCGAUGUUUAUAAUCAAGACAACCCUAAUUAAAAAAGAGCAACGCUGAAUGAUUUCUAAACUAAAAAUUUCAUGUGUGCUAUAAACAGAAAAGCUGUGGUGGAAGAACUAGCUAUGUUAGGAGCAAGAGUUCACACAUGUGCCAGGGAUGAAACUCUCCUUCAAGAACGCUUACGUGAAUGGCAAGCAAAAGGGUUUCAGGUCACCACUUCUGUUUGCGACGUUUCUUCUCGUGACCAGCGAGUGAAACUCAUGGAGACUGUUUCAUCUCUCUUCCAAGGAAAACUCAAUAUCCUCGUAAGUAGUUAUAUAUAUAUUAAAAAUCUCCUCCUCAGCCUCAAGGUUGAAACCACAGUGACCAAAUCAUGUUCUGUUUGGGUGUAUAUAGGUACCCAACGUUGGUACAGGUGUAGUAAAGCCGACCACAGAGUGUACAGCAGAAGAAUUUUCAUUUAUAAUGGCUACAAAUCUGGAGUCAACUUUUCAUCUCUCACAGCUCGCACACCCUUUGUUGAAAGCCUCUGGUGCAGGGAGUAUUGUGUUCAUGUCUUCCGUUUCUGGGGUUGUGAACUUGGGUGGUACAUCCAUUUAUGGAGCAACCAAAGGUAUAAACAACUAAUGAUCUUUUGCUUUUAUUGAUACUUAUACUUACAUACAUGUACGCAUUUUAUAGGAGCAAUGAAUCAGCUGGCGAGAAAUUUGGCAUGUGAGUGGGCGUGCGAUAACAUAAGGACCAACUCUGUUUGUCCAUGGUUCAUCACAACUCCGGCAGCUAAAGAUGUAAUAAAGACAAAGAACAAACAUAAAUCUUGUCAAUACUAAAGAAAAUAUGAUAUAACUAGCUAGUAAUUCUGAUGGAUCUUAUUCUGUAUGAAAAUGUUUUAGUUUCUCAGUGGUGAAGGUGUAAAAGAAAAGGUGGAGAGCGUGACACCAUUGAAGCGUGUUGGAGAGGCUAAUGAAGUAUCAUCGCUUGUUGCAUUUCUUUGUCUUCCUGCAGCUUCUUACAUAACAGGUCAAACCAUUUGCGUUGAUGGAGGUUUCACUAUUAACGGCUUCUCUAUGCCUUAAUUAAGACGUAUAUAUGCAUGUUGCAUGCCUAAAUAUGUGUGAUUUGUGGUCUAGUUAAGUGCCACUAUUUAUGGAUAAUAUUCUUAAUAAUUUUAAUCUAUGCAAGCUAUAUACAUUUAAGUUAUGUUGAUGGAGCUCACUCCUUCGUUCAUGCCUUGUAAUGCUUGGAAGGAAUCCAAACUCUAAUCUUAUCGAAUAAGAAUUUGGUCGUGUUCGUAUUCGAUGUUUGUUUCUUUCCAAUCCAUCCAAUAUAGUGUGUGGUGUGCUAUACUUAUAUGUAUAAAAUAUUAUGAUCCUAUAAAUUGUAGUAUAGACAUAUGUAAUGACAACCAUACGAUAUUCAACUAUAAUGUCCCUUUCCUCGCUUGCUUUACGGGUUAUGGCUAAAAACUAAAGUAAGUUUUAAAUUGUAAAAUGAAGACGUUGUAGCCGUCUUUGUAGUUUUUGCUCGGUAAACUGUAAACCAUUCGGGUCUAGCAUAUAGUUUCCCCGGCCAGAGACGUCUUCACGAAUAUUUUAUACGCUAAAUGAUGCAAGGUGUUACGAGAUUUCACAAAUUGCACGAAGCUUAAAUUUGUAUCUCGUGAAUAAAUUAAAUUUGACGAGAUGUGGACACACACUGAUAUCUUUGUUUUAUAAAUUGUUCAUACCACCAUCGCACCAUAUGUGAUUACUCUCCUACAUAUUAUAUAUUCGAUACGAUGCUCUGGUCUCAAAAGAUUAUAGCAAUAGGAAAAAGUGAGAUACAAGUUAAUCUAUCACAUGCAUAUAUUAAGUUUUUUUCUUUGUUAACGUGUCUACUGUCUAGCUAACAAAACAUAUAAAGUAUCGCACUAAAGCUUGUUAGGUUUAUAUAAAGCAAACAUAAUUUAGGUUAUUUAUGUAACAAAUAUGAAAAACUAACGUAAUGAAACUCCUCAAGUAUUUUAAAAUAGAGAAAAACAAAACCUACAUUGAGGGGAAAAGCUACGUACGACUAAAACGUACACUCGUGGCGCAUUAGAACUUCCUAUGUUCCUUGCUGUGUCAAUUUGAUUGGACCACGAAUCUCGCACACUCGUUACUGACACUUACGUGAAAUAUUAUUUUUUUAGUAGAAAGAGUUUUAUAAUUGUUUUCUGAAGAGGCAGGUUUGUGUAUAAAAUAGAGUGCGAGUUGUAACGUGUAAAUGACAUUAUUUCUCUAUUUGAAUGGUUCAUGAGUUUCUUUUUAUUAACUAGUGAAGUAACAACACCUAAAACAGGAUUCAACGUUACUUGAAAUAGAGCAAAAACUAAUUGACGUGAUCGGAGUUUUUAGUUUUUGUUUGUUCUUUUCGAUAUGGCGGAUAUAUGUUACGAAGUGGUGACUGACGCAUCUCUGCCGUCGGUUUAUGAAUCGACGCCGCCACAUUCACGGCGGAGGCAGCGGUUUAAGACGGUGAUGCAAGAAGAUUGGGAGAGGAAUUGUAAACGUAAUAAACAAGAGGAGGCUCUAGCUAUUACUAACCAUAAAGUUGACGUAUCCGGCGAGACUUCCACGACGGAGCUCAGUCCGAGAUACGGUGUUUCAUCGGUGUGUGGUAGGAGAAGAGAGAUGGAAGACGCGGUGGCGAUUCAUCCUUCGUUUUCUUGUACCAAGAAUUCGGAAAAUUCUCAACACUAUUUUGGUGUGUACGACGGCCAUGGUUGUUCCCACGUACGUAUACGAAGUUGUUUUCAUGCAUAUUCUCUUAUAUUUCCGUAUUCGAUAUUUUCAGUUUUAGCUGAUAUAUACGACAUCGUUUUGUUUUCUAUAGGUUGCAGCUAGGUGUAGAGAGAGGCUUCACAAGCUAGUGCAAGAGGAACUGACCUCAGAUGGAGAUAACGAAGAAGAAUGGAAAAAGACAAUGGAGCGCAGCUUCAAGCGCAUGGAUAGAGAAGUUUUGUCGUGGAGUGAUUCCGUCGUGAGUGCGAGGUGCAAGUGUGAUCUUCAGUCCCCUGCUUGUGAUUCCGUUGGAUCGACCGCGGUUGUUUCAGUCAUUACGCCGGAUAAGAUCAUCGUCGCAAAUUGUGGUGAUUCUAGAGCAGUUCUUUGCCGAAAUGGGAAACCAGUCCCUUUAUCAACCGAUCAUAAGGUCAGUGUCUCUCAAAACAUGUUAUGUUUCAAGGCUUCUAACUUAAAAUCAAUUGGUCUCAAAACAUGUUAUGUUUCAAGGUUUCAAACUUAAAAUCAAUUGGUCACGUCUUAUAAUAUUAUCUUAGGUAACAUAUAGUCUUGAAUUCUUCAUUCAACCAACACAUAUCACCUAGUUAUUUUUACCUGAAUAUCUGUUAAGAUUGAAAUUGUGGGUUUAGUACUAAAGAGAUUGUGUUCUUUGUACACAGCCUGAUCGUCCAGACGAAUUGGACCGAAUCGAAGGAGCCGGUGGGCGAGUCAUAUAUUGGGACUGCCCGAGAGUUCUAGGGGUCUUAGCAAUGUCACGAGCAAUAGGAGACAACUAUUUGAAACCUUACGUGAGUUGCGAGCCGGAGGUCACCAUAACGGACAGGACUGACGACGAUUGCCUCAUACUAGCAAGCGACGGUUUAUGGGAUGUGGUUUCAAACGAGACUGCGUGUUCAGUGGCUCGUAUGUGUCUCCGUGGUGGUCAGAAACAGAGAGGUAGUUAUGAGGAUCCGGAGGUCCCGGACAAGGCUUGUACGGAAGCGUCUGUAUUACUAACGAAGCUGGCGUUGGCAAGGCACAGUAGUGACAACGUGAGUGUCGUUGUGAUAGAUCUCAGGAGAGAAGGACACGUAAGUGGACACUAAUCCAAGGCGAAGACACAGCUUUAACUUUUUGGUUUUUUUCAGUUUUGCUGUUCUUGGAAUGCGUAAUUGUUUUUUUUGAGCAGCUUAAUGCUGCUUUCUCAGAUACUAGAGAGAGGGUAUACGAAUCAACCCGACUAAAGGGUUAAUACUUUUACAGGAAUGAUGAUUAGUUCUUCUCAAACUUUAAUCAUCUUUCAUGUAAUAACUCUUAAUGAAAAUCAAAUCAAAAUUAAGCCUAGCAGUUACUAGUGACUUACUACUCUAAUUGAUUGACUACUAUAGCUGAGGAAAAUUUUGUUCUCAAAAUAAGUUCCGACAUGUAAAAUAUGUUCACAGAAGAUCGACCAUCUAUGACAUGUAUAUCAUUUUGCUUUAAGAGAGAUUUUUUCAGACUUUCUAAAAGAUAAAAUUAAAAACAACAAAGGUUAAUACGCAAGGGAUGAAAUUACACUUUUUAGGCUUUUAAGAUACUUGAAUGUGCUUUGUCUGUGCCGCAAGGUUAAUAAAUGAGUUAAGAUUCCUAGGGGCUAAAAUGCAAGCACUAGCGCAGUCUAAUAGCAGUAUCUAAAGAUUGAGAUAAGACAGAAGGUUCAACUUAUGUUCAGAACAACAGCUUUGAUUGUACAGUACAGCCCAAGGUGUUGCAAAUAAUGUUUGUUCUUGUGACUAAACGUUUUAAUUCAAGAAAAUCUGAGAAGCAAAACAGAAGAAAGGAGGGUUUUUGAGAACAAGACCUCACUCUUGAGAAAUCCAACUUCCACUUUUGCUUGUUUUCAGGUUUCUUUGAGGGCCUUCAGUUUCCUGUAACCCUUGUCGGUACCAAAGAUCCUGAAGUAACGCAGAGAAACAAAUUUUACAUGAUUACAAAUGUUAGAAUCGAUCAAUUACUACUUUUGUUCAAAGAAAUAAACAGAGUUCAGAUAUAUACCAGUCCAUGUAGACAAACGUUGAUGAGUAGUUGCCAGACUUUGUGUAGAGUAAUCGAUGAUGGUAGUCAUGGAAGUCAGCACUGUAAGCAAAUAAUAGUACACUCAUUCAUGUUAAAGAUCUGAUUGUAUUUUAAGAUGUUGCACCAAUAUGAAGGCUAAAGAUUAGAUGUUUGAUCUUACCCGCCAUACAGAGGAAGAAAAUUUGAAGGGCUCCAUGGGAAAUGAUAACCACAAUGUGCCUCAACUGUCUCAAUAACUCUCAACAUCAUCCAUAACCAGAGUGUGAUCAGGUGAGGCCCAGUGAGAGCCGGACCAAUGAUGGUAGCAAAACCCAGGAACAGAAUUUCAGCAGGAUGAGCAUAUUCUGAUGUCAAACCGAACGGUGUGGCGUAUCUGAGUAAAAGCAUAAUAUCAGUUACGGCCAAGUAAAUGAACUAACAUUGUCAACAACAAAAAAGAUUGAGUACUGAAGCUUACUCAUGAUGCACACUGUGCACGUUCUUGUACAGCCAUUUAGUAUGCAAGAUCCUGUGACCCCAAUAAAAUACAAAAUCCUCAAUGAUGAAGUAGAAUAAGAUCUGGGCAGACACUACUUUCCUGCAAGAGCAACACCAAAAAUGGUUUUAUAAACCAGAUCAAACAUAAUUCAGGUUCUUCUCAUGCAGCUCAACACUGACAUAUUAUAUAUAAUGCCAAUUGGAAGAGUUUAACAUUAGAACCCAAAAAAACAAAAGCUCCAGCACUAAAGAACCUGAUAAUACCAGGACGGCAGAGGAAAACUGCUCUGCAUGCCCAUGAAUCUGAAGACAGGAUAAGAUGCCAUCAUAAGGGGCAAGUUUACGCAGAAAUGGUAAAGCAAGAGUCGUGCAAUGCAUUUCCCUUGGGCUUCAGGAGUAUUAUUUUUAGUCUACAGAAGACCAACCAAUAGUAACUGUUUAAUACAAAGAUAAGCUAAAACAGCUAUUACAUUGACAUUCACAAAUAGUAGGCCAAAUGAGAACAUAUACUUUUUAUCACUCAAGAUUUGAAAGAUUAAAACAAAAAUCAGGUGCUGAUUACUUGGUGAGAUCUCUUAUCACUCAAUUCCUUUCCGAACGGUUACACAAAGCUAUAACUAUACAUAGAAGAUCCUUGAAACAUGAAAGAACACAAACCUGAAUUUUGUAACUGCUCAACAAACCGGUCCUUUCUAAGAAAAUGUAAGGCAGUCCAGACAAGAAAAACACACUUUCAUGAAGGAUAAAACUCCCAAUACACGCCAGUUGAAAAUCGCUGUAAUGUGUAACGAGAUACUGCAUCCAAUCAACAUAAAGAGAAAACAAAAAAUGGUCAGCAACACAAUCUUAAAAUGCGAUUGAUGCUUAAAAUCAAUCUGAAAGCAAUUGUAUAUCCACACUCAAAGCGAGUAAAAGAAGAUGUUCAAGAAACAAUUACUACUUAUCAACACCCAUCACAUUUACAAAGCGUGCACAAAAACAAUUCACAGUCUAAUAUCAGCAAUGUUCUAGCUUACUUUUACCCUUAGUAAUCAUCUAAUUAACGAAUUGAGUCCGUUCCUUUGGUCCAGAUGCAAGAUAGCCUAGAAUGAUUAUUAUGCAUUAUGGUCCAAUAGCAGCAAUAACACCAAAAUCCACUUCAUAUUCCCAAACAAAAACAAAAAGAAUCAAGCAAAACAAACUGAGAUCACAUUGGCUAAUCAUGUGGAACAAGCAGAGUCAAAUCCAGAUCUGAAACCACAAAGAACCAAUCUAAUCAAAACACAAAGGGACCACAAACAAUCCAAUGCGAUGAGUGGACCACCAAAAAAAAUCAUAAAAUCAAACUAACACAGCCAGAUACUACUCACCGUACGAACUCUACACCUAUAUCAUAAAUGCAGUACACUGAACUCGGUGACGAAGAAAAACAAAACAACGAAAUCGCUAGAAAACACCAAACCAAACAAAAUCCAUGUACGAGAGAUCACGGAAACAAGGAGAAGGUUAAAGAGUACCUUCCAACCGGAUUCAACGAGAGAAUCCAUGGUUACAACAACGAGAGAGAGAGAAAAAAAACACAACGGAUCUAUGCGGCGGAGAUGAAUAAAAACAAUAGAGGCGUGAGUGGGAGAGAAAGAGAAAGAGAGAGAGAUAGGGAGAGAGGCCAAAACUGUGUGACAAGAAGGAAUCUGAAUUUGGUUGUUUGUUUCUGCAAACACUCUUUUCUCUUCUCUCAAUCACACGUGCACUCAUACACAUUUUUCAAUUUAGUCCUUCGUCACUAAGAUAUUUUUUACUUAGUACCAUAUAGUUUUAGAUGUGACAAUUGGCACCCCCUGAUUGAAUUACUUUCGCACCAUAUUUUUUAACAGUACUCUACAAAAGCUGGUGAUUAUGGCUUUAUGGUUAUGAAGAGACUUAAAAGAUUUGAAAUUUGGGGUUUUCAUAAUAAAUAGAGAGUACAAAUGAGAAUCUAGUAUGAUUAUUCAAAGAGAAGACAAAGAAAACACACAUUUUAGACAAAGAUAGUUGUGAGAGAAUACUAAAAAUCAGCAGAGACUUCUGAGUUGUUUCCUUCUCUUUGAGAUUGUCCCUGUGUUUGAGAAACUCAACAGCUACUUGUCUAAUUGUUCUAUUAUCAGAAACCACUAAGGUCACAGUUGAGCAGUUUCCCUUUUGUGGAUCCUCUUGCCAGUAUACAGCUGCAGCAUAUUGUCAAAAUACCAAAAGAAGAUCACAAGAAUAUUCAGCAUACAGUGACCAAGUCUUGAUGUAAUUCACAUAAAUCAUUGUCCUUGAUGAUGAAUUAUAUAGGUAGCAGGAGCUAGUUCCACACAUAGAAAUCUUAAAGAUGAAGAGAAGAAAACUCAAAUAAUGUGAGCUAAGAUAUUUGCUAGACUUCAAAUCUACAGUGUGAUUUUAAUUUUUUUUUUUUUUAAAUAAGCUGGUACUCAGUUCUGUGAUUAGAUCACAUGCAAAGUGGAAGGAUAGCUUACAGAUAAUUCAUAUUUUCCAUAUCACUUUCCUGAAGCUAAUAUGUACAACACAGACUAAGGGCUAAAUACGGUGACCAAGCUAAACAUAAAACAGAAAAUGUAGAGUCAGGGUUACUUUCAUUGGUUCUACCAUAACAUAGUAAGAGUUUUUACCUUUUGGAUAAUUGUUAAUUUGAAGCAUGGUGGUCAUUGGUCAUAGAAAAGGUGAUUUCUUUUCUGAUGGCUUAAGAAUUUGGAAUGAGCACAUCAAGCUCUCAUCAAUGCUCAUCAUUGCACCCGCAUUGUCAAAUUCCCCACAAUAGUUGGGAGCUGAAAAUACUGUAACAAGCUGUCUUUCUGCAAAGAACUCGUACCCAUCUUCAACAACCUUAAGAAAAGAGUCAAUACACAUCCAUUAUUAAGAUUGCAAGUUUUCAAUAAACUUAAUGACAAAUAUAACUCAAGAGUAAAAACCUGGUGGGCACGACAGAUCAGGUCCAUGUCAUUUUUCUCCAAAAACUCUGCAACUUUGUCAGCUCCAAAAGUGUAUGAAACACCACGAUCGUUCAUUCCCCAGCCUUUGGUAUCUCCACUAGGAUCUGACCAUAGCAAAUCACAUACCAAACCAGAGUCUGGAAUAUCCAUUGGCCGUGCAAUAUUUCUAAUCUGGUCCAAACUUGUCAACUCUGGGGAAAUUCCACCAUGCAUACAUAGUAUUCUGUCAUCAAUUAAGGCGGCCACAGGAAGACAGUUAAAGCAAUCGGUGAAUACUUUCCAGAGUCUGACAUUAAACCUGCGUUUGCACUCGUCAUAGAAUCCAUAAAUACGAUUAAUGGAUGCACAUUCAUGAUUCCCUCUCAACAGGAAGAAGUUCUCAGGGUACUUGAUUUUGUAAGCUAGGAGAAGGCAUAUUGUUUCCAAGCUUUGCUUCCCACGGUCAACAUAAUCACCCAAGAACAAAUAAUUAGCUUCUGGAGGGAAGCCUCCAUACUCAAACAGCCUCAGUAGAUCUGAAUACUGCCCAUGAAUAUCACCUGUAAAAGUAAGAGACGAGAAACAAUUACAUCAAAGAAAACAGCUUGUAGAAAACAUGGCAUAUAAAAGUCAACUAAAAUCAGUGCAGCUCAGGAUAUACACAUGAUGGAAGAGACCAACUAUGCAGGCCAAAUAAAUUCUACAACUUAAAACAUUGAAAAGCCAAAGAAUGGUGAAUGAACACUUGCGAGCUUAGUCAAGCUUUUGCAAGAAAUGCUUUAUCAGACCGAGUCAUUACACAUAACUUGACUAGUUAACAACAUUAAGAUAAAAGAAACAAACCUCAUAGAACGGGUCAAAACUCUGAAUCCUAUCUAAGACUUAUAGUGAUAAAAGAUUCCCACUUUAUAACCACACAUUCACUUGAUUUUAUCGUUCUGAACUCAAAAGACCAUCAAUUGUCACCAUCACACAUUUCAUAAGUCACUUAAUGGUCCAAAAAGCAACAAUUUUGCUCUAACUUACAACCUAUAACCCACCAAAUUUGACCUACUUAACAUUUGCAAAAAGCUCAAAGAUUCUCUCUUUCCACGAUGAACAUAGUUCUAAUAACUCAAUUCAUAGCUACUGAACAAAUCAAAACGUGAUUACAUGCACUAAAUUCAUAACCAAAUUCAACCAAAACCCCACUCCCAAAAAAUUAAAAAACACUUUUUUAAGCAGAGAGAACAAAAAUCUGACCGCAGAUCUUGAUGGGAGCUUCGAGUUCAAGCAGAUUGGGUUGUUGAAGAAAGAUUUCUUUCGACACAGCACAAAGCUGACGGAUUUCGCCUUCACUGAGAUGAACUUGCUUCCCCGAUCCAGGCCUCGUGUUCCGAAACUCAACCAAACGGCGAAUGAUAUCGUCGAGAACACCCGGUUCCAUCGCUCGCUUCUGCUCCUGCUCUUGUGCCGGCUUCUCCGCCAUCUCCAAUCGAGAAAAUAGAUAAGAGAACGAACGGAGAAUUCAAGCGUGUGAAGCUCUUUUUCGAGCCGCGAGGAGGAGGCAGACGAGACCCGACGAGACCACUGUGGAGCUCUAUCAGAAUGAGUCAGAUGAGAUGGGAUGAGUCAGUUUUUUAUUGAUUGGUUCCUUUUUAAUCUCUUUAUCAUUACGACAAAGGAAAGUGUUUUAAAAAUCGACCUAAUGGGCCUUUUGUUGUUUUAUUGGGCCUAAUAUAAUAAUAGGAAACGAUCAAAUCUUAUUACAUCACCUAAUCUAAAACUUUAAAUUAAAACCAAAGAGACAAAUGAAAAAAAACACAUAACACGCUUAAAAGAUCCAAGAAGAUUAGUUGAAUCCUUAAUUUUGAACAAGAAGAGUUGGUCAUGGUCCAUUUUGUUCGACUGAACUGUAACGCCACCUUUGGAUGGUAGUAAUGCACAAUCAUACAAAAAUCUCAUACACAUGUUAAAUGUAUUUAUUGCUUUUUUCGUCAUUCCCUUUAUUAGAGAAAAAAAAAGGUAUGAUUCUUCUUCACCUGUCGCAAGCCACAACGACUUAUUUUAGAUUCCAAUACAAAUAAGAAAAUUCCACAUUUCGUCUAUAAACAAUCUCCUCCCAUAUUUGCUGGAUCCAAUUCCAUCCAUCAUCCUUUGUUUUAAUUGCCUGUAAAUUCUCUGUUUUUGUGUUAAGAUUAUGUCUUAAUAUCUCUAACCAUAGAGAUAAAUUUAUGAAAUUCUCUGAAGAAGACAACACAGGGAUUCAUAUACGUUUUGCCUCUCCAUCUGAAUCCCAGGUUUGUUUUCUUUCUUACAAGAAUGUGUUUAUUUGAAUCUUUAAUCAUGAAAGAUCCAUAAGAAAGAUCACAAUGUUGUUUUGCUGUCUGAUGAAAACCGUUGAAAACGUUCGAACAGCUUAUGGAAUUGGAGCAAAUCCACAUUUUGAAACCUGAUGACGACCGAGGAAUCGAAUCACCUUCAGAAACAGAGGAAACUAUAGGUGUGGUUCCUCUGUCUUGCGCGUUUACAAGGCAAGAACAAUGUGUUUCCGAGAUGAAAGAACGCGAAGAAUCAAUCAGCAGACUAAGCAGCCUUAUCUUUCUGUACCUCAUCGUUAUGUCUGUCCAGAUUGUGGGAGGUUUUGAGGCGAAUAGCCUCGCGGUAAUGACUGAUGCUGCACAUUUGUUGUCAGAUGUGGCGGGUUUGUGCGUCUCUUUGUUGGCGAUCAAGGUCUCUAGCUGGGAAGCGAAUCAGAGAAACACGUUUGGUUUUAAACGGCUCGAAGUUUUAGCGGCUUUCUUGUCUGUUCAGCUCAUUUGGCUUGUCUCUGGUGUUAUAAUCUAUGAAGCCAUUCAAAGACUUGUUAGUAGAAGCAGAGAGGUGAAUGGUGAAAUCAUGUUUGGUAUUUCGGCUUUCGGCUUUUUCAUGAACUUGGUUAUGGUUAUUUGGCUAGGACAUCACCAUCACCAUCACCAUCAUCAUCAUCAUCACCACCAUCAACAUCAUCAUCAUCAUCAUCACAAGGAGGUGGUUGUGGUGGAGGAAGAGGAGGAUGAUGAGGAAAUGAAUCCUUUAAAAGGUGAGAAAUCGUCGUCAAAGGAGAUGAACAUUAACAUACAAGGAGCUUAUCUACAUGCAAUGGCUGAUAUGAUUCAAUCACUUGGUGUUAUGAUCGGUGGGGGAAUCAUUUGGGUGAAACCGGGAUGGGUUUUGGUCGAUUUGAUAUGUACUCUUGUUUUCUCUGGCUUUGCUCUUGCUGCUACUCUUCCAAUGCUCAAGAAUAUAUUUGGAAUACUGAUGGAACGAACACCGCGUGAUAUGGACAUAGAGAAGCUCGAGAGAGGACUUAGGCGUAUCGACGGAGUUAAAAUUGUUUAUGAUCUUCAUGUAUGGGAGAUAACAGUUGGGAGAAUUGUAUUGUCAUGUCAUAUCUUACCUGAGCCUGGAGCUAGUCCUAAAGAGAUCAUUACAGGUGUUAGAAAUUUCUGUAGGAAAUCUUGUGGGAUUUAUCAUGUAACUGUUCAGGUUGAAUCAGAAUAGUAAAAAUGAGAGUUUUUUUGUCUUCUGUUUGACUGACUAUAGCAGCAUGAAGUCACAGACUAAACUCAGGCAACAUUCAAAACAUUUUCAUUGCUAAAUUUUCAGAUUUUAGACAGAUUUCUAAGAACUCUCACACAACAUUUAAGAACUGACAAUGACAUAUCUACUACAGACAAAGAAGCUAGCAGUUCCCAACUAUUUGUCUAAAAUUUGGGAACUGUGAACUUCAUCGCACCAUAGGCCUUAGCAAAUGAAACAAGAACAAAGGAAAAAGUCUCCAGUCUUCCUCAUGCACAUCUCAGCACAUUCAGACGAAAUUUCCAAGAAAAGUCUCGCAUAACACAAGAACUGACAUUGGCAUCUCUGAUUCACAUCUCUAACAAAAGUAGAAACAACAAAAUCAGAUCCCCAAAUUCUACAGCAUGAUCCAUAGGACUUGGCAAUCGAGACAAAACCAAAGGCACAUACUUUGAUUAUUAGAGCUUCUAUAAUCGUUAUCAAGCCUAUUUGAUAUUGAAGCUCUCCAUACGAAGCCUCUGAUGUAAUAGAGUUGUUCAUCAUUCACAUCUCAAAACUGCUGAACUUUCCAAUUUCAAUCAACUUGACAAAAAACAAGAACUGAUAAUGACAUCUCCACAGCAAGAAGCUCAGAGUUUCUGAAAUUUGGGAACUUUUUAAUGAUCUUAUAGGACAUGAAACAAGAACAAAGGGACAUGAAGCCACGAACUUGCCUUAUUUAUUCACAUCUCAAGUCUCAACACAUUCUAAUAAUAUACAUCAACAACCUCACACUUCAAAAUUUCCAAGAAAAGUCUCACACAACACAAGAACUGACAAUGACAUCCCUGAUUCACAUAUAUUCGCACAAUAAUACAACAACAACCUCACCCUUCCCAACUACUUAAUCUGAAAUUUAAGAACUUUCAGCUUAAUAAUCUUAAAAAACUUAGCAAUUGAGACAAGAACAAAGAUACAUACUUUGAUUAUUAUGAGAAGUCUCUAUAAUCCUUAUCAAGCUGAUUUGAUAUUAAGCUUGUCCAUGCGAGCUCUGAUGUACUCAAGAUGCUCAUCUUCAGGAGGGAUACAUUUCUUGAUAACAUCAUUCCCCGACAAGUUCUUAACCCAUCUAUGAAUCUCCGGGAACUUCUCCACCGGAACAACCUUAACCCCGAGGAGAUCCUCCGUCCUUAUAAGCCAAAACGCCACCAAAGUCGCCACAAUAUCCACCAACCCUAAACUUUGCCCACCGAAAAAAUCUUUCCCAACAAGCUCUUUCUCCAAAAACAUCAACAAAUUUCUCGUCUCUUCAACCGCCGCGUCUCUCUCUUCUCCGAUCGUCCCCGCCACUUUCAUAGCCGCCACACAAAUCUAAAAAAACUCCCCAAUAACCGGUUUCAAAAGCCCAAAACCGGUACUUGAAAAUCGAAUAAUCAAAAUUUCAUACCUGUUGAUCGAUCAAUUUAGCCCAGAAGCGAGCCAUAGCUCUCUCAGACGGAUCUUGAGGAAGAAUCGGAUUGUUCCGCCACGUAUCAUCAAUAUACUCAAGAAUCACAAGCGACUCAGAGAUCGGUUUACCAUUAUGAACAAGAACCGGAAUCAUUUUAUAAACCGGGUUCAACCGAAGAAGCAGAUCGCUCUUGUUGGUGAUAUCUUGCUCAGAGAACUCGUACGGUACACCUUUAAGCGUAAGAGCUAUCUCAAUCCUACGACUAAAAGGACUCGCCCACAUACCCAAAAGCUUCACUUCCUCUGAAUCUUCUGAUCUCUCAGCCAUUGUCUCUCACUCACUCUUGUGAGUUUUUGACUCAUGUGUAGUUUAUAUAGAGUGUGUUUUGUGAUGAUGUCAUGAGUGACGGAAACAAAACAGUUAUUAGAAGACAAGAGUUUGUCCCACAUCGGACAGUGGAGACAGAAGCUGAGCUGUUUAAAUAGAGAAAGGUUUGGUCAAAAUCGGCAACGGGGUGGGAACCUAGGAGAUGGGUCUGCUUAUUUACUACUAAACCCUGAACCCUCCCAUGAUUACUCGAUGGGAAUGAUAUAAUGUUGGGGGUCUUUGGCCGGCGUUUCCCCCGAAAAAUAAUUAAAAAACGUCGAUGGCUACAUAAGAGGCUCGUCUCCUUAAACAGUGAAUAAGGUUGGGUUUGGUUCGUAGGUGGUUCUGCUGAAGCUAGUUUAGUGUCUGCGGUUAACCGUUUCCUCGCCUUACCCUCCCACCCCCAAAUUUUGUUUUUCCUAACCAUUAUUUGAAAUAUGAUUAACUAAUUAUUUAUCGUAUUUUUCUUUUCUUACUAAUGUGUUUUUUUUUUUUUAUCGACAUGUGUUUAUCUACAUUAUAUUAAUUUUUUAAGUAAUUUAUGUUUAUAGAAAAACUCGUUUUAACCAAAUCGGAAGAUUAUAAUAUUCAUUUUUCUUUUUGGAAAAAAAUUAUACUAAAUCAGUAGCAUAAUAAUAUCUUCUCAAAAAAAUCUAUUCUCCAACAUUCCAUGAAAAAUAAAAUAUGAGAAGUUACUUUUUAUAUGAGAAGAAUUAUAUAUAUAUAUUAAAUAUCAUAUAAAUAUUUUAAAAACCUUGUAAGAACCUUGUGAGUCUGUUAAAAAAAAAUUUAAAACAUAGUGUAAUAUAUUUGUUAUUUUGCUUCCAAUAAAUCGUUUUGUUAUUAAAAAGGAUUAACAUCAUUUAUUGUUUGUACGCGACUACAAAAAUAAUUAACAUCAUUUACCAAAAAAAAACUUUUGAAAGCCUCAAAAUAAUGUGCUUUGGCUAAUAAAACUACACAACAAUGCAUUUUACACAAUAUUGUUACAUAUCAUUUGCAAAUUAGUGGAAUCCAUACCAACUAAACUCAAAUUAUUACUUCCAUAACCUUAUACUUUCAUGAUUACUUUGUAUAUUUGAACGACAUAUUAUUUAUCAUUGUGUUCUUUUCAUUUUCAUUGUUUAAGACAUGUGAGUCGUUGAUAAUAUUUUAAUCCAUCUUUAAUUUAUAAUAUUUAUUUUUAGUAUAUAAAAAUUUAACAAUAAUAAUUUAGAAUUAUAAAUUUCCAAAAUACUGCAUUUAUACUAAUAAACAACACGAUAGUGCAUUUUAACAAAAAUUUAACUUAUAGAUCCACUUCAUAUGUAAAUAAACAAAUAUGAAUCAUACAAAUCCAAAUUCUUACAUAAACAACCUUAAUUUUUUCAUGUUACUUUGUACAUGACAACCACAAUUUAUGAGAAUUAAGAAAUAAUGGUGGUUUGAAAGCAUUCCAAAUCGGGAGCUAUUCAAGAUAAUUCCCUUUUUCUAAUUCUUGCGAUUUUGCCUCCAAGAAUUAUUGAAUUGCCCUGUAAAUGAGUUUGGAUGAUGUCUAAUUUUAUUAAUUUUGUUCGCCAUUUGUCUUACUUGUUCAGUUCCAUGAACGUUGAUCCAGAGGAAAGGUAUAUCACAGACCAUAUAGUUUCUUCAUCUCAAAUACAUGUAUUAAUCUAAGUUACAAAAGGCUGAUCUCUCUAGAAUUAUAUAUGUUUUGGUUUUGUCACAUCGUUUGGUUUAACUUUGGUGUUCAACUAUUCAUUAACAAUUUUCUAUAUCUGGUUUUAAAACAUGUUUUGGUUAAGAUAUGAGAAAUCUGCUCCCACAAGAUAUUAUUAGAAAUAUGUUUUUGUUGGUGCCAUAUAAAUCCCUUGUUCGUUUCAGAGUCAUCUCUCAGGAAUGGAAAUCUAUGAUACAAGAUAGUCUGAAUCAUGGAAGAUCCAGGAUUGCUAGGUCUAUGAUGAUAUACUUGAAUAAAGAGAAGCAUGAUGGUUUAGAUCUAGAGGUUAAUGAUAAAUUUGAAUGGGAAAAAAACGAAACUCAAAAACAAACUUGCUCUAAUACCAUGUAAAGAUUGAUGUGAGUUUAGAUCGGAAAAAUUGUAUAUUGACAUUUGUAAGAAUGUACCAAAAUUUGGAUGCUUAUCAGUUAGAGAGUUAAUGUCGGUAAAUAUUCAUAAGAAUCUCUCAUUGUGAUGGUUUGAUAAUAACCAAUACAUUAUCAUACAACCAUCUACUGCUUUGUUUGAUUGAAUUCAUAUUAUAAGACUUUUGUUUAGCUACCUAAAAUACAAUUUUUGUGCAAAUAUGAACGUUAUAUACAUUCUUAUUUCAAAUAAUAUGGGGCAAUAAUUGUCAUAUAGCCUUGAAGUUUACCUACUCUUGUGGAAUACACGCGUAUGGUCGUGUGGAUGUUAGGUAUCAACUCCAAACCAAUCUUGAUUUUGUUGUUUACUUUUUUUCUUCUUAUUCAUUUUGUUUGAAUUUUUGUUAUACAUAUAAAAAAUUACUGUUAAUUUUUUUUUAGUAAUUAUAAGUAUCCAAUCAACAAAUAAUUCACUAUAUUAAAUGAGCUCAGCUUUAAAAUCUCAAGUAAAUCAUGUCAUGUUUUAAUUAAUUUUACAAUAGUAGUUUACUUUAAGAAAAAUAUAACUCACUAAUUAAUCGUACCUCGAAUAAUUAAUUUUAAUUUGUUAACUUAUCUUUAUACAAAAAUUAUUCAUGUAUUUAAAGUAUAUAAAAUAUAGUAUAGUAGAAAUUUUUCAUUAGUGUAUAUGCGCCUCACGCUCCUGUAAUUGAGUUGUCGCAAUUUGUCAUAUUUUGGGACAUGCAUGGGACCAAACUUAUCAAAUUAGAAAGUAUAUGGUUAAAUCAAUCUUCACCCUCUCAAGUCUCAACCGCACAACAAUAAAAAUGAUAUCUUAUUACAAACAUUAACCAAUAAUAAAACAUGUUAUACAUAUCAAAAACUAAAUUUCAACAUUAGGAUGGUCAAUGACUUCAUAAGAAGAUGAUUUGUCUUCUUGAUUGAUUUAAGAUCUUACUCUCUCUGCCCUAUAGAUUUAUUUAUGUAUUAUGAUUAGAGUUCAGAUUAGAGAUUUAUUUAUGUAUUAUGAUUAGAGUUCAUAUAAGAGAUAUAUAUAUUCUUAAAGUUAUGCAAACACGUAAACGAUAUGGGAAACCUAACAAUGGGAGAUGUGACCAAAGUCUCUUUCGUAUGUUUAUUGAACUUCUAUUUUCUUUAUAACUUAAAGAGAGUAUGAUAAAACCUUCACCUCCCAAUUAGACAACCACAAGACCAAAAUAAUUAAUAUGAGGCGAUAAUUCUGAAAAGUAGUUAUAUAGCCUUGAGGUUUACCUACUCUUGUGGAGUACUUAUUUGAUUAGGUACCAACUCCUAACCAAUUUUAAUUAUGUUAUUGCUUGCUUCUUUUUUCCUUCUUAUUCAUUCUUUUAAAAUUCUUAUUAUUUUUUUAAAAAAGUAUUAGUAUCAAAUAUACAAAUAAUUUAUUAUAUUAAAUGUUAUAAGCUUUAAAAUAAUAAGUAUAACAUGUCAUAUUUUGAUUAAUUUUACAAGUAGUUAUGUACUUUAAAAAUAAACUAUAAUUCACUAAAAGUACCAUAAGUAAUUUAAUAAUUAAUUUAAAAUCUAGAAAAAAGAAGGUAUACAUGUACUUCAAGUAUUAAAUAUACUAUAAUAGAAAAUUUUACUAGUGUAUAUAUGAUUCACGCUUCUAAUUUGAUAGGAUCGACCGACUCUUAAUUGAAUUGUCGCAAUCUGUCAUAUUUUGGGACAUGCAUGGGACCAAACGUUUCAAAUUAGAAAGGAUAUGGUUAAAUCAGUCUUCACCUUCUCAACCACACACCAAUAAAACCAUAUCUUCUUACAAACAUUUCAUUAAACCAUUACAACAUGUAACAUACCAAAGUACAACACUCGGAUGAUCAAGGACAUAGAAAGAUUAUUUGUUUCCUUAAGAAGAUCUUACUCUCUGUGUCACAUUGUUCAUGUGUUCAACAUGUUCCUUUCUCGGUGGAAUACAAUCUCUCACAAUCUCAACCUUCUCAAGAUUCUUGACCCAUCUCUUGUAUUCUGGAAACUUCUCUUCUGUGGUCACUUCCAGUCCUAUUCCUUCCCAACCUCUCUCCAAACAAAACGGUAUCAGACUUCCGGCGACCAAAUCCAAGAAUCCGACACUCUUGCCUCCGAAGUAAUCUUUUCCGACAAGUUCUUUCUCAAGAUACAUAAUCAGUUCUCUUGCCUGCUCAGCCAAAACAUCUCUUCCUUUCUCAUCCGCUUUCGCCAUUGAUACAAAACCAACACUCAUAAUCUACAAAAUGUCAAACAACAAAAGUUUUAUAGUCUCUAACAAUAUAUUAAAAAAUAAAAUUAACUAAACUGAUUAAAGUAUUGCCAAUAGUUUAUUAUUUGACCUCCACUUUAAAAAACCCCUAAUAUUAAUGAGUUUAGCAAAGAACCGAGCUUUGGAUCUUUCGUAAGGAUCUUGAGGGAGAAUUGGAUUAUGUGGCCAAGUCUCAUCGAUGUAUUCAAGAAUCACAUGAGACUCAAGAAUAGUUUUACCAUUAUGAACAAGAACAGGCACCUUCUUGUGAAUAGGGUUUAGAGCAAGAAGCAAAGAGCUUUUGUUCGCCAAGUUCUCUUCCACGUAAUCGUACUUUAUACCUUUGAGUUUGAGAGCCAUCUCGAUCCGACGGCUAAAAGGGCUCGCCCAUAGCCCCAAAAGCUUCACUUCUUCAUUCUCGGGCAUUAGUUAUCUCUCGCUCUGCUUCCUUAGCUUUCUUAGAAAUUAUGGUUUUUUCUUUGGAUUUGUAGACUUAUGGGUGCUUUGAGCUUUAGAUUUAUAGGCGUACGUAGGGCAUUUAAUGGUCUUGUGGUAAAAACGACGACAAUUUUGCCGUUUGCUGAUCGGCUCUUAAGGUGUAAAUGCGAAGAAUCUAUCUACAACUACAAGGCGUGAUUGAUGUUGACUGUAGAACUUUAUAUUCGCAACGUUCACUUAGGAACUAGGACCAAUGCCAAAGUUUUAAUUCAGUCUAUCGGGGAAAGAAAUGUUUUGGUCUUGGUCUAACCAAAUUCAUAAUCAAAAUACACGAACAUAAAUUGCGUUUAGUGCAAUUUGUUUUACUACUAUUGAACUAUUUUAUCAUUUUUUAUCUCUUAAGAUUUAAUUGGUGUGAGUCAUAAUAUUUUUGUUUUAUCAUUUCGUGUAUUUCUUUGUUACGGUGUCGACACUAUGCACAAUUUAGCAUAAAUAUAUAUCUAUCUACAAUUUCUCUACUACAAAAAUAAAAAAUGUUUGAUGUAAAAAACAUAUUUUGUCUUAAUUAGUUAAAGGACUGUAGAUCGACUAGUUUUUUUUGUCUUAAUAUAAAAAACAUUCCCCAUAUCAUACUACCACUAUUAUUACUAUUGGAAAAUAUCUAUAUUUUCUGCCUCUCAAUUUUUUUUUCCUUUCUAUUACUCUCAAUACGUUUCUUCUCCACUUAAUCAUAUGAUCAUAUCACUCGUGUAAACUUUGGUAGUUGAGAAUAAACGUAACUUUUACCUUGUUAUAAAAUAUAUCCAAAACAUAUAAAAUUUAUAUUGUAUUGUAUUAUAUAUGUGUAUAUAAUAUAUUCUUCUUAUUCUCUUACGUUGUAUUGCUUUAAACAUUCACGAACAUCACAUAUAUAUACUAGGACGUUCCCCCUACUGAUAAACGACAUGAAGUCUACUUAUCUAAUUUUAAACAGCGUGUAGUUCUUUUAAAUUUCCAUAAAAAAAAUUAAAUGAUUGCAAAAUGAGGGACGUAAAUAAUACUCUUUUUCAAAGAUUUUUUUUUAAAUACCAUAUUUACAAAUUUUAUAAAAAAAACACUAAAAAAUGUUGAAAUCUAUCCAAAUAUGUGUGCAACUUUAUAAAUAUAAACACAAAUUACCUCUGUAUGUGUAUAAAAUUUUAUAUAUCUUUCAUAAAUAGUGUAAAAAUAACUUUUAAAAGUCUUAUAAACAUUUUUAAAAAUCUUAUAAGACUUGUAAAUACGAUUUAAAACCUUUCUAAACCUAUUAUUUUUAUUGUGGUCUCGUAAAUUAUUUUACUUUUUUUUUCACUUGCAUUAAGAUUGAAUUACAGAUGAAAAUUAAAAUUCUCAAAAUAAUAAAAGACAUUUAUAGUUUCAAAUUAUUUUAUAUCUAAACAUUUAUUUUUCUUGUAAAUUUAAAUUAGUUUUAAUUAAUUAUUUUAUUCUUAAUAUAAUUCAGUUUAAAUUAAAUGGUUUUAUAUACAUUAACACAUGUUAAUUUCUUAUUUGUUUUCAAAUGAUGAGAGGUGUCAUCCCCUCAAAAGUUUCAUUCAUCUAUUUCUAUUGACUAUAUACUACUAUAAUAGGGUUUCUAAAUUCAACCAUGAUGAGAGGUGUCAUCCCCCAAAGUUUUAGUUAGUGUCAAAUUUUUUUAAAACUCAUCAUAGAGUAGUAGUUAAUUAGUGCGCAAGUGAGUAAUUUACAUGAUCAAACAAGAAAUUAGUAAAUAAGCAAUUCAAACGUUUAGUAAAUAAGCAAAUAUAUAAAGGAGAAAACAAUGAAGUAAGUGAAGAAAAAAAUGAGGAAACAAGUUAAGCAUGUAAACAAACAAAUAAAAGAAGCAAUUAAACAAGUAAAGCAGUUUAAGCAUGUAAGCAAACAAUAAUAAAAUAAAAAACAGAAAUAACAUACAAACAAGUUAAGCAAGGAAUGAAGCAAUUGAUCAGUAUACAAAGAUCAAACGAGGAACACAUGUAAACCAGUUAGGCAUCUAAGCAACUAACGAAAGGAAGAAGUAAGGAAACAAAGAAUCAAAGACAAAAAAAGGGAGCAAAGCAAACAAGUUAAGAAAUGAAUCGAGCAAUUGAGUAAGGCAAGAAACAAGCAAGCAAGUUAAGCAAGAAAUUAAGCAAAAGAGACAAAGAAGAAAGCAAAUGAACAAGUAAAAAGAAUCAAGCGAUGAAUCAAAUGUAAUAGAUCAAAUAAGUUCACUAUUUCCGUCUAAUAGCAUAGCGUAUUCUCUGGUUUUUCUUUAUUCUUGGUAUGUACCUACCUGUCCACUCAUUUUAGAAUUUUGAAAAAAAAAAAUCUGUUAGCUAUGAAAUAUGUUACUACAUAGAACAAAAGAGACGAUGGCAAGUUAUAAAAGAACAAUAAUCAAAAUACUAAACCGAAGAGAACGAUUGAAGACAUACCUAAGAGAAUAAUUGAACUCUAGAGAUUGAAAUGAAGUCCCCAUCUUUUCUUUUGAAUCGCUUCCAUUUCAUGGCUUCUCUCUGCAGCUAUACAUAUGUUCUGUUUUCAGGGCCUAGAAAUGAUGAUUUCAGUGGAUAUAAAGUAGUUUGACAAGACAAUACCGAACAUUACGAAAAUUCAAUAAACGAAUAACUAAUAUUUAAUAGAGAUUUUUUUUUAGGAUAAAGAAGAAUGACAACUUACAAGUAGUAUGCAGAGGCUUAUUGAUCGCAUUAUUUAGAGAUGUUAUUUUAUUUUCAAACGACUCUUGCUUUGACUCUGCUUAGAGGUUCCAGAAAAUGAAUGUAUAAACCUCAGGAUAUAAACUUCUUGUCUCCUUUAAUCGGUUCAAGAAGAGUUUAAAUAAUAGUACCUUAAUUGAUGAAAACUCUCUUCUCUUGUUCUAAUUUUGUAAGCUAAUCCCCUGUGGAAAAUACAUAUUUAUUAACUAAAUUUGAGACGCGAAUAUAUGGAGAUCGGAUUAGAUUAGGGACAAGACGAUUAUACUUCACCUAAAAAGCAAAUUUGAUUGCCCCUCACUGUUUAACACGUUUUACCAAGUUUGUCGUCACCAUGACUGUCUGUAGUGGGAAAAAACACCUGAAACUGCAUACCUGAUCAUGAACUUGAUGACACUCUCUUUUAUAGUUCCCCUGUUGCAAAUGCACAUUUAUCAACUAAAUUCAGAGACACAAAAAAAGUACUCAUCCAGUUAGAUUAGAAACAAGAGCAUUAAAUUUACAAUUACAAUACCUUUCAUUCAUAUUUUCUUUUUACUAAAUCAUGUCAUUCUCUGCUGCAUAAUGUUGCAUUGGUUCCCAAACCAUGAACACUUGCCAGCGAAAUUCAACGGAAACAACAUAAGUUCAUCUUGCAUUGGUUCCCAAACCAUGAACACUUGCCAACGAAAUUCAACAGAAACAACAUAAGUUCACCAUCAUAUAUUAGCACAUAGAAUUUGACAUAGUUCAGGAGAGAUAGAGACGAAAUUUCUAAAAAUAGUUUUCAUAAUCCUUCUACUGCAUAAGAAGAAAAGGGACGCAUAAGUAGAAAAACAAAAGAUUGAAGACACAUACUUGGGAGUAGGAUUCAACUUAAGAAACAAGAAGAUGACGAACAUCCAUUUAAGAGCUCCAUUGCAAUAGACCUGAAACAAGCAUAACGGUGUCUAAGAGGUACGCGAUAUUAUAAGAUAAACCAUAUAAUGGUGUCUAAGACCAUAAUAAACCAUCCCCACUUAUAGGCCCGAAUAUGUAUUUAUUUGAUUUACCAUGCAAAACUUGGAUGUUGUUCCAAAACUUUGUUUCUUGCUCCUCUUUUUUGGCUUUUCUUUAGAAAUUCAUCCUUCAUAUUUCUUAGCUACGGAUUGCUGUACUUUAAGCUGCAAAACAGUAUGCAAAUGAAAUAGUAUACCAUCAGUUAAUAAUAUACCAUCAGUUAUUAUCCUAUGCGUUAGAAAUAAUCAAGAUAGCAGUUAAAUGACAACUUACAAGUGGAGCUCGUGGCUACUUGUUCGUCAUGUUUUACUCCAAGAUGAAACUUCUGCCACUGCUUACAGAUUCUAGAAAAAUGAAUGAUAAGGUUUAACUACAAACAACAUUGUAAAUGGCAGAAAGAUGUUAGCUAACUUGUGGUUGAUCACGCGAGAAUGUAACUAGUCAUUCAUUUUAAACUAUAACAUAGAAAAAAGGAAAAGGGUCAUGUUCAUAAUAUUCAAAGUCUUGAAACACUUACUUUUCUGUUGAGUAAGUCUUACCAUCUUACUUACAAUGGUCUCAUAACGGUUUGUUGGCUUACUUAGUUUUUCCUUUGGUCCUGUCGUAUAUAGAGCCUCUCCUUGUCCUCCUCAAACUUGGAAGAUAGUGUCUGCAAGUAGUAACUCAUGUUCAACAGUUAUAUUAAUAUCCAACUUAACUGAUCUUAAGGGUGAGAGACGACAGAAAAAGGGCAGUCGAAAGAAUACCUUCUGAACCUUUUAGAUGAUCAUGUCAGCUCCUUUUAAACUUUGUAAUUCAUGAAUUUGUAAUGAAGCUCCUCAAACUUGACAGCUUUAUCCUUCAAGAUAUUAUCAUACUGCAAAUAUGGAUCAUGUCAGUGUCAGAGAAUGUUGACAUAGUUCAGGAGAGAUAUAGACGAAAUUGAUAAGAAUGAUCAGUUUUCAUAAUCCUUUACUGCAUAAGUAGAAAAACAAAAGAUUGAAGAAGCAUACUUGGGAGAAGGAAUCAACUUAAGAAACAAGAAGAUGACGAACAUCCAUUUUAGAGUUUUAUAGCAAUAGACCUGAAACAAGCAUAACGGUGUAAUUAAAUAUAAUUCAUCAUUCAUUCUAAAGUAUAACACAGAAGAAAAUAAAAGGGUCAUGGUCAUAAUAUGAAAAGUCUUGAAACACAAUGCUGUGUAAGUUGAGUAAGUGUUGCCAUCUUACUAACAGUGGUCUCAUAACGGGUAGUUGGCUUACUUAGUUGCUCAUAUAGAGCCUCUCCUUGUCCUCCUCAAACUUGGAAGAUAGUGUCUGCAAGUAGUAACUCAAGUUCAACAGUUUUGGUAAUAUCCAACUUAACUGAUCUUAAGGAUGAGAGAUGUUAAAAAAAAGGGCAGUCGAAAGAAUACCUUUUGAACACUGUAGAUGAUCAUGUCAGUUCCUUUUAAACUUUGUAAUUCAUGAAUUUGUGAUGAAGCUCCUCAAUCUUGACAGCUUCAUCCUUCAAGAUAUUCUCAGACUGCAAAUAUGGAUCAUGUCAGCUCUUUGUACCUUUCUAAAGACUAAAAGUUUAAAGUAUAAUAUUGGGAGUUUUUGUACAGACCUCUUUGCAACUCUUUAAAAGUGCUUUGCCAAAUUUUUGUUUGCAGGCAAGGGCAGAAUUAACUUGCACGCUUCAAUAUAUAUGUUAUCUGACUUCACCACAGUGGACAAACUGCCGGAAAAGAAUUCAAGUAUUAAAAGAAGAUUCAGGCAUUCAGCUAUCAAACUAACGGUACUUAGAGACAUUAUAGAAUUUGUAUCAUCUUCUUGGGAAGAAGACUAAAAAUAUGAAGAUCAAGAGUAGAAAUAUUCUCUCUGUGGAACAAUUAAUGAUACCAUUAGAUACCAAAAGUUAAGAUAUAAAUCAACCGAGUAGAGUUGAGAAACAAAAUACUACAUAACAAAAUGUUCUGUAUCUAUGAAAUCAAACGAGAUUCAUAUAAAGAAUACCUUAAUUUUUCGAUUCAAGCAAGCAAGUUAGAAAGUAAGUAAGUCAAACAAAAAUUAGAGGAGAAAAAAAGAAAUUAAGCAAAGAAACAAGGAAGCAAGAAGGUCAUUAAGGAAUUAAGAAAGAAUAUACCUAAGCAAGUAAGCGAGGAGAGUUAAUCAAGUAAGUAAUAAUGAAGGCAGAACAAAAGUAAGCAAAGAAUCAAUGAAGCAAAUAAGUGAAAAGAAACAGAGAAGCAAUUAUGUACGUGUAUAAGGAAGUAUGAAAGUAUAGACAUUUGUGUCUGCAUAGAUAAAAGUAUCUAUGAAGCAAGCAAAUAAGUAAGUCAUUAAGGCAGAAAACAAGUAAGCAAAGAAUCAAGUAAGCAAUUACUUAUGAAAGUAUACACAUUUGUGUCUGCAUUAAUAAAAGUAUGUAUGAAUGUAUGCAUGUAUGUAUGAAUGUGUGCAUGAAUGUAUGCAUGAAUGUAUGAAUGCAUCCAUGAAUGUAUGAAUGCAUGUAACAAGUACAUAGGCAUGAAAUCAAAGAAGAAAAUAAGGAAACAAGUAAGAACACACACAAGGAAGCAAGGAAUAAAGAUAAGGACGUAGGUGACAAACCAAGGAAACUGGUCAGUAAGCAAGUAAUGAAGGCAUGUAAAAGAAAUGUAAGCAAAGAAACAAGGAAGCAAGAAGGUCAUUAAGAAAGGAUAUACAGAAGCAAACAAGUAACGAAGGCAUAAAACAAGCAAGCCAAAGAAUCAAACAAUGAAACAAAGAAUCAAGGAAGCAAAUAAGUAUACACAUUUGUGUCUCCAUACAUAAAUGUAUGAAUGCAUAAGCAAAGGAAUCAAAGAAGAAAAUAAGGAAACAAGUAAGCGCACACACACAAGGGAAAUGACAAUCCAAGGAAGCUGGUAAAUUAAGCAAGUAAUGUAGGCACAAAAUGUAGAAGAAUCAAGUAAGCUUGCAUAUGUAAUCAGAUCAAGCACAAAGAUAAAUAUUGAAGAGAACGUACUUGAAAAAAGCUAAACCAGAGGCACAGAGAUACUAAAUCUUGACCAUAAUCGAUUAACCUAGCCGAACGGAGAGAAAACCCUUUCCUAGAUCAUGAUCGCCGUGAUAUUUUUCGAAAAUGAAGAAAUUGGGGUUUUUUAAUAUUAGAAUCAGAUACUUGUAGUAGACGCUUUUCUUCCAAAUGGCUUUUUAAUUUCUUUUAUUUGUUCUACAACGUACGAUUCCAAAUUUUAUUUAGAAAAAUUCAAAUUUCAAAAAGAAGGUAAAUGCCGCUCAUUUCGAAAUUAAUGAUUUCAAAUCCCACAUUUGUAAAUGGUUACGUUACGCAAUUGUGAUGUUCUUAUUAUAUUAAAUUAGAUUCGCUUUAAUCAUGUCAUGUUUUAAUUAAUUCUACAAUAUUAGUUUACUUUUCAAUAAUACUAUAAAUCACUAAUAAACCGUACCAAAAAUAAUUUAAUAAUUAAAUUUUAAUUUAUUAACUUAUUUUAAAGUUAUGUAUUUAUAGAAUAAAAAUAUAAUAUAGCAGAAAACUUCACGCUUCGUUUAGUUGAUAGGACCGUCUCAGGUUUCGAAUUUUGUCAUAUUUUUGGACAUGCAUGGGACAAAACUUAUCUAACUAGAAAAGGAUAUGGUUAAAUCAAACUCCAACCACAGAACAAUAAAAACAAUAUCUUCUUACAAACAUUACAACAAUCGGAUGAAUUGAUCAAGGACUUAAUAAAACAGAUGAUUUGUUUUCUUGAAUGAUUAAGAAGAACUUACUCUCUCAACCUUAUAGUUCAUCAUGUGUUCAAUAUGUUUCUCUCUUGGAGGAAUACAAUCUCUCAAUAUCUCAACCUUCUCAAGAUUCUUAACCCAUCUCUUGUAUUCUGGAAACUUCUCUUCUGUGAUCACUUCCAAUCCUAUUCCUUCCCAACCUCUCUCCAAACAAAACGGUAUCAGACUUCCCGCAACCAAAUCCAAGAAUCCGACACUCUUGCCUCCGAAGUAAUCUUUUCCGACAAGUUCUUUCUCAAGAUACAUAAUCAGUUCUCUUGCCUGCUCCGCCAAAACUUGUCUUUCUUUCUCAUCCACUUUUCCAAUUAUCGAUACAAAACCCACAGUUUUAAUCUACAAUGUCAAGGGAAAACAAGCAAUGGUUUUUUAAGUCCCUAAUUCUAAUAAAUUUUUACACUUUUGUUUUUUGGAUUUCAACUCAUUAAAGUAUUACCAAAUACCAAGUGUUUAUUAUUUGACCUCCACAUUUAUAAUAAAUUAAAUCAAUUGCAUAAACUUAUACUAUAUACCUGUUCAUCAAUGAGUUUAGCAAAGAACCGAGCCUUGGAUCUUUCGUAAGGAUCUUGAGGGAGAAUUGGAUUGUGUGGCCAAAUCUCAUCAAUGUAUUCAAGAAUCACAUGAGACUCAAGAAUAGCUUUACCAUUAUGAACAAGAACAGGUACCUUCUUGUGGAUAGGGUUUAGAGCAAGAAGCAAAGAGCUUUUGUUAUCCAACUUUUCUUCCACGUAAUCAUACUUUAUGCCUUUGAGUUUAAGAGCCAUCUCGAUCCGACGGCUAAAAGGGCUCGGCCAUAUCCCCAAAAGCUUCACUUCUUCAUUCUCCGCCAUUAGGUAUCUCUCGUCUUAGAAUUAGAAAUGGUGGUUUGUUUAAUUUUAUUUUGUAGACUUGUCGGUGCUUUGUGCUUUAGAUUUAUAGGCGUAGGGUUUGUAAUGGUCUUGUUGUGGUAAAACGACGAAAUCUUUUUUCCGUUUGCCUGAUCAGCUAAUCUGCAAUGAGAUGUAUAUAUAAGAAGAAUUAAUUAAUCUAGAAGGUGAUUGAUACUGACUUUAUAUAUAUAACGUUCACGUUAGAUAUUGUUUAACAUGAGGUGGUGGAGUCUUCUUACGUCUUAACUCCUUCCAUCGCUAAAGCCGGCCGGAUUAUAUUUAUACCUAUAAACUUUAUUGUUAUUUACGUUAUAGUGUUAAUUAGGACAAAUUAAUGCCAAAGUUUUAGUUCAGCCUAUCGGGACAAGAAAUGUUUUGGUCUUCGUCGUCUAGCUAACCAAAUUCAAAAAUCGAAAUACACGAAACCAUAGAUAAAGUUGGUCGCUAAAACGUGCUUAAUUGCGUUUAGUGCAAAAAAACAAAAUUAUAAAAGUAUUUUAUCGUUUUUAUCUUUUAAAAAUUAUUUUGGGUGAGUCAAUAUUUUUGUUUUAAAAUUCUCUGCUAAAAAAUCAAAAAUGAUUAGUGGAGAAUAUAUCUAUAUAUAUAUAUAUAUAUUUUUUUUUUUUUAAUAUAAAGAAAAUUUCCUAAUUUAUAUUAUUAUUACAUAUUGGAAAAAUAAUCACAUUUUCUGCCUCUCAAUUUUUUUACCAAUUCCCCCCCCCCCUUUCUACUACUCUCAAUUCUUUUUCUGCUCCACUUAAUCAUAUCACUAAUGUAAACUUUGGUAGUUAAUUAAGAAUAAAUGUAACUUUAAACUCUCUCUUUUACUUUUUGUUUUGUUUUUUGUUUUUACAGCAUCCAGCGUAACUAUACAAUAUAGACUCUCGAUGGAGAUGGUUUCAUGCGGAUCGGGAUAGGUAUACGGACAGACAAAACAAAUAUCAAAAUCAGUAUAUUGACUUUUCGUUGAAGUAACUUUCAUAGUCGGUUCAAUUUAAUUUUAGAAAAUAAUCCUAAUGAUUUUGUUUGUCGAAAAUGAUGUACGUACGUAAAAGAACUGUGCAUGGAAACAUUAUUAACAGCGUCAAAAACAUUUGUCCUUCUCGUUUUGUUAUUGUCAAGGAACAACUUAUUGAAGACAAGAAACAACUUUUUAAGGCUUAUAUAAAAGAAAAAAUAGUACACUAGUAUAACAUGUUCUUUUUCACAUCUAUCAAAUUGUUGUUACAAUCAUAAUAAGAGUCGUUGGCGUGGCUUGGUGCCAAGAAAAAGAAAAAUUAGUACUUUGUCUGUACGUAAUUUGAUGUUCUUUAAAUAUCACAUUCACAUCUAUUAAAAAAUGUUGUUAUUCUAAGUUGGUUUUGCCGUUUCCUCCAUCUAUGAACUUCUUUGCCGAUUUUGCUCGCCAGUCGCCACAUAACAUUUCUAGGCUCUCUAACGUAUCCUUGCUUUAGUAACUAUCUAUAUAAAUAAAUAAAUAAAUAAAUCAAUAAAAAAAACUAUCUAUAUAAAGUGUCGGUGAUUAUUUCUGUGGUCACAAGUAGGCUGCGUGUUCGAAUAACCGGAACUGAACCGACUUGGUUAAUUUUGUUUCGAGUUUCUUUCGGUUAAUAGAAAUUAUGCCAAAAUUAAUCGAAUAAAUAACCGGUUUUAUUUGGUUCGGACCUUGAAUUAUUAUGGUUGGUAAAAUUUUACCGAAACGGCACUUUUUCUCAGUUAAAUUCAUGUAAAAUUUGGUUUAUUUGGUUAAAUUGAAUCGGAUUUAUAAUGUAUUUCGAUUUGAUUAAUGUUUAAUUUUGGUUUAAUUUAUGUAUAGUUGAGGUUAGUAAAAAACCAGUAACCGAUUGGUCCGACUAACUGAACAGAACAUGAUUCAAAAAUCCUGCCAAACUGAAUUGAUCGAUUUUAAUUUUUAAACCGCUUACAAAAAAAAAAAAAAAAAAAAAAAAAAAAAAAAAAAAAAUCUUGUUCGAUAUAGUUCAGGUCAGACCUCAAUACGUCAUAAGCUACUCACCUCACAAUAUUAUGUCGCAAGUCGCAACAAAUAGACCCACAUGUCCGUGAUGGUAAAUCAUAAUCUGAC